AUUUUAUUUCACUUACUCUCAAAUCACAAGUUAGAUACGGCUAUAAAUCAACUAUACCCUUGGAAAUUAGUAACAAGUUGUAAGAGGGUCUAAUGAUAUCAUUCAAAAACCUAUAAAAACAAACCUUUUUAAUUAUUUAUAAAAGCACCAAAAUUAUUAGACAGAAAAAUUCAACUAUCUCUUUUACAUUAAGCAGUUACAUCAGGGCUAUUAUAAUAACUAAUUGAUUUUUUUAGAAAACAAAAAACUCUCCUCUCCUCUCCAAUCUCACGUAACACUCUACGAACACUCUUAUUGAUGACCAGGUGCUUAAAGUAUGAUUUAAUCCAAUUAAAUCCAUGGCCAUUGUAACGGAAAGCACUCACGAAAGUUCAUCUAUUUGCACCAGUCAUGCCUUUUUAAUGACUCACUUUUCAGUUCUUAGAAUUCUCGAUCUAAGCUUCAUUUUUUUUUAUUCCAUUCUAAUCUUGCUAUGGAUGCAAUGCUUACAAAUUCCUGCUUCAAGAAAUGAGUAAUUUGUUGCUGUAGCUUCAUGAACCAUGAAGGCGCGGUGGAGCUGAGGCCGGAAUUGGGUUCUGGAGAGGGAGCACCAACCUAACAAAAUGAUUAAAAAUGCAUCAUCCAGAUUCAUCUGCAACCUAACAACUAAAUGAUUUAAAAGUCAAUCCUGAUCCCCUUACUACGUAAUUGUGUUUAUACAUAAGAUUUGUACAUUAAUAAUUGCAUUAGUACAUGUUUGAUUUCACAUUGAAUGAAUUGAUUUUAUGUUCAAAAUUAAUUAUGAAUUCAAUUAAUUUUUUAUCACUUUUGCAUUGGAUUAAAAUUUGUAUACUGAGAAUAGCAACUAACUUACUUUUAUAAUAACAUCUAAACAUAAAUCAUAUAACCUCAAAAUCAUUUUUACCACAAACGGUAAGAAUUCAGCAAAAUCAGUUAAUUGCUUUCCAAUCUAAAUUUUAUUGCGGAUGUACCGUGUGUUAAAGCAAAAUAUAAAUUGUCUUAAUUCACAACAAUUUUGCUCACUUUAAGCAAAAAUAGAUACAUAAAACCUAUGCUUUGUUUCAUAAAAAAUUAUAUUCUCAUUUUUAACUUUAUUUUACAGACUUUCACUUAAACAAAGCAUGACCUAGGAUUAGAACCUCAAUCAACCGAGAUCAAGAGUUACCCAUCAAAACCUGUUUCAUUGUACACGGACCUCUAGGUGAACUAUACUUUUUUAGGCAAGAACAGGAUCAGAGUAAUUAGUUAUAUUAGCAAUAGAAUGCGUGAGGAAAACACAACACAUCAAGGUAUUUCAACCAAUCCUGCAUCCAGAUACAGUGAAAUCCUCAACUAAAAGAACCAGAACUGCAUAAUGCAAUACCCUUAAUCAUGAAGGAACUAGCAUUACUGAAUGAUCCCGGAAAAGGAUCAUCUCUUUUGAACAUUGUGAUUCUUAGUGUAGUUCUCAAACUCUCUUGAAAAAUGAAAGAAUAUUGCCCUGUUUGGGAUCCUUUGAGUUUCCUGCUUUCUUUCCUCCUUUUCCACUAAUGGCAUUUGAAUUGGCUGGUGGCUUCUUAGUUGCUGGAGCACUGGAAUUGUAAUAAAUAAAGUUAGUCAUGAUCAUGAAGUGUAAACCCCAUAUUAAAGUAGUAAUCUUUUGUUUUAAAAAGCAGAAAAUUGAGAUUAAAAAAUAAAACAAGAUUAAAAGGGGAGUCUACAAGCUUCAUAUGUAAAAAAAAUGUUAUUGCUGGCUAGACUGGACAACCAUUUUGGUAAGCAUGUGAUGUGAACUACUUAUAUAGUUGAAUUUCAGGUAAAAUUACAGUGUCCAUUUGACUCCUGUUCCCAAAUCAGUAUUUCGCUUUUUGUUUGUUUUAAUAGGAUGUUUGGUGAUAUAUGUUUUGUUCAUCUUUAAAAACUGUUUCAAACCCAAAAAAAUAAGAACAAUUAUUGUUCUCAAAUGUUCUACUUACUGUUCUUGACUGCUGGCCACUUUGUAGAUAAACUGGACACUGGUGUAGCAAUUUGUAAAUAACUUGGGACAGUGGUAUUUCAUGGCAAUUUUCUAGGUAGUUAAAACUACAAGUAGAACACAUAGACUACUGUUCAAACAGGUCAAUUGUCAUGGUUUUAGUGAACUUUUUUUUGCUACUCAAGUUUUUUGGUGAACCUAGAUAAGGCCAAGGAAAUGAAUAUUGGUUUACACAGUCGUGUAUUUUACCUUCCAAAAAUACGACAUGCCCAAAUCCAAACAACUUUUAUAUCCUUAUUCUUGAAAACUAUUUUGCAAAACAAAAAACAGAGGCCAAAAGCAAACAGUAAUUUACGUUUCUUAAAUUGUUUCCAUAAUUUAAAUCAAAACCUUCAAGUAUAGCAAUGUCCAUUAUCAUAUGGGAUCUACGUCAAACAAGCAUAAACCUUAAAAUGAUUAACUGGUUAAGUACAUUGACCACACUAGUUUCAACCCACAAAUCCUGGCAAUAUUUUGCAUUAAUUCAAAUGAACCAACUACAUAUUUCAAUAUCAAUAAAUCAAAUUUUUUCUGUCAAAAGACCUUGAAGUACUUCAAAAAUACCUAGCAAGUUGCAAAGCAAACCUAAUGAAGUACCACUUUAUGCUUCAUGGAACAACCAACAGGUGUCAUUCAUCUCAAAUGUAUGAAGGAUAAGGAAGAUUAACACUAACCUAUUGAUAGCUUUGGUAGAUGCGUUACUGUCAGACUUCUUUGUUGUAACCUUAUCAGGUUUCUUCUCUUCUGUCUCCUCCCCAUCCCAGACUACUUCAGUUACUGGAGAGAAGAAAACAACAUAAACAAGAGAAAAAUACAAAACAUAACAUAAAAAACUUUAUGAUUAAUGAGAUUCACCAAACAUUUUGAUACAAAUCACCCUAAAAUCAUGCAAGUACAGAAGAAAAAGUUGUAUAUAAAUUAUAAAGAAUUAAGUUCAAAAUAGAAGUUCCAAAGUAAUCUAUUAUAGUUAUAGUCAUACAUAAAGUUAGCUUGUAUGCUAUAUGGAAAUAAAGAAGCUGCUGAGUGGGAAAAAAAAGCAUUUAAGAAUGUAAGUACCUUCUCUCCCUCGUUCAUCAAUCCUGGUCUUCAUCACUUUUCUCCUCUUAGGUGAACAUGGAGGGGCAUUGUUUACACUAUCCUUAUUUAAAUGUACUUCAGGAGCACCACUCUGCAACUUCUCAGAAGAUGAUUUCCCAGUAUUUGUGCACCUGCUGAUAGCUGAUACAUUUUCUCUCAGUGGAAGGUGAGCUUUUUGCUCAGUUGCUCUUUCUUCCUUAACCCCUGAUUUAUUUUCUUCCUGCAAAUCAAAAUUCAGAGUGGUUUUCUCUGAUGUUUUUUUGUCAUUUUGUCUAGAAUCUAGAGAUGAUUGUUUAUUUGGGAGAUCAGGUGAUGCUAAACUGACAACAUCAUCUUCAUCUUCAUCUGAGAAAUCAAAGACAACCCUUCUUUUCCUAUUGGACGACCUCCUCAAGGAGACAUCUUGAUUAUCAUCAUUACCACUGUCACACUCUUCUGCUUCACAAGCAGCAGUUUGUCCAGCUUCAGUAGAUACUGAAAGAAAGUGUAAUAUAUUGGAGACACAUUGUUAUGUUACUUUGCAGUCACCAAGAAAAAAAAAUGAAAAUCUAAAACAACACAAAUAGAAUAACUGCAACGAAACCAACCAAGAGGAUUUGAAAUUUUGUUAUUAUUUUCUGCUGAUGAGGAGCAAGGCUUGGGUUUUGCAGAUGCACGGCCCCAAAGGCUUGCUAAUGAACCUCCAUUAACAGAACCACUUUUAUCAGCUUGUACUUUCUUUUUGCCUGUGGGUAAGGGAGGGGCCUUUUCUUUAUCUGCAGUAGGUUUGUUCAUGUUAUCAUGAACUCCAGUAUUCCCUAUACCAUUGCUUUCACUCUUGACUUCUUUUACCACACUCUGUGGUUUGGUAUCGACUUUGUCAAUCGAAUCACGUGAUAUAUUUUUAGGAGGUUGCUGAACUAUGUCACUCUUUGUUGGUCCCUCACCUACAGAUUUUGAUUGAGGAGCUGCAAAAACUACUGUUGGGCCAUCCACAUUCCGCUGCACAAAAGAAUUAGAGAUCCCACAGAACCUGAGAAGUAAGCUAGUUAGCCACAAGGAAACCCACAAACAUAAUCUCUAAUUCUCUAUACAGUAAUGUAAACAUCACAUCAUUUCAAUACAAGUAUAGUGAUGUAUGCAGGUCCGUAUAGAGAUUAGACUCAGCACAUGACAGUAGAAGAAAAUUGAUAUAACCAUUUUCAUUGACUACAUUCUCGACCAUUGAAGAGAUUCUGGAAAUUAAAUCUUGCAGUUAACUUACAACAGUAAACAGGACCUGCCAGCAGUUUGAGAUCUAUGAAAAGACCAACAUGCACAUUGAUGCAAAAAGAAUUGAGGAUGGCAAAAUCAAAUCACCACUUUUUACUGUAUAAAAAUCAACAUAUUUUAAUGCCAAAGAUUCUCCAAUUUGAAAACCAUAUCUGAACCACUUCUAGUUUAUCUGAAACAAAACCAACCAAAACCUUUUCCACUAAUUUUCAAAGCAACUUUUUCCCCUCUUUUAAAAUGCUCCAUUCUAUUACUCAUCCCUGAUAGAUACAUCAUAAUAUCAUACCAUUCUAUCUUUUACCCUUUCCUAACAAAAAUAGAUACCAAAAUCCAAAACAUAAGAAAAGAACAUGGGGACGGCAGGGAGUCUUGCUAUUAACCAGAACCAUUCAAAUUCAAAUAAUCAAUGAAUAGACUUCUGAUCUCUCUUUAUAAACCCUAAAUAUUUACCAUUGGUAUUGAAAAGUAAUUUUUCCAAUGUAUAUAGUAUGUAGAGGAGUGCUAGCAACAAACUCUUUAACACUCCUAACACACUCUACUAUUGGUUGAAAUUUAUUGGAAAUUACAAAAUCAUGAGUCAUUAAAUAACUAGUGGAACCCACAACUUAUUGUGAUUUCCAAGAAAUUUCAACCAAUAAGAAAGGGUGUGUUCAAAAGAGUGUGUUGCUAGCAUUUCUCUGGUAUGUAUGAAUAUCAAGGAUGUUAACUUGCUGAGUACUCCCACUCAAGCAUUUCACAGAAACCUUUCCUAAAUAUUUUCUAGUCUCAUGUCAAAUGUACACAUACAGAAAUAUGAGUGGCACCAAACCUCUUGGCAAACAUAACAAAAGAGUAAACAGAAACACUCAUAAGUGAAAUAUGAGUGGCACCAAAUCUCUUGCCAUAAUUUUGUAAAGAAUCGGAAUAAUUCACAAAGAAAGUAUUCCAAUUAAUAUCAAGACUUGCUUGUUUGACAAUUUUUUUUUUCUGAGGAGAAUGUCUCACCAACAUUUUUCUGCUCUGUUUCAGUAACAAAGUUCAUAUUUCUCAUGUAAGAAGGAAAAAAAAUUAUUCUGACCUGCUAUAGGUAUAAAUGAUAAGAUUCAUGCACUUGAAAACUGAAAUUUUGCCCCAUUAUUUUUUAUUUUUUAUUUUAUAUAAUCUAGAAUCUUAAACCAUCCAACAUCAUUGAACAAACAGACCAUAUACCGCUACAGAUUCAUUAAUUCUGAAAAUAAUGAACACACAACCUAUCUAGACUAGAAAAAAGAUAAUUUUGAUUUGUUAUACAGAUCUACUUGAUGUGCUACAUACUAUUACCAUACAACAUACACAGUUUCUUCAAUUGAUCUAGAAAUAGCAUUAAAAAAAUAUAAAUCUUCAUGUUAAAAUGCACAUAGAUAUUUUAAAUGAAAGUAACAAAUGAACUGAAAUCAAUAACUAACUCCAAACUCUGGACAAUUUAAUACUUUCACACUGUACAUCUACCAUCACAUGAGGAAACUACAUAGAUAUUCUGCACUUAUGGAACCUACCUAUUAUCCCUCAAACAAUUGUCAACCGAGGAAGGUUGCUUGAAGAGCUCCUCUGCUUGAAUGAACUCAGCAUUCCAAAGAACAGCUGGAUCCUUGGGAAUGCUAGCUUGCACACUAUAUAUCUGAACGGAGCAAUCACCAUCAAAUUCUUGUUGUGCUUCUGCAUAAAAAGUAGGAAACAAUUUCAUGUUACUCCUGUUUCCAUCUGUUAAUAAGCCACUUCAUAUCAAAGAAUGGCACGCAAAACUUUCUCAAAACCCAUUCACUAACAAUGUCUCUCAAAUUAUAAACUGAACAGGUUAAUUGAAAUGCACACACCAUAUGACUAGUGAAACUUCUUGACAAGCAGUUCUACCACCAUAGACAAACUGAUCAUACAAUACAAGUUGACAGUUGAGUCAGAGACAUACCAAAUUGAUCCAUAUCCAAGUUUCAUACAAGAGAAUUACAAAAACAAACAAAUUCAGUUUUUAUAAAAUGAUACUAAAUUAGAACUGCCACUUCACUAGAAAAUGGGAUAUCUGCCAGUGGCCCAGUUCUGCUUGUUAUAAACAUAGCAAUGAAAGCUGCAUACCUUAAAAUUAAACAAAUAUGCACAAACUAAUGUGUGACAAAACUAUGAAUAUAGUGCACUAGUUUUUUUGGUUUCCCACAAGUAUCAUCUUUUGGAGACAAUCCUAUUCGAGACUCAAUCCUCAAUUGGGUACUAAAUGUAGGCACCUCUGCCAAGUCUCUUCCCACUAGACUGGAAAAUACUACCAAGCCAAAUGAAAAUAUCUUACGACAAUGGUUCAGAAGCAUAUAACAAUUUUCCACUAUGGCAAAGUUAAAAUUGAUUUUUUUUACCCUCUCAUAUUCUCACAAAUUCCUGUAUGUCAACAGAGUGGCAGUAAGUAAAAUACAGUCGAGCACCCAAUUUCUUAUUGGACAAAACUAAGACACAGUUCCUUGUUCCUUAGAUGUUAUUGUUCUCCAAUCAAAAUUAGAGUUUCACCUCGAUAAUAUGUGUUAACAUUUAAAGCAAACCUUUUAUUACACAAAAUUACCAAAGUGAAACUCCAAUUCAAAAUUGGAGAACUGCAUCUAAGUUUUGUCCUUUCUUAUUAUUACUAUUAUUUUUACAAAAGACCCAAGUACCUGCAAGCUUUGGCCCGGUAACAAGCCUUACGUGGUAACUAGGAUGGUUGCUCUUUAACCAGCCAGACAAAGCAUACACCACCUCCAACCCACCCUCAUGUUUUUGCACAAACUCCUGAAGCAACCUACACACAUAACAAAAACUUGCAACUUUGCAUAAAACCAUAACAUAAAACACAAAAUAAAAAGCAGUUCCACGUGUAAAGCUUUUCACCCAAUUUUUCUUCGAAGAAAACCCUACCUCUUUGCUUCAUCGGACGAUACCAUAUAAUUGCGACUCAGCCAUUUGUACGAAACCUGAAAGAGGAAACGACGCCGCGCGAGAUCAGUUAUUUGCCAUAAAAUGAAAGGAAUUUGGGGGAAUUCGACAAAAACCCUCCGAAAUUGAAGAGAACAAAAAAUCACGCCAUAAAAAUAAAAAGUUGGAAAAAAAAAAAAACGGAAAAUGGUAAGUAUGAAGUUGCGAAAGUACGAAAGGAAGAGAGGGGUACCACUUGAAGUUUAUCGGAGACGAGAGAUUCGAUCUCGUGAAUGAAGGAUAGGGUUUGGGUCUGCGCCAUUGGAAGUGAAGAGUGACGAAAUGAGUUAAGGGUUUUCUUUUUUUCUUCUUAUUUCCCUCCGAUUUUGUUUUCCCGCCAAUACACGCAUAUCUACUUUUUUCAUCCACUUUUCUGCUAAGAGAUUGUGUGCAUAGAACGUAUUGGUGCAGUGUAGGUUAAAUUUUUAACACUGAUCUUCAUAUUGUUCUUUUUAUGUUUAUUUAUGUAUGGAAAUCUCAACCUAUUCAUUUAUAUUUUAAUUGAAAAAAUAUAUAAUUUCUUUCUAUAUAUAUAUUUUUUUAUAUAUAUAGGAGAAAGCAUAUGAUGAAAUAGCAAAAGAAGUUUUUGAAAGGUCUUUUAAAAAGAAAGAUUUGUCUGUCAAAAAACAAAAAAAGAAGAAGAAGAAAGAUUUGGGUGAAGAGUAAGUUAACUAACUAUUGACUAUCUGCACAGUCACAGUUACUCAUUAACUAAAAUACACUACUCCAGCACAUAGUUACGAAUCUCGGUUAAUUGCCUCGGUGAAGGUGGGGAAGGUUAAUAGUUCAACCGGUGCACUAGUGGCUGGUUUGGUUUAAUACGAUAUAUAUUAAAAAUUUAAAAUUAUAUAUGUAUUUAUUAUAUAUAAGUAUAUAACUAAUAUUAUUUGACUAAGAAAAAUUCAUUUAUACUAUAAAACAAAAAAAAACAAUGAUUAAUAAUGAGACAUUAAGACAGUGUUGUAGAGGUGAUUUAUUUUUUUCAUAUAUAAAAUUAGCUGGGUCGGACUGGUCCAAUCGGGAUCCAUUGACUUAACUGUCCUGAUCGAAUCAUCUUAAAUCAAUUGUGUGACCAAUCUAAUAAUAGAAUCGAUCCUAUUAGACUAUCAAAUUUUGAUUGGACCGAUCCGAUCGGCUGAAGCGAAUCGGAUUUCACAAUUAUGCUCUGACAAUAACAAAAAAAAAAGUGGAUAUAAAAUGUUAUCACUAACAAUCUAUUUUUUAUUUUACUUUUCAUGAAAAAAGUGCUAUGAAAUUAUUAUCAAUUAAUGAUCAUAAUUUUCCAUGAUUAUAUUCUUGUAUUAACAUAUUCUAUAUAUAAAUUAUAUGUUAACGUACAAUGAAAUGCUGCAAUGCAAGCUCGGUCACAGGAUUUCAUAUAUAUCCUCACUGACCUCAUUCAUUAGUUGACUGUUUCAACUUCAAGUCACAGGCCACAGCUACAAAUUAUUUCUUUUAUACGAGUACGUAGAUUCUCAUUAUGGGAGUUUCUCAAAUCCAGCUUGCAUUAUGGUUCAAGUUUGAUUAUUAUAUAUCGAACAGUUAAGUCAACACACUCACAAGAACCAGUAUAUAGACAAGGGCACUCUAGCUAGUAUGAACAUGGAGUUAAAUAUAUAGGUCAAAAUAUGGUCAGAACGAAAAAAUUAAAAAACAUAGGAUAAUAAACAUACAUGUGAAGCAAAACGGACUCAUCUGAGCAAAACAAUACAAAAUAAACAAGAACAAACAGUUUAGUCCAAUGAUUCUUGCUUGAAUAAAAAAUAGGAAAAAUUUUCCCAACAACCAUGGUCCUGUUCUAUAGAGUAUAGACUAAUUUAGUCACUAUUGUAACUUAUUUACAUCCAUUUCUCUGUCCACCACUAAAAAUUUAAUUUUCUCCAUUUCAUUCAAAAUUCAUACAAGAAUUUACCACGAAAUUUUUUCUCGAUAUGUUACCACACCAAAACUUAAAACAUUUUAUGAUCCUUAGGGAUGGAAAAAUUAUCCGAAUUCACGGAUAUCCAUAAAACAAAAUCUGUAUUGGAUAGAACAUGAAUAAUAAAAUGAUAUUCACGGAUAAUUUAAAUAGAUAUAAUGGUACCCAUUAAUAAGCAGGGAUAAGAGCAUGUAACAAAGUACUCAUCCCGUGGAUAUACGCUUUAAUAAAAUUAUUUAAAUGCUCUCAUUUAAAUAUAAGAAAUUGAAGUAUUUUAGUUUAUUGACUUUAAUUUGCUUUGGAUUAAAGGAUUGAAAUAUUUUAACAUUAGUUUCUAAAUUGAAAUAUCUUGUUUAUUAUAAUUAUAUAGAGUAAUAAAGUAAAAGAUUUUAAUGAUUUUAAUUUUGACCUUUACAUUGUUUUUUUUUAAAGAAACUAUUAGAGCAAGUAACAAUUUAGUUAGUGUUUUAAAAAUAUUUUAAGCUAAUUUUUAUUUUUUUUAAUAAAUAUCCACGGAUAGUUGGCAUUGCAUAUGAGUAUACAUAUAGUUUGAAUGUGGUGGACCCUCAACUCAACUUAGUGUUGAAAAUGUCAAAUAAAUCUAUAAAACAGAUUAGUAGACAAAUUCUUAGAGGUAAAGGUCUUUAAAGUAAAGUAAGUUGUUAUCAAUACUCAUCAUUUUUUUUAUUUUAUAAAAUUACACUUUUUUCAUAGUAUUAAUUUGAGUCUCUUCUAUUAGAGAGACAACUAUGGUAAGAAAUGCAUUUUGAUUGAUUACUCAAAAGGUGAAAAUCUCUUUUGAGUAAGUGUCCGCAUGAAUAUCAUGAUUCAUGCAUAUGUGCAUUUGAACUUAUGACGUGAGAAUGAAUUGAUAUUUGGUGUGAUUGUGGAAAGGUUUUCAUAUCAAUGGUGUUGAUGAUUUUUAAACCUCUUUGAAAUGAAUUUAUAUUACUUUAAAGUACUUCCCUUUAUAUGUUGUUUCUUUUUAAAAUUAGUUUACCCUUGUAUUUUUUUGUUGAAUUGUGAAGGCAUCUCCAAUGAUCAAUACUUAAGAUAUUCACUUUGAGUAGCUAAGGGUAUAUUAAAUUAAUUUAGUUGAUUCCUACAAUAUCACGUCACAUUUAAGAUACCCAUACACAAAUUUGCUAAACUUGGGUUAGAAAAAUUAUCUUUUAUUCUUAAAAAACUUGAAAGAGGGGUUGAUAAUAUAAAAUACGAACCUUAAAAUAAAGAAACACAUGUUGCCACCUAGACCUACCCCAACGACGAUAAAAAAAUAACUAAUUAUUUCUUAUCCUAAGAAACCACCAUUAGAUAGUACACAAAAAAAUCGGUUUAGAGACUGGAAUUUUGUGAUUGAACGGCAUCGGUCGCAAGUUGCGAACGGCUUAUUUUAAAUACAAAGAAACUUUGAAACUAAGCGAUGAAUUUAGCGACUAAUAUAUCAAUGGCAAAGUAAAUAGACUUGUGCCAAUCACAAAUCCAAUAGCAAAAAUUAUUUUGCCACAUGUUUGGUGGCUAAACUUAUUUAAUAUUUCGCAACCGAAACAUCCCAUUGCUAGCAUUGUAAACACAUAACAAAAUAAAACAAAAUUAUUAUCAAUUAUUUUGUGACUGAACUACAUGUGCUAAAACUAACAUAAAGGUAAAUUGCGACUUACAGACUUGGUCGCUAAUGUUAUUAUAAAAACCAAUACAAUAAAUAUAAAAUAUAAAAUUUAUUAUUUAAAAAAUAUCAAAUAUAAUAAUAAUAAUAAUAAUAAUAAUAAUAAUAAUAGCAGCGUAAUGAUAUAUAUGUAUAUAUAUAUUGCAAUUUUUUACAUUUUUAUUUAAAAAAGAAAGGGAAACAUAACAUAAAAGGGUUUUACAAUAUAGUUUAGUUUCUAUUUUAGACACUUAAAAUGUAGACGUUUUAUUAUAAUAAUAAUAAUAAUAAUAAUAAUAAUAAUAAUAAUAUAAAUUUAAAAAUUAAUAUUAGUUAUAUAAUACAUAUUUUAUGUAAUUACAAAUGUAAAUAAUAAUUUAAAAAACAAAGGUAGGGGAUCAAGUUAGGGAAUGAACUUUAUGUUUUUUAUUAUAAGGAAACCUUGCGAUUUAUUUUAACUACAUUGAGAUAUUUUAAAGUUGUAGUGCUCUAAGACACAACACAUUUAUCUUUUAUGACUUAAUGACAUUUUAUCUAUGAUGAUUAGAUUAUAUAUUUCGAAUUUAAAAAAAUUCAUAAGUAUUUUUAUUAAUUAAUUUAAGAGUUUUACAAAAAAAGUCAUGGAUGGAACAAUUUCAUGCAUUCCAAUAAUUAUUUUUUUAUUUACUUAACCAAUAGCCUAAGAACAUUGAUUAACAUUUACCUUAAAUUAAAAAGUUUUAAAAUGACUAAAAAUGAAUCUUUAUGAUUCGUGUUCAUAGAUUCGUGUUGAUGUAAUGACGUCUCGUGACAUGAUAUGGAGGCUCCCAUAGCGAAACAAGUAAAAAAUUAUAAUAGGUCGAAUACAUAAAAUUAUUAAUUUUAUGCAACAAAAAAAAAACAAAUGUUACUAUCUUUUGAAUCAAAUUAUGCAUUUACUCAUUUUAUAUUCUAUGAAGAAAUAAAUUUUAAGUAAAUAAGAUAAACCUAGAGACUUAAUUUUAUGGACCAUAUAUAAAAUAAAACAAGUUGUAUAUAUGUUGUGAAAAGGAGCUAUAGACAAAAGCAUUUUAAAACAAUAAAGAAAAAGAAAAAUAAAUGGUCAAUAUUGGGAAUUAUUCACGCUUGUUGGUCAAACCACAAGUGCACUUAAUUGGACCAUCCAUCCCCAGACAUAUGUAGAGACCCUUUCCAUACUUUGACAACGUCAAACAGUUCUAAGUGUAUAAUUUUCUUCCAUUACUGCAUGCGAUCCUUUUUCCCAAUAUAUAUAAAUCUUAUCCCACCUUUGUACCAAAACACAAACACUAACGAUUUGGGCUUUGAGCAACUUCUGCAUUAAUUAUAUUUGAGAAGAUAUAAAUUCAUAUAUAUCUACUUUAAUAUUUGGUCUCUAUUGUUGUUCAUGGCUCUUCCUGCUGUUAGCUCCAUGCACAUGCCACUGCUGCAAACGUCGUCCAACUCUAGCACACAAAAUUCUAUGUCGUCGACGAUGAGCCAAAGGAGAGGAGGAAGUGUAGUUCUACAAACGAAAAGAAGACAUGACGGAGGAAAAGGACGUGAUCCACAAACGAACAGCGUAGGGCUACUCAAAAGCACAGCAACGAAAAACAAAGGGAGUAUUCUACAAACUGAAAGAAAACACGACGGAGGGAAAGGAAGUGAUCCACAAACAAAUUAAAUAGUCUAGGGCUACUCAAGAACACAACCAAUAAUCUUCAGAUUAUUUGUAUUUUUCUUAGAAAUUUUAGUUCAUCGUUAUCUCAUCAAUAUAUAACUGUAUCCAUGUAAUGAUAAAGGUUUUUGUUACAUUAUUUAAUUACCAUGGUUUCAUAUGGACAAGCUCAGACCUUGUUGUUAACAACAUUUAUUUCAUAUAGUUACUCGCGCUGGUGGAAUAAUUAUUGACUUAACUGUUGGGGUUAUCUUGUACAAGUACCCACCCAUUUCACAGAAAGUCUAUAUGUAUGUAUCACCAUAGAUUAUACCACCACUUGAAGAUCUCAAAUCUUGGUCCACUCAAAGUAUAUCUCAGUUAACAUUUGCUAGAGUAGUCUGAUCUCAAUAAACGAUCUACUUUCGACACACAUAGCCCAUCAACGUUUUAAAUUACGGUUGUGGUGAGUAAAAUAAUCUUUACAUUACAAGUAAUUAUAGAAAUGAUGCGACUGAUGUGAUCGUAGUUAUGAAUACACUCAAAAAAUUGUUAGGUUGUGAUCACAAUUAUAUACCAUUGUGGAUCGUAAUUUAAAACCAUCUUGGACACAUCAUUUUAACCAUGUCCUUGUGGUUAGGGUUAUUCAAAAUCCAACUAAACAUUUGUAAAUUGUCAAACCAAAAAUCUCUUAAAUAAAAAACUAUGAUAGAUUUAGUUAAUAAAUUUAAAUUAUGAUAAUAAAUUAAGAAAAUACAAAAAUCAUAAAAAUGAAUCAAAUCAAAUAAAAAAAUUGAUUUGAUUUUGUUUGAAAUUAAUAUUAUAUUUAACUUGAAUCAAAUUAAAUCACAUAUUUAUUUUAUGUUUAAUUUGAAUUAUUUUUUCGUUUAAAAUUUAGAUUAAAUUCAACCGCAAAUAUUCCUAACUGUGAUUGACUCCAUCGAUGAGGCAAUGAUGUAUUCGAGAUGGAUCGUGUUGACGUGUCUAAAGUUGCUAAUUAACUAGCACCAUACUCUAGAGGACGUUAAUUAAUUGAUGCAGACUUUAGAGUCGACUGAGAUCCGAGAUCUUCAUGUGUUGGUAAUUAAGCUAAAGAAUAUAAAUAUAUAUCACGAAUCCUAUUUUGAAAUUAAGGGGAUACCUUAUUACAUAGAGGUAUUGAUGGACUUAUAAGAACCUUGAUAAAGUGUUAUAAUUUUAAUAAUUAUAAAACAAGUUAUGCGUACGUUGUUAUAUUAAGAGAAAACUGAAAAUUUCAAAAGUAGUAGGUAAAAGGAAAAAGGGUGAAGAAUCCUUGGUCAGUCGAACUAUUCACUCAGUCAAACAUCAAGUACCGUAGUAUUUAGGUUGACCAUUGAUCCUUAGAAAUAAAAAUACGCGUUGAUAAAGACUUUGAGAUCUUCAAACCAACUUUUCGUCCAAAUCUUUUAGUACUUUAUGUUAACUUAUUCCCUAUAAAACUCCACCUUCAAUUAAUGCAUGCACCACAGCCACCACACCACUCUGCAUUAGUACUUCUGAAAGCAAGAGUUAAUAUAUAAUAACUAAAGUUUGGUCUGUGUUCAUGGCUAUUGCUUCUGAUAGCUUCAUGCACAUGCCAAUGCUGCGAACGUCCAAUUACAAUUCUUUCCCACAGAAACCUAUGACAAUGACCAUGUAAGUGUCUCGGAGAUGAGAAUUCAUUUAAUUUUGAAAUAUCUAUAAAUUCAACAUUAUGUUGUCUCAAUUAAUUUUUCUAUAUACUUUCCCUAUUUCUAAUUAUAAGACUCUUUUAACUAAUUCAUCUAUUUUAAAAAAAAUAAUUAAUUUAAUUAAUUAUAUUAAAUAUGUCAAUUAUUUGUAUUAUUAUUUUAAAAUUAUUUUUUUCUUAUCUUUCUAUCCAUUUAAUUAUUUUUCAUUAAUGUUUGAAAGGAAAAUAAUAAAGUAAAAAUAUCUAAAAAAAAUAAUUAAUACAUCUAAAAAUUAAAAAAAAUUAUAAAAAAAACAAAUAAAUUCUUAGAAAAGAUCUUAUAAUUAAGAAGGAAAUGAAUAAUUGAUUAAUGUAACAGUACUUAAGACGAUCGAACUUGAUAUAAUAUAAAGUGAGAUGAAUUAACCAUAUAUUGGUUGCAUUUUCUUUGGAUUUCAGUGCAAUAGUAAUAAAACAGAACAAGCAGGGACAAGAGGGAUUGCUGUCUUACAAGCUAAAAGUAGUGACAACCAAGGGAAAGGGAAGGGUACUCAAACAAAUCGCGUAGGCAAUGAAGAAGUGAAGAAAAGCAUGGAAAUUAAGGAAUAUUGGUGAUAUAGUAUAAGUUUAAAUAAAUCAAGCUAUAUAUGGAGUCUUCACAGAGAUCCUUUGCUAUUCCGUACCAAACCUUCAUUGCACGAAUUCAGUUUUUAACCAACAACAUGUAUGCAGUUAAGAUUUUACAAGAUACAUAAUAAUUUAGUUUAUAUGAAAAUGUAACCAAUAACCGCGAUUCCUAUAUAAAAUCAUCUGCAUGAAUUUGUCUUUUGGUUCCAUGGUGAUGCAAAGGUAAACAUACCGCUAGAUCCACUCUGCAUGAAUUUGUCUAAUUCAAUUCAAUUAUGUUCAAAUUUCAAUACACCUUCAACGGUGGUUGAUCCCAUAUAUAGGUAUAUUCGGGCUAUCUAACUCCCCCUCCCCUCUUUUAAACUCUUUAAUUUAAAGCAGAUAUGUUUUAAAAAUGUGUAAUAUUGAGUGGAACAUGCAUAUUUAUUUCUUAAAAAUAAUUAUAAAUGUCACUAUUAAUUACAUAAGAAUUUCAUCAAAGAGUUAAAUAAUUUUCAUGCAUAUGUAAACAUCAUUAGAUUAUAAACAAAAUUAAAAUAAUAUGAUUUUUAAAGUAAUUAUUAUCAAAAUAAAAUAAUUCAUGAAUUUUUUGUGCAAAAAUAAAUCAUGAUUUGAUGACAGAGUAAAAAAAAAUAUUUCUUAUACAAAUGCAUUCUACUAAGCCCAUUUGGACUUGUAACAUAAACACUUAUAUAUAUAUAUAUAUAUAUAUAUAUAUAUAUAUAUAUAUAUAUAUAUAUAUAUAUAUAUAUAUAUAUAUAUAUAUAUAUAUAUAUAUAUAUAUAUAUAUAUAUAUAUAUAUAUAUAUAUAUAUAAUAAAACCACAACUCCUUUGUUUCCAUACAUUUACUGUAGGAGCAUUAAUUAUAGUGGUUUAUUACUUAAUUUUUAAAGAUAAAUCUUAAUAUAGAAUAAAUUAAAGUUCAAAGUUAAGGAAACAAUUUUUGAUCAUUUGAGAAUUUAACCCCACACACAAAUAUGUAAACAUGUCUCUUAUUUUAAAAUAAGAUUAUAGUAGUUUUUUAUUAUAUAGAAGCAGAUUAUGAGUGAAUUAGAGGAAAACGUACAUUGAGAUUUGAGAGUUAUUAUAUUCAAACUCAAUUACCUAAUUUAUGAAGAUUAAUAAAAAUAAUUUAUUUAAUUAAUAAUAAUAAAUUUAUUUUAAAUUUAUAUAUUUUUAAAAAAAAUAUCAUUUUCAUUAAUUAAUGUUUCUUUCUCUCUUUUAAAUGCAUGUCAAUAUAGUAUCUCUCUUCUUUAACUAGGGGUAAUCUUAGUCUAAAAAUAAUUAAUACAUGAAAUAAUAUAAAUUGGAUCUUAUAUAUAAAAGAAAAAGUUAAAUCUUAUAAAUUGGAAUAGAUUAGUAUAAUUUUUUAACUAUAAGUUGUGCGGUGUGGAAAAGAGAUCGAAAAAGCCCAUUUGAAAAGUAGGAAAAAAAGAAAAGGACACAUUGAAUUGUUAUCUGAUCAGUCAAACAGAAAGUGGCACUUAAUUAUGUGUUGAGUCAGUUGACCAUUAAUCCAUAGUAAAAAUACGCGUUCAAGAGACUUAGAGGACUUCAAAAAUACGUGAAGAAUCCACUGAUCUCUGCUAGUAGGUAAUCUGAUUCAUCAGCCAUGUUUAAAAAAUUAGAGUCCAGUUUAAUUUGAGAAUAACACAUAUUGGUAGAUUUACUUUAUAACUAUAUAUAUGGAGUCGCAGCUAUAUCAACAAAAAUAAUAACUGAAAAAUGAUUGGUCAACCAAUUAAUUAAUUGUCCUGCCAUAGAAAUAUAAAGAAUUCACAGUACGUUCAGGUCUUCUUUCAUAAUAUUAUUCUAUUAAAGGACCACUCAAAUGUUUAUUAUUUUAUCACAUGAUCGAUAACGAUGCUCAUCACAGUAUGUGGGAAAACAACAAGCACGCUCACAUGGUUUCAUCCUCAUGUACAUACCUCAUUCAAUAAUAAUUGACCUCUUCAAUGAUAGCAACAAAAUGCUUAUGUACUUUACCUAGACUGUCAUUUUCGGAGUUUCAGAAUUAAGUCCAGUUUGUAUAUUGUUUCGACUUUAAAUAAUUAUAGAACCAAAAUUGUUAGAAAUAUUUUCUUUUAAUUAUUCUUAACUAAAAUUUAUUAAAGAUUAUAAAUUUUAUGGGUCUCAAUUUUUAUUUAUUGACGCAUGCUCCUACUUUUAUAAUUUUCAAUAAAUUUUAGCCAAUAAUAAAAUACUCCAUUUGAAAUUAAAUACAUAUAAAAAAUAAUUAUUUUAAUUAAGGAAGUUAAUUAAUAUUAUUUAGUUUUAUUAAUAUUAUAUAAAAAAUCUUUUCUAAACCAUCAUUUUAUUGAAACUUGAUAUCUAAACAUCAAAAAAAUUAUUGAAAAUAAAAUCUUGAUUAAACAUAGAUUUUUUGAAGAUAAUAUCAUUGAAUUAAAUAAAAUAUUAGUUAAAAUCUGAUUAUAUUUUAGUUCAUCAUGCACACUAGGGUUUUUGUUGCUUUUAUUUUAGUCACAAACAGUUUAGUCAAGAGCUGCUUGAACAGAAAAGUAAGAAUUGAUUAUUAGCUAACAACCAUCACUUGCACUUGCUGGUUAUUCAUUCAUUACCCAUCAUGCCUCGCAUAUUGGGAAACCUUACACCUAAAUUCCUUGUUCAAGCACUGAGAUCCAUGGCUCAAUUAACUAGUUUCUUCUUUUACUAUAUGUCUCCUUUUACUGCAUUUUUUGUUUUGUUAGUUUAAUUAAACCAUUACUGUUUCAGUGUUUCGGAACUAUUUCUUAACUUUCCAGAGUAUUACUACUCUGAUAUCAAAUAUUAAAAAAACAUUUUUUUUACCUAAGAAAAAUUUAACUAACUUUACUUCAUUUAAUACUAUUUAUAUUAUCUCUAAAAUAUCUUUCAUUUAAUUGAAAUUUUAGUUUUAAUGACUAUUUUUAUACCUAAUAGCAAGUUCUAAUGAAAAAUAAAUUUAAAAAAUUUUAAUUUUUAAUUGAGAUUGAUAGAAUCAAGUGGGAUUAACUAACGUUUUCUUUUUAUAUUUAAAAGCCCUAAUAUUCCUAUAGAUACUAGUAAUAUUUACAUUUACUAUCCAAAAGAUAUCAUUACUAAUACUAUACUGUUACUAAACCAGAGAGAGUAUCAUUUAAAUAACUUAUUCAGAAUUAGGAAGAAGGUGUAUAAAUAUGGUCAAGUUAAACACUUUUUACAUUCAUAGUUCUUAGCUAGCUUGAUGUUCUGCAUAUAUAUAUGGAGUUUUUUCCCCAUAAAAUAGAACUGACAUGAUUGUUGUUUAGACUAACAGGAAGAGGGUCAGGCAUCAGUGAUGGGAAAGGUGGACAAACUAAUAAGGUGGUGCAGAAGAACGAUCUGGCCAGCAACUCAAAAAAUUCAGAAUCAUAACAAUAUUGGAAGCUAAUAACAAUACGAGGUUGAAGUUAGCUUCUAAUGUAGCAAAGAAAGUUAGCAAUUACUUAGAAAUUGUAACUUCAAAGUUUCAGAAUGCAUAUUAUUAGCAAUUUAGCAAGUUGCUUUAAGAUUAGUGAGUAGUGAUUUUGAGUGUUCCUUAUUGCCAGUGAUUGUAUGAGUGAUAUUUGGUAGCAUAAGACAGUAAUGUGUAGAUUCCAGUUCUGGUCAUGCUAUUUGCUUUGUGCUUCAUAACGUGCAUUUGUUCCGUCUUCUGCUGUAAUUAAUUACCUUUUUUUGGUGAAAAAUGAAGUUGUACGGUACCAAUUAAUCUAAUCAUUGUAAUUAAAUAUUCUUAUUACAAAAUAUUCUUAUUACAAAAUGCAUUUGUUCAUAACGUGCAAAUUGCAUAUUUUAUUACAAAAUUUCACAUGACUGCUGAUUUUAAUCUAAUCAUUGUAAUUAAAUAUUCUUAUUUCUCACAAUAAUCGAGAAUACUUACCCUCUCUCUUGCGCACGCACGACACUUUUGGUCUUAUACUUCCACAUAGUUUGAUAGCAGUGCCCUUAGUUUUAGUAGCAGAAUGUUGCCCUUAUUAUCCCCGAGUUGAUGCAGUUAAGUGGCAUACCCUUUUUGCCAUUGGCUUUGCAAUCUUUUUGCUAAUGUGCACCAUGAUUUUUCUUUUGUUGGGGGGUAAAGGGAAGGGAGUCAAACAGGACCCGUGUUCUAUAGCUAGACUGGUUGUUUUAUCAGCAAAUCAAAAUAAAACUGUUUUCUUGCAUUCAAGAUAUGAAAACAUCGAAAUUAUGUUUAUUAUCAUAGUGAUUAUUAUCUUAUAAUAUGGAAUAUAUAGUUAUAUACCUUAAAGCAUGAUUUAUAUACAUGUCAGAGUUUGUAUCAUUUUCAUCACAAUAUCAUAAGUUGUGUUAUAUUGUGUAUAUUAGAGAUACUUUCAUAUUGACGAGUAUCUUGUAAACAGGAAAAAAAGAUACCUUAUAAAAAAUAUCAUUUUUACCUUUGGUGGUUGGUAGGCAAACAGAUGUGUUAGGAGCAGAGUUUGCUAAUGUAAUUUUGCUUAAAGUGUAUUUGCAAUGAAGUGAUUUAUGUUUUGUUUGAGUAUUGAUGAUAAGAAUCCCAGUUGAACGAGUAAUACUAAUUACCAAAAGGAGUAUGAGCAACCUCUUGGAUGAGGUUAUAAAUAAAGUGAUGAAAAGAACUGCUUCACAAUUAACUGCAUAUUUCUUCUCUUUUUUUCUGAGCAGAGACCAAAACCGAUACUUGCAUAUGAACCAAAUAACUGAGCAUGAGAGGUGUUGUAAAAUACAGAUAUUGCAAAUCCCUGAUAACAAAUGAGCAUAUAGUGUUAAGAUCUUCUUAGAUAUUGAAGGUCUUGUCCUUUAAUUUGUUUUACUUAUUGUUUGAUGUGUUAGUUUGGCAAUCUAAAACACAAAUAACACAAUUAGUUUGGUGUUGGUCUUCCAAACACAAGGAAAUGCUUUAACUAUCAAAUAGUAUUUAGCUAAUAUUUUAUUGUUGUGGUGAUUUAAUAUCUUAUUUAAGGAUUGGGUUCAUUUUCCUCAUUUAUUUGUUCCAAAUUUGUUGGAUGAUUUUAUGGCUUAUGAAAAAGAAUCCAUAGAGUUUGUUAGUGUCCAUUAGGCUGUCAUCCAUAAAUCAUCAAAUUUCUGAUUUGAUUUAUCUGACAUUGUCUAUGCAAAGUUGCAAGUGACUCAAUUUACAUUUCCCUUUUGAUAACUUGGUAACCUCGCCUGUUUUGAAAUUGGAUUGGCAGCAUGAUAAAAUUUUGAUUUCUUUCUUUUUCCUUUUUCCUGGUGCUUAUGUUUUACAGUUUUCCUCAAAUUAUUUAUUCCUAACCUGAAAUUGGAUUGAGAGAUGGCUAUCAGGAAGUGCCUUGAAGCAACUGGCCAUGUUUGUUUGCCCCUAACCCCACACGAGUGGUGUCUUUCCUGCUAAAAGACUGGAAUUUUUUUGAGGUUCCUGAAAAUACUGUAAGGCGUACCAUGCAUGAAGAGUACUUUCACUACGUUUUCUAAUUUAUUUGUGGAGAAACCUUAGAUGUAGUUCCUUAAUUGCUUUGGUGUUCUUCAAUCAAAAUUGGACUUUUACUUUGGCAAUCUACGUAAUAAAAGUUUGCAUUAUAGGUCACUAAGAUGAAACUCUAAUUUUGAUUGGAGAACAACACCAAGAGCACUUAAAAAAUUGCAUCGAAGGGUCUCUUCUGGGAAACAGCUUAAUUUUAAGCAAUUGUUGAAUAAGUACUCAUCAUUAUAUGUUGUUUUUAUAAUCAAAGACAAAUAAGAUUAAGGUUGAAUUGUUUUCAUAUAUAUAACUUAUAAGUUGUUUUCACAAGUUAAAUAGGAAAGCUUAUUGAAAUAAAUUGAAAACAACUUAUGCAAAGAUCAUAAGCUAAGCCAUUUUCAUAAGCUUAAGCGCAUAUAUAAGUGUUUAUGUUACAAGUCCAAAUAAAAUAUAAAUGGGCUCUUCUAAGUUUUUUCCAUUAUAUAUAGGCGUAUCUGUUUACCUAUGUUAAUCUACAUUUUCGUUUUCUCCAUAAGGUUUGCUGUGGAUGCGCACUGCAGCAAUCAUGCAAGUUUGGGAAUCAAAGUGUAUGGAAAUGUAAAGAUGCCAAUAAUUUGGAUUCUGUGACUGUGAUGAAGGUUAUUACUCCAUAUGCUUUAGAGUCAGUGAACCCCCAACUGGUAGUGCCUGAUGAAGUAAAGAAGUCAGUAAAUUAAUUGCUGAAGGAGGUUGUGAAACUGAGUCAAACCACCUGAGAUUGCUUCUGCUUGACCACAUAUUGUUAUAACUUUUUCUCACAAAUGUAUGGGAAAUUGAGACACUCAUCACAGAUUCACAAGAGGGAAAAUUUGUGAACAUAAUCAGGCCUUGCAGACCAUUGUUGGAGAUUCUCUUUCUCUCUACACAAGCCUAGAAGUUUCAAAGUCAUGCUCAGGUAAAAAAAAGAGAAUUCAUAAGGACAACCUACCUCUCCUUAAUGCAGAAUUUCUCAUGAGUGACAACGUUUUCUUUGGAUAAAGUGCCUGUAUGAAAAUGACGAAGGCCAUCUUUAUGGGCUUUCAAUAGAUUGAAUUCUUAGUUCAUCUUAUUUUCAAAGAAUAGUUGUUUAUUUUUAUCAAUUUCUUGAAUGAAUUUUUAAUAAAUUAAGCAAUUUUUUUUUACAAAAAAUGUUACCAAACAUGCACUGCUAUGAACUUUGGCUGUUCAUAUUGGAAGAGGUGUAUCUAGUAGGUUGAGUGUUCCUCUUUUUGUUUGUCUUUUCAUUAUAGGCUGAGUUUUCUGAUAUGCCAAUCCAUUGAUUUUAACCCAACUUAUACAAAAGAUGGGUUGUUUAGGCUCCCCAGUCAAGAUUCUAAUCAAGUUUAGGAUUAUCCUGAAUCUGAUGCCUCUCAACAAAGUUUUAUUUUAUCUCUGUAAUAUUUAUUUUUCUCUCUUCGAUUCGAUCCUUUAGCCAUCCACUGCAAAAAAACAAACAAACAAACAUACCUUAUUAGGACAUGUUAUAUUUUGAUUAUUUUAUAGUGUCCUUUGAAGAAUGAACAUCUACCAUACUCCAUGUCUAUUUUUGCUUAAGCAUAUAAUUAUGGACUGAAAACAUAAAUCCAAUCAGCCCAACACACACUAAGCAAGACCAUCCAAAUUCAUGUACUAGCCUUCGCAUGAGGACAAAAAUAUAUGUACUCAAAACAAGAGCACAUGCACAAUUUUUCCUCCUAGUUUUUUUUAGUGUCUAAUAACAACACCAAGAUUUGAAUUUAGAACAUAUAAUAAAUUACUCAAACAUUAUUAUUAGGCCGACAAUAAUAUAUUAUAAUUUCUCUUCCUAGUCCCAACAUUGUUUCUUAUACAAAAUUACAUUCUCAAAUUUUUUGACGAUUUGGAACAAUAACAAAUUAAAUAUUUGCCUCUUGUAUAUAUCAUAUUAUACCAUAGGACCGACCAUGCACAUGAAGGCUAAUUUUGGAUAAAAGAAAGAAAAAAAAUGAAAUGUUAUUAGAAAUUUAGAACUUAGAAGAAGUUAGUAAAAGGAGGACAAGAAAAUCGGAAAGAUAUUGUGAUGACAUGAGGAAAGCGUAGGUGUAGCAUUUGGCAGAAGUUGGCGUUUGUCUGUUUGUUGAUGUCGGGAGAGGGAAAGCAAAAUAUGAAAAAACGCAUUGGUUUUCUUUUUCUACGCUGACUGGGUCUUUGGGUCUUUCUUCUCUUCACACCACUCUUUUGCACGUGCUUUGAUUCUUUUCGAGUUGUUCCAUGGGAGAGACUACUCUCACUCUAUUCUAUUGCUCCCAUUUCAUAACUUCUUCUUUGUUUACAAAACUAAUAUUUGUGAGAUGGUAUUUUUUUAUGGAUAAAUAUUAUUUUAUUAAUUUUAUUAGAAAUAUCAAUUAAGGGGGACUCAAAUUUGCAAUUUUUCUCCCAUUUGUUUUUCUUUUUCUAACCAUUGGAUCAAAUCUUAUAUUUCUUAUUUGUGAGAUGGUAGGUUGAGCAAAUAGCUCACAGAUGGUUGAAAUUUAUUCUACACAUUAAAGAGGAAAAUUGAGAGGUAGAGAUUGGCAUGGACUUUGAAGGAAGUUGAUUUUCAUUUUUCUAGUUUUAUAUUAAAAAGAAUAAUAAUUAACUUUAUAAUAGUAAGUAAUAAAAAUAAGGAUUUUACUAAACAAUGUUCAAAAAUUAAGAAGUGAAAGUUUUUAUUAUGAAUCAUAUACAAGGGACCACAAUUUUAUGUAUCCUAAUAAAAAAAAUUACUUUCUCCGUCACUACUCUUAGAAUAUUGAUUAGUAUUUGUUAAUAAAUAAUUCAAUGUUGAGUAAAAAAAUAUAACUGAAAAUAUUUUUUUCAUUAUUAUUAACUCACGUAUUGUCUAAGUAUGGUAAGUGUGAUUACUUUUAAGUCAUUUCUACAAUGAUUUUUUAUUGAUUAAUUAGACUAAUUGUGCAUUAUAGUGGUGAGGAGUGAGGUAGAUGCAUGAGGAAACUCUCAUUGUUAGUCAUUGUAAAAAAAAAAUGUAUUACAACUACAUUGGAGGAAUUUUUUUUCUUUUUUUCUGAAUUUUAGCCAUCCAAACAAUAUAUUUUUCUAUUUCUUUUCUCGUGCAUUUUAUCCUUGCUAUUUCUUUUUAUUUCAUUCCUUUCUAAAACAAAGUAUACGCGAUUGAUGCAUUUAAAAUAUCGUACCAAAGAACUAAUUUGUGAUUACCAAUUUCGAGAAAUUUUAAUGUUGUUUAAGUCUAAAGUUUGCAAGUUGUGUUUAUCAAGGGCACAAGACAGUAAUCCGUGCAUAGAAUAAAUUCUUAGGCAAUAAGGCCUAGGGGUAUGAUUUCAAUUGUACUAAUUUAAAUUCCCCUGAUUCUCAUUUUAUAUUAAUCCUAUAUUAAACUUCAAUUAAUGAUUUUUCCUUAGCUUCUAUCAACAAAAUGUCAUAAACGAUUGAUAAUCUUUUCCCAUAAUUAAAGUCUUAUUUGUUCAUUUAGGGAUUCAACUCAAAGAAAGCGUGAAACAUAGAGAGUAUGAUUAAUAGAAAUUAUUAAUCUAAUCAAAAGUUUAGAAAACGAGUUUGAUCAUACAAUGUCCAUAAACCCAAUUAUCCUAUAUAUCCACCAACUAAUUGUAGUAUGAUCGUUACUUAAUCAAUUGAUUCAUACUUGUAGAGAUUGAUCGUUUCUUGGCAAGAAUUAAAACAAUAAGAUAAUUCAAUUGACUGAAUAAAAUAAGAAUUCAAAUAAAUUAAGAAUUGAGGUUCAACGGGUACAAUUUACACCAUAACCCUAGUUAUGUAAUUUAGCUAGUACAUAAAAGUAAAAAAGGGAGAAAAACUGUAAACAAAUCUAGAUUCUCUCGUUCCUACUCUUCACGUCAUCCUUACUCCUUAUACUCACUCUUGUAGCUAUUGUUUCUCAGACAGAGCCUUCGAUUCUCCAAACCACAAAUAAGUCUCACCUUUACUUCCCUUUUCCUUUUAGAAAAAAUAUUUACAAUUAAGAAGCAGAGGGAACAAACACAGUUGUGCUUUGAGCAACACGACUGUGUUGAAAACACAAAGAAGAAAGUCUCAAAAUCAAACACGAUUAUGCUGAGAUUUGUACAAUUUAAUGAAACGCAUAACAAAUUAUCUUUGAAAAAAAGAAAAAACUCUAUUGAAUUUGCAUCUCAUUGACUUCUUCAAUUUGUGAUUGAGGGCUUGCACAAUUAAUUACAUAGUUUGUGAUUCUUAUUGUGAGUUAUGCAAGAUUUUGGAAAUCUUAAAGAGGAUUCAAACAACCAUGAUAAGAUUAUCUCUUGGAUUUCUUUAUAUGGUUCUUGGGUGAGAUAUCUCUAUCCUACAAAGUCAAGUAACUUUGUGUGCACAUUAAGAUUAUAGUAAAAACUCUCAAUUGGAUUGAUUGAGGAUCAAAUGUAAUUAUGUUGUGUAAAUUGGAUUUCUUCUAAGCCCUAAUCUCUCUUAAAUUCCAUUGAUUCUAAUUAACAGUUGACAUAAUCUUGAUUGAGAGUAAUUGAAUUGUUCAAGAUUGUAUUCGGUUGAAUUGAGAUUCUUGUAUUUAAUUGGUAUUGUUUUUCGUUAUUUUACUACACAAAUUUGGGUUUAUUCAUUGAAUGCAUUACAUUAAUUGCAUCAUUAAGGACAUAAAUGUUUCAUUGCACCACUAGUUUUUUUUUUUUAGGGAGAAAUUGUACGUACCACUAGUUAGGAACUUGGUUUUUUAGGCUGGACAUAUUCAUAUUCAUCAGUUAUUAAUUACAUUAUUAAUAUGAAUAUUUUAAAUUUCAUUCUAGAUAUAUUAUUAUGUAAUUUUAUUAAUAAAAAUAUUUCAUGAAAAUACAAUAAAGUUAAAUACGACCAUUGAUUAAGCAUUUUCUAUAUUCUUUAAAAACAAAUAAUAUAUUAUUUUCUUAUACAACUUUUAAAUAAUUACAAUUUAAAAGUUAUAAUAUUCUAAUACAAUUUUAUACUUGUUACACAGCUAUAACUAUUUAUAUUUUUAACUAUUUUUGAGACAUUUACUAUAGGAUUUAUCUAAUUCACCCAAGGUAAAAAUGAGAUUAAACCACUUCAUUUUUAAUAAUCAAUAAAAUUUAAAUAAUUAUCUUAUUACGAAUUAUACUAUUAAUGCAUUUACUAUCAUAUUUAAUACAUUAUUUUUUCUCUCAUAAAGCUAAAAUUUUCUAUAUGAUACGCAACAUGUUUUUGAUAUGAGAUACACAUAGCAUAUGUCAUCCAAUAUUUGUUUGUUAGCUUUGAUUUUGUUUGUGAAAACUGCAAUAGUUAAAAAAUAUUUCUCUGAAUUUUGUAAAGAAUAGAAUACUAAGUCACACGAAAAAUGAAUGGUUGAAUGAGUAUUUGUUUCUAUAUACAUAGAAAAAGAUAUUUUUAAUAGUAUUGACGAUGAAAAAAUCAUAAAAUAUUUUUAAAAUAUGAAAAAUGGUAAAUGACAAUUAUAAUUUGUAAAAAUUUAAAUAUUUUUCUAAAAAAGUAUUAGAAAUUAUCUCUUAUCACCAUUAAAAAAAAUCUGAUUCACCACUACUUUAGAUUAUGGAGGAAUCCAAUUCUUUGCAGCCAGAAAGACUAAAUGUAGUAUUGGGAAAAAUAUAUUUACACAUCUUAAAGGAUGUAGACACGUUGAGAGAUAUAUAGAAAGACAGGAAAAAUAAAUAAUUGAUAAUAUGAGAUAGCAAGCUAAGAAAAGAGAAUGAAAAUAAAUUUUGAAUGUCUAGAUAUUAGAGCUAUUGUUAUUUAUCGAUUUUGGUCUGCUUGAAUGAGAGAGAAAGUGGAACCCACGUGAAUGAGAGAGAGACACACUCCAACACGUGCGCCGAACUCCCUCACACGUGUCCCUUCCCUCCCCCAAUACGACGCCGUUCUGUUCCUUACCUGAGUUGUGUAUGUGCUUUCACCCCGAAUUGCGGAAAAGGUAAUAAUAAAAAUAAUAUAUAAAAUGUGGUGUAAUAAAUAUUAUUAUUAACAACGAAUAAUAUCAUGUGUGUAAAUGCAUCCUUGUGCAAGUGCUUUUUUGCGUGGUUUAUGUUCCGAAAAUACCCCUGGGAUCAUUUUCUGGUUGUCGUCUUCUUACCCGAAAUCGUGAAUUAUGUAUGGUGCGUCCAUCUAUCUAUCCAUAUCAACGAGGGCUCAUGGACUUUCAACAUCAGUUUGUGCUGUUCAUGUCAAAUAAGCGUGCUUUGUAAUAAUGCUACAUUUUGGCUUUUUAUCCCUCCUGUCAACUCCCAACCACAAAAAAACUAGGGCAAAGAAAAUUUGGAGAACAACAACUUGUACUACCUCACACACAUAUUGAAGAAAGACUAUCAUAUGAAAAUCAUCUUUUUAUAUAAAAAUGAGAAUGAUUAAUCUUAAUCAUUAAAUUAAAAUAAAAUAUUAACAUUCAAAUAUUUUAAAUUUAAAUUAAAAACUCAUUUAAUUAUAAAAUCUUUAUAAGAUUUAUCAAAUGAAAAGUUAAAUAUCUUAUAGAUUUAAUUUAUGUCAAGAUUAUCAUUAUAAUCACCAUCACCACCACCAUCAUCAUGAUCGUUUUUAAUAUGACCGUUGUUGCUGCUACCACCACUAGUGGUGAUGGUGGCGACGACGAUGAUGGAGAUGACGACAGUAAUGACGAUAACAAUCAUAUUGAUGGUUAUGGUAGCAACCAUGACAAUUGUGAUGGAAACACUCAUGACAGUAUAAUAAUUAUGGUGAUGAUAAAUUUGAAAUAUUUUAAAAUGUUAUAAAUUAUUCUUUUAAGAUAUUUGAUUUUCUAUUUGGCAAAUCUUAAAUAAAUUUUAUAGUUAAAUAAAGUUUUAAUUUAAAUUUAAAAUAUUUUAAUCUUAAUCUUUUAUUUUAAUAUAAUAUUUAAAAAAAUUUAUCCCCAUUUUCACGUAAGAUAAUUAUUCUUAUAUAACACAUCAUAUAUAUAUUGAUCACAUGGUAAUUAUAACUUUCAUAAUUACGUAAGACUGUGUUUAUGAUAUAUAAGUAAUACUAAAGGGAAUGUGUUAUUUUAUCCCUCCUGAUUAACGGGGCAUUUGUGUUAAAUCAUGUUCAUAUAAUAAAGUUGUACUGUAAUUAAUGCGUAUUAGAUAAAUUUGAGUUGGAGGUGUACUAAAAAUGACACAUGAUAUGCUUCUUAAUUAUAUUCGGACAUUUUACUUUCAUUAUUGAUGAUUCAGAGUUUGAGUUUAUUAUCCCUGAUUGGAUGUAUGACUUUUUCGUUUUAGUUACCUUGACUUUAAACUACUACUACAAGUUAAAGAUAUCGUUAACGUUUAUCCGGAUAUAGGAAAAACUAUGACAAUUAAUAACAGAACUUACGGUAAAACUCAAAAGCUGUGUUCUACUACGAAAGAAACUAAAAGAAGCUAAAAAAUGUACCCAAUUUCAAUAUUAGUUCAUUAUCUAGGUUUUUAAAAAUAAUAAAAAUGCUUUAAUUAAUUUCUAUUUUUUUCAUUUUACUAUAGUUUUAAUAUAAUUACUCAUUCUCAUAACAUUUAUUUAUUUUUACUUAUAUUUCUCAUAAUAUUAAUGAUGAACAAUAAAAUCUAUAAAUGAGUUAAUGAUGAUAUAAGAUUAAUUUUAUAAAAUUACUACUUUAUUUUAUCUAUUUAUUAUUAUUUUUUAUAUGUAUAAAAUAACUUAGCGACAAUUAUUUUGGAAUAAAGAGAAGGAGUAACAUAUAAUCCAUAUAUUAUUAGUUACUACAUAACUCUUAAUUAUUAUACCUCAAAAAACUCUCAAUUAUUAGUUAUAUUAUAUCAAGCUAAUAAUAUAAACCAUUUUCACAUUUAUCGAUUUUAGAAUUUUCUUGCAUUUUUUAUUUUUUAAAUAUUUUCUUUAUCUCAAUCCUAACAAGCAUAGUGUAAUUAAAAGGGAGUAUAGCAAUAAAAUCAUGUCACUCCACUUUUUGUGCUUCACAUUAACUGAAGCAUCCUAGACCAAACUAAUAUGAAUUGAGGAUUAUUAAUAGUUUAUAAUAUGUAUAAUGAUAAUUAUAAAAUCAACAUUUGUUCCUUUUUUUAGUGUUUAUAAAAUGUUUGACUCUUUCUUUAAUUUUUAUAUUUUUAUUAUCAAAAGACUAUUUUCAUACACAAUAAUUCUAACAAGUACCCGAGUUCGAUUUUUUUACAUAUAAGAAAUAAAGUAAUUCUAAAAAGUAUGGGAUACACCAUAAAGUACAGCUCGUAACAUUAUUGCUUUAAAAAAUAAUUGACAAUAUGAAUAUGCUUUAAGGAAAUAACAAUAUUUAUUAUAUUUAAAAUAUAAAAUUAUUUAAGAUUUAAAUUUAAAGUGAUAAUAUAUUAUAUAAUGCACCAUGUUGAGAUUGUAGUCUACCUUUUGGACUCAUUUAUUAUAAGUGGUACAGUGUAUUACUUUCCUCAAUUCAUGGACAAUAACAAUUUAAUUUUUAGAUAGAUAUCUACUUAAACAUGUUGACGAAACAUUAUAUUUUAAAAUUAUAAGAUUAAUUUGAUGACUAAAAAAAGAACGAAAAAAGAGAUGUUGUAAUUCAAAUCAAUUCAAUGAGGAAUAAAAAAUAUAAGAAUACUUAAUGACUUUCGAUCUAAUACUACGAUCUAACCUCCUUUCUUAUAUGAGGAUAUAAACAUAAUUCACUCUCGAUGGAUCAAACAUAAAAUAUUAUUUUUAUAUUGAUUCUUGAGAAUUUUUUGUGAUUACAAAGGAAUGGACAAAGAACAUGCAAGACUAUUUAUAAGGAAGGAACAAACGCAUUUCAAGCAACUUGACAAACAAAAGGAAAAAUCUAAAGCUAUGUAUAUAGUCCCCAAGGUUGUAUUUAUUAAACCUCAAAACGACAUGAUCUGCACAUGUGUAGUCACCCAAUGAUCACCUUUUUUAUGUCAUGCAUAAAUGCGAGCAUAAAAAAUGGAGGUAUCAUAAACAUUAAAUAUAUCUCAUCGCUGACAUCAUGGUAAAAAGCUCAAAUACGUGGUGAUGUUGAUAAACAUUUAUAUAUCAGACAAUAUGCAAAAAAUGAAAAAGACACUAAUCCAUAAGGCUAACUUAUGUUAGCAUGUUUUUGUCUCACUUGUCUUUCAACUCAAGAUUAGAGGAUUAUUUACCUUUUUGAGUUAACCAAUAAUUCAUCAUGCUUUAGCCUUAUUUGUCUUUUGAGACAAAGCUAAAGGGGUUUGUAUCCUCUUAAGUUUGUGGUUGACUUAUAACUCAACUUACUUUAGCCUUAUUUGCCUUUGGCUCAAGUGCAUGGCCAACCUAUUAAGAUAAAUUAUAAGUCAUAUAACCAAUUACUUUACUCAAGAUUUGGACAACAAUAAUGUGGUUUUUAGAUAGGUAAGUAGUUAACAAACUUGUUGAGGAUGUGACUAUAACAGAAUACCCCCACAAGGGAAUAAUUGUCCAUUAAAUGAUAUUUCAAGCUCUUUUCCCCUUGAAAGGACAAAUAUAACUCACUCUUGAUGGGCCAAACAUAAAAUAUUAUUUUUAUAUUGAUUUUUGAGGAUUCUUUUAUGAUUGCAAGGAGUUAAGAAUGAGAAAUGAACAUGUAAGACUAUUCAUAAGGAAUAAGUAAACACAUUUCAAGCAUCUCGAAAAUUGAAAGGGAAAAUCUAAAGCAAUUCACAAAGUCCCUAAGGUUGUAUUUAUUAAACCUUGAAAUGGUGUGACCUACACAUGUGCAUACACCCAUGGAUCACCUUUUUGUGGCAUGCAUUAAAUGCAAGUGCGGAAAGUGGAGGUGUAAAAAAUGUUAAAUAUAUUUGAUUGUUGACAUCACGAUACAAAGCUCAAAUACAUGAUGAGGAUGUUAAACAUUUAUAUAUCAGACAAGAUGCAAAAAUGGAAAAAGACUAUAAUAUAUAAGGUGUCACAUGUAAGCAUGCUUUUGUCUAAUUCACUUUUUCAGCUCAAGAUUGGAAGGCUAUGUAUGUACCCUUUCAAGUUCAUGACUGAUCUAUAACUUGGCAUACUUUAGGUUUAUUCACCUUCUAGCUUGAAGCUAAAGGAUUGUGUUUCUUCCCAGGUUUAUAGCCAGGUCAUAACUCAAAUGCUUCAACUUUCUUUUCCAUUCGGUUUGAGGCUAAAGGAUUGUGUAUCUCCACAAAUUCAUGGUUUACCUAUGAGAAUGAUCUAUGGAGAUGAAUAAUAAGUCAUAAAUUUGAUUACUUUACUCUGGUUAUAGACGAGAUACAUGUGAUUUUAAGUUAGAUAGGUAGUUGAGAAACAUCUUGAGGACAAAAUCAUAAUAGGAUACCCCGUGAGGGAAUAGCUGCCCAAUAAAUGAUAUUCCUACCUCCCUGCCCCUUGCAAAGAUGAAUAAAAUUCAUUCUUCAUAGGCUAGACAAAAAUUGUCUCCAAAUUGAUCUUGAAGGACUUCCCGUAAUCAGAAAGUGUGGAAAAUGAGAAAAAGACAAGACUAUUUAUAAGGAAGUAAUAGAAAUAUUUUCAAGCCUCCUGAUAAAUUAAAAGAAAAAACUAAAGUAAUGAUGUAGUCCAUAAAGGUUGUAUUUAUUAAACAUCUAAAUGGCGCGACCUGCACACCGUGUCACUUAGGCAUUACCUUCUUAUGGCAUGCAUUAAAUGCAAGUAUAGAAAGUAAAGGUAUCGUAAGCGUUAAAUUUAUUCCAUCUUUGACACCAUGGUACAAUGUUUGAAUACAUGAUGACACUGAUAAACGGUUAUACAUUAGACAAGAUGCAAAAAUGGGAAAGGAUGCUAAUAUAAAAGGUGUCAUGUGUUAGUAUGCUUUAGUCCCAUUCGCCUUUUGACUUAAGGCUAGAGGGUUAUGUACCUCUCUAAGUUUGUGACCCACUUGUAACUCAACAUGCUUUAGCCUCAUUCAUGUUUCAGCUUGAAGUUGAAGAAUUGGUUAUCCUCCCAAGUUCACAAUCAACUCAUAAAUCAACAUGUUUUAACUUUAUUUGCCUUUUGGCUUGAGGCUGGAGGAUUAUGUACCUUCUUGAGUUUAUGGUCGACAUAUGAUUGAGUUAUAAUAAGAUAUCCCACAAGGGAAUAAUUGCCUAUUAAAUGAUAUUUCAACCUCCUUGUCCUUUGUGAGGAUGAAUACAAUUUACUCUUGAUGGAACCAUACAUAAAUUAUUUCUAAAUUGAUCUUUGAGGACUUUUCUUCUUCUUAUGAUUGGAGAGUAUGGAGAAUGGGAGAUAAGCAAGGUUAUUUAUAAGGGAAGAUUCGAGCACCCUCUAAAGUAACUAAUGUAAUCACCUAGAUUUGUAUUUAUUAUACCUCAAAACAACAACCUCUACAUCCAUAGUCACCUAGGCUUCACCUUUCUUUUUUGUUACACGUAUUAAAUGUGAGUAUAGGAAAGCAAAUGCAUAAUAAAUGUCAAAUUCAUCUCAUCACUUACACCAAGGUACAAAGCUCAAAUACAUAAUGACACUGAUAGACAUUCAUUCAUAAGACAAAAUGCAUAAAUGAAAAAAAAACAUUAAUCUAAAGGUAUGACAUGUGUUAGGUUUCUUUAGCCUUAUUCUCCUUUUGGCUUGAAGUUGGGGGAGUUUGUACCCUUUCAAGUUCAUGGUUGACUUAUAACUCAACAUGUUUUAGUCUCAUUUGUCUUUCAACUCGAGGCUAUAGGAUUGUGUAUCCUCUUGAGUUUUUAAUUGACUUAUAACUCAACAUGUUUUAGCCCCGUUCACCUUUCGACUUGAGGUUGGAGUAUUCUAUAUCAUUUUGAGUUCAUAGCCAACCUAUUGGAUUGACCUAUGAAAAUAAAUUAUAAGUCAUUCAGUCUUUGUUACUUUACUUGGCUUCUGGGUGUGAAUAAUACGAUUUUUAGAUGGGUAGGCAGUUAAGAAAUAUGUUGAGGAUCAUUGUAAUAAAUUAUUUCCAAAUCAAUAUUUGAGGAUUUUUCGUGACUGGAGAAUGUAGAAAGUAGGCAAUAAACAAGGCUAGUUGUUUGUGUAGGGGGGGACAAACACAUUUUAAGCAUCCUAACAAAUGAAAGGAUACAUAUAAAGAAUAUAAAGGCAUCAUAAACAUCAAACCUAUCCAAUCAUGAUAUAUAUAUAUAUAUAUAUAUAUAUAUAUAUAUAUAUAUAUAUAUAUAUAUAUAUAUAUAUAUAUAUAUAUAUAUAUAUAUAAAAAAAGAAAUAGCGUGCUUUACCCUCGCUCUCUUUUGGGCUCGAGGGAGAGAGAUUAUGUACUCUUCAGAGUUCGUACUCAACUUAUAACUCAACAUACUUUACUCUCUUUGCUUCUAGUCUCAAGGAUGAAGGAGUAUUGUCCUCUUGAGUUUGUGGUUGACCUAUAACUCAACAUGUUUUAGCCUUAUUUUCUUCUCAGCUCAAGGCUAAAGGAUUAUGUAGCUUCCUGACUUUGUGUUUGGCCUAUAACUUAACAUGAAUUAGACUUAUUUGCUUCUUAGUUCAAGGCCGAAGGAUAAUGUAUCAUCCUUAAUUCAUGAUUGGCCUAUAACUUAACAUGCUUUAGUUUUAUUCACCUUUUAACUUAAGGUUAAAGGAUUAUGUACCCUCCUAAAUGUAUGAUUUGACUUAUAACUCAUUAUACUUUAGCCUUAUUCGUUUUUCAACUCAAGGCUAGAGGGUUAUGUAUUUUCUGAAUUUUGUGAUCAACUUACAAAGACAAAUAAUAUAUCCAUAUAAUUGGUUACUCUACUCAAUUUAUGGACGAAAAGAUUUUUUAAUAAUUAUUAUUAUUAAAGUAGUUGUUAAUAAUAUACACUCUUAAUUAAAUAUAUCAAAAUUAUUUCUGCUUAAAAGUGCCUUUACAACUUUUAAUAUUUUGUUCGUUCAUUAAUUAUUUUUUAGACAUAAUAAUUGCGAUACUACCUCUACAAUUAGGAUGGAAAUUAUUAGAAGGACAUCUAAGUAUUUUAUUACUUAAUAAAUUAUGGUUUUAUUUUUAUGGUAACAAAUUAUUAUUUUAUUUUAAAAUUAAAUUUCUGCUUCAAGACACUUUUACUUUUUUAUAUAUAUAUAAUUAGCCUAAAAAACUUAUUAUUAAGCAUUAAAUUAAUAAUAUUUAAAAAUUAAUUCAAUAGAAGUUAUUGUUAAAAAAACAAGUGGUUAUAUUUUCAUAUAUUAAAUACUAUGACAAAAAUUAAUCUUUACAGUAAAAAUCUUUUACAAAUUUUGAUAGGAAAAAAAACAUUACAUCAUCAAAUAAUAACUUACAGUUGAAACCUUGUCUUUCUCUCCGCUUAAGUUUAAACUUUAAAAAUUUUACGUACUUCAGUUAAAUGAACUAAAACUAACUUAAUCAGAGUCUUACUUACAGUUUAAACCUUGUCUUUGUCUCCCCUUAGCAAUAAGCAAUUAGAUUAAUAUGAAGACGUAGACAUUAUUAAAGUAAAUUUAUAUAUUUCGAUACAGUCUUUUGUAUAUACACAAAUAAUGAAUCAAAUUCCUAUCAGCUUAUGAAAUCCAAAAAAAAUAAAUGCCCGUGAUUAAUUUUUAAUAAAUUUUAUUAACUAAUAUUCUUAGAAUAUUGAUUAAAAAAUUAACAGAAAAAACAUUGACGGUAUAAAUGAUAAAAAAACGUAAAAAAAUAAUUAAUAGCAUAAUUUUUUAUUUUAAAAUUUGAAUAUUCUUAAAAAACUUGUUAACAUUUGCAUUUUUAAAAUUUAAUUUAAAUUCUUAGUAAGAUUCCCCGACAAAUUCGUUUAGUUUACUAGACUGGCAUGCAGAUUAGAGAAGGCAGUCAACCUUAACACGUAGUCGAGUCACGCACGUACGAAAAUCCCACUCCCCCAUACUAAUACAUUUCACAUUCUCUCUCUAUCUAAAUCCAGUGGCACAUCCGUAAAUAAGCCCCAAAAGCAAGCCCAAUUCCCUCUCCCUCAACGUAUUAAGUCCACCUUCUCCCCAUUCUGCACACCCAACACAAACCCACUUCCUCUCUUUUCCGGCCACCACCCCGCCUCACUCGCCUAGAUCUGCUCAGAUCACAAUCCCAAACUUCUCAAAUCCGACGUCGUUUUACCUCAGCUUAUAGAAACACUAACAGAAACGAUUUCCUUUCCUCGAUAAUUCGCUUACUCGCGCUCUGUUUCUUUCUAAUUAACCUUCGUGUUCGCGCGUGUGUUUGUUUCUCUCUUUUUGUUGUUUUUGGAGCUUCUUUGAUUUUUCCGGCGACAAGAGAAUGACGUCCGGCGCGAGGCAGCCGACGUGGAAGGAGCGGGAGAACAACAAGAGGCGGGAGAGGCGGAGGAGAGCUAUCGCGGCGAAGAUCUUCUCCGGCCUCAGAAUGUACGGAAACUACAAGCUCCCGAAGCACUGCGACAACAACGAAGUUCUCAAGGCUCUCUGCAACGAAGCCGGCUGGACCGUCGAAGCCGACGGCACCACCUAUCGCAAGGUAUUAUAAAUUUGAGGACGAAACUUAGAUACAAUUAUAUAUAUAUAUAUAUAUAUAUAUAUAUAUAUAUAUAUAUAUAUAUAUAUAUAUAUAUAUAUAUAUAUAUAUAUAUUUUUUUUUUUUUUUUUUUUCUGUCAUCAGAAUUUCGGAGUUUCACCUCGAUAAUUCGCGAAAUAAUUCAGAUGAAGAUUUAGUUGUGAAUUGAACUGAAUCUAUGUUUUGAUGUGCAAUUUGAGAAAUUUGGCUUGAUUUUUUUAUGAAUUUGGAUUUUUUUACUGAAUUUGCUAGUUUUUUUUUUUAAUGUGGAUUGUUUUUGGUGGCGUGUAUAUACGGUGUCGUUUUGGUUUAGUUUAAUGGCAUGGCACAUGCUACUGUUGGUGGUGGGAAUCAAAAGGACGUGAAAGGCGCAGGGAGUUACGGAAAGAGUGAUGCUGUCUGAUUCUAUUAUUAUUAUUAUUAUUAAAAUUAUUGCUGCUGUGUGUGUUGUGUGAAAUGUGAAUGUGUGUUGUCUUUUUGGUUGUGAAUUGUGUGUGUGGUGUGGGGGGGUUAGAUCUGCGUUUUUUACUUUGGGGCGUGAAAAGAUUCUCUGUAUCUCCGUGGUGGUGUUUUGAUGAGUCAUAAUGAUAAUCCUCGAGAGAAACCUCAGGGGGGGCAUAGAUCUCGAGGGGGAGAAAAAAAAGAGAAAGAAAAUGGCCGUUAUUAUGGUUUUGGGGGGUAAUGGGCAAUGGAAUUGCCAAAAGUUUCUUAGCUGGGCCUGGAAUGCCGGAAUUCUGGGAAUUGGUAGGGGUAAAUGGGUAAUUUCGUGUGUUUUUAGGUGUCUGCUUGUUGUGCUUGUUGUUGUAACAUGACAGAAGCUUUUGCAGACAUUGCGGUGUACUCUCUGAUCUGGAGGGUACCUUUUUUACUCAGUUCUCGUGAUUUUUUCUUCUUUCUUAGGGGGUGCGGUUGCGUUUAUUUAUUUUUAUGCAGUACCUUUAUGUUGAUGACGCUCUCACACUAUUUGGAGAGACGGUAUGUUUUGAUUCACCAGAUUUGUUUGUGCUCUGUAUUUGGGUUGCGUUACAAUUUUUAUAUAUAUAUAUUUUGGAAAAAAGAGGGGUGGGUGAGUACGUGUGUGUAAAGGGGCUUAUUCUAUCUUUGGUAAAAGUGGAUACAAAAAUUAAUGAGAAUGGCAAGCAAUCCAAUUUCAUAUAAAAGAAAGCAAGCAACUUUUUUCAAUACUUAGGAGGUAACUUAUUAAGUCAGUUCUAAGUUUUAAAUGCUGUAUUAGAUGCUGCCUACAGAAUUGAUAUCUAGUUGGAUUAUACUAUACUUUUAAUUUAAUGCACAUUACCAUAAAAGUGAGAUCAUAUUGAUAUUCUGAGAAGUAAGAACACUUUUGUGAUGAGUUUUAGGUUGCAAAAUGGUUUUAAUUGAAGACAGACAAAAUUUGACGUGUUGGAUUAGGCAAAAUUGAUGUAAAGAGAGUUAACGUUUUCCAACUCUGACAGCUGUAGGAAUAUUUGUAAAGAUGGCUUGAUAUCUGUUUCUAGUAAGUGAUCUGUUGGUUGGUUGUUGUUUUUGUUGAUGCAAGUUUAAUAAAAUGCACUGAUUCAUUUAAAAGAAAAGAACCUCAUUCCCUUAUGUAGAGAUAUCAACUCUUAGUUUCCUAGUUACCACAAAUGUAUAAUUAUUAGUGGACCAUUUAUAAACCAUCUAAGUCCGUUUCUUUGUUUCUAUGCCGUGAUUGUUCUCUAGCUAGCUAAGAUGUUAGUCACCAACGUUUUUGUUAUUUUUUUUUUGUAACAUGGGAAAAUAGCAAACAGAGAAAAGAAAGCAAAUUACACUAACAAACGAGCAUCCUGCCCGACAACAUUUUUGCUUUUAUCGCUAGUUAGUUAAUUCUCUCCAUCAUCUAUAUUUAUUUUUAUACCUUCACUGGUGGAAUUUAAGCAAUGGUAUAAUUUUCCACUGAAAAAAUUUACUUCAUGAUUUAAAAUUAGUUUUGUUGGAUAGGCUUGUUUUCUUGAUUGUUUAUGGGUUUCAUGCCACUGGCUUAUAGUAAGGGUGCUACAAGGUCCAAUAAUAAGCAGUUGCUUUUCAAAUUAGUCCCGUGUAAUACAUUUAUAUGUGUGAAACAGAGAUUUAAGGACAGAAUUGAUGCCUUGUUGAAUGGAAAAAGGCUACAUUGUUGUUUAUAGCCAGUGGAUCCAUCUAGUUGGUAAAAAUAUCUUGGUUUUACAAAUGUUAGUCAUUUGGAGACUUGUUAUUGUAUAUGUUGACUCUGAAUUAUUAACAAAAAGAUUUUUUAUAUGAAGGGAUGCAAGCCUCCUGUUGAACGCAUGGACAUAGUAGGUGGUUCUGCAGCAGCAAGCCCGUGCUCAUCUUACCAUCCAAGUCCUUGUGCUUCCUACAACCCUAGUCCAGGCUCUUCUUGCUUACCGAGCCCUCGUGCAUCCCCCUAUCCUCCAAACCACAAUGCUGAUGGAAAUUCUCUCAUUCCAUGGCUCAAAAACCUUUCAUCAGGAUCAUCAUCAGCAUCCUCUUCCAAGCUUCCGCAGCUGUACAUUCCAAACGGCUCCAUCAGCGCUCCUGUCACUCCUCCAAUCAGCUCUCCAUCGUCUCGAAAGCCCCGAAUCAACGCUGACUGGGAGGAUCUGUCCACUCGUCCGGCAGCGUGGGGCGGACCUGCAUACACCUUCCUGCCCUCUUCAACUCCUCCUAGCCCCGGUCGCCAGGUUGCUGAAACAGAUUGGUUUUCCAAGAUCAGGAUUCCUCAGGUAGGACUAACACCAACUUCUCCAACCUUCAGCCUGGUCUCUUCCAACCCAUUUGGCUUCAAGGAAGAUGCUAUGGGUGGCAGCGGUUCCCGCAUGUGGACGACACCAGGGGCAAGUGGAACAUGUUCUCCAGCUGUAGCUGCAGGCUCUGAAAACACUUCUGACAUUCCAAUGGCUGAAGCAGUUUCAGAUGAAUUUGCCUUUGGAAGCAGCUCAUCAGUUUUAGUGAAUGCCUGGAAAGGGGAGAGGAUCCAUGAAGCUUCUUUCGGAACAGAUGAUCUUGAGCUCACUCUUGGGAGCUCAAAAACCAGGUAGCAAGAAUAUUUGAUGAAACAGGGCAAAAAUUAUGCAUAUUUUUUUUAUCUGUUGGAAUUUCAUGUCUUUUGAAACAAAAUUUGAACCUAAAUUUGUUCUUUUUGCAGGCUACUCCAUAAGUGAAUAGUCAAUGGUCCCUUCAACGACAAGAACUUUGACUCUGUUUAUUCUGUAGAAAAGGCUAGAGGAGGGAAUUAAGAUGAGCAGCAAGUAGUUGCUCUUUACAUACCAGAAAAAAAUAGCAGUUUAUUUUAUUCUUUUAUUUUCUCUUAGGUUUUAUUGGUUCCUAAGUUAUAUAUACAGCCUUAGCUAGGUCUCGGGUGGUUUUCAACCAUUUCAUGUGGUCAAUGUCUUGUUAAAACUUUUAAUACUCUGGGAAAGAUCAUAUACAUGUAUGGAUUGGCUUGGUUUGAUAUUGAAAGGGAAAAAUUACUCGAUUUCAACUGUAACUGAAUGAUCAAGAAAGUUAUGCAAAUUCCAACUGAAUGGGCCUACAAAAUAUCUCUUCUCUCACUUUUAUGUUUUUAUGAUUUUGUUUCUCCCCAUAUGGCGACAGAUUUUAUCAUUUUGUAGGCGUGCUUAUCAUUUUUUUGUAGACUUUGAUAAAAUAAAUAUGAUUGCUUUGCUACCGGUAUCUUUCUAUUCUAAAUCAAUAAAAAAAAAUAUUUGUAUGUUAAAAUCACAUUAUAAAUGAGUUAGAAUUUAAUUUUAAUGGUAUUUUAAAUUUUAUAGUUGUCAAAUUAAGGUUCAUUUCAUUUUUUUUACAAAUUAAAUAUUAAACAUGAAAAAAAAUAUGCAACUAUAGAUGGAAUUGGCAACAAAAAUAAUCUAAAGGUCUGUUAAGAAUAGUCCCACAUCGGGUAAUUCAUGAAUAUGAUAAGUGCUUAUAUAGCUGGGUAGACCACAUUCUUAUGAACCGGUUUUUAAGGGGACCUUUCGGGGUAAUUCAUGAAUAUGAUAAGUGCUUAUAUAACUGGGUAGACCACCCCCUUAUGAACCCCUUUUUAAGGGGACCUAUUCUAAACAAAUAAUUCAUAUUACUCAAAGUAAAUAUUUCAAAUGCAUUUUAUAAUUUAGCCAUUUAGGUGUCGUUGAACUUUCCUUAAAUGAAAUGUAAAAUUUUAGUACUAGUUUAUAAUGAUCACGGGUGGAGCAGUGAGCUACAAUACAAUACUUAACUACCUUAUCAGAGAUUUCCCUGAAACGGGAAUAUGGCUCUGUCCUCUUAGGAUGGGUCUAUUUUUCGAACAAUUUUUGCUAUCCUUUGACCCUGAUCUUUGAUAGCAGCCAUUUUUGGUUCCAGUCAAUACUUGCUCUAAUCUAACUACGCCAAUUUGAGUGGCAGCCCUUCCUAGAGUGAAAGAGCAAUGUCCUUCACACACUCAUUGUCACCGAAAAGCUCUCACUAACUGGCCAAUUAAAAUUAAAUUAAAAAAAAAAAAGCAAAGUGCUUACUCCUAUCGUGCUUCUAGUCAAUAAUAGAUCAGAAUUGAACAGGGUUUUGCAUGAGAUCAAAUUCACUUUGUGCAGGAAGUGCUUUUCCUUUUUUCUUGAGUGUGACUGUCAUUUUCAUGUAGUAAUUAAAAGGAGCAAGGAUAUAUGGUGAGGCCAAUAGAGAAAAAGGAACAUACAAUAGAGAAAAACAUACAUGGGUAGUGAAGCUUUUCAAUUUCAUAAUUUAGAGAAGAAAUAAAAAUAAACAAAAAACAAAAUUCACUCCAUACUUCCAUAAUAUCUACUGGGCAACCACAUGAGGUAUUCAACAGGCUUUAUAUGUAAUGAGGCUAUGAUACAUGAAGAGGAGGAAAGAAAGAAAAGAGCAUAUUACUAGUGGUAAAGGCUAAGGUGAACCACUUGAUACAUGGUCCAUUAUGGACAAUAAAGUUUAAGCGUUAGAUUAAUCUAUGUCAAUAGGUUAUACUAUGAGGCUUAUACACCAGACUAUAUCCCCCCACUCUAUCUCUCCCUAGCCACCACUGUUCAUUCACGUUGAACCAUCCACCUCCGCAAUGAGCCACAAACUAACCCGUGUUUGAAGUGGAUCUCUCUCUCUCUCGCCGGAAGCCACCAAUGCAUCUCUCUCUACAGCCUUUGUUCUCACUCUCACGCGCGUCGCUAGGACAUGGCCGUCGGUAUAAUAGAGAAGACAUCAAUUUCAAUUUUCAUAGCUUUUGAAAUGUUUAAAUAUGUAAUCUUUUUCCUUGUUUUUCAUCUGGGUUUUCAUUUAUCAUAGUUUUCACUGGAAGUGAAUCCUACCCAAUGAUUUUAAUGGCAAUAACUUCCAAGGGGUCCAUUGUUGAUGUAGAGAGAGUUAGAGAAGGAAAGAGCGUUGUAUCGACGGAAAUCAUUCACUGGUUUUCUGAAGAUGUCGUUAGAGUAGUUUUUGAAGGAGUUCAUUCCAGGGAUCUAUCAUUCAUUGGUUGCAGAGAGAUCGUAGGAGAAGAGGGUGGAGGUGGCAAGGGAACAAACAAGGAUAUAUAAGAAUCCAUCAAAGAGUGUUCAUUUCUUUCCACCACAAGUCUUGUAGAUUCCCAUAUCUGAAAGUUAUAAUAUUUUCCCAGACUGCUCAAUGAUCCGUUGCUAAUUAAGAUUGAAAGAGUCAUUAUUAUUUAAAAUAUUGAUAUUACUAAUAUUAUAAAUGUUUCAUAAAUAAUAAUUAUAAACUAUUCAACUAUAUUUACAUAUAACGAAUAACAUUAAUAACAUGAUAUUUAGUAUAAAAUAAACAAAUAUUAAUAUUCAAAAUAUCAUAAUAUAAAUUAUAGUUUAAUUUUAAUGAUGUGAAAUAUUAUUCAAAUUGAAAACAAUGUUUUUCCAUAAAUAAAUUUUACUUAUCAUCAAUAAAAUAAAAUAUCAUUUCCAUUAAAUAAAUUAAUAUCCUAUUUAUAUUAUAUAAAAUUUUUAAAAUAACUUAAAGUUAAGUAUUCACGCAAAAUUUUAAUACAAAUUUUCGUUGGUAAAAAAUUUCAUGGAUACAAAAGUAGAAACUGAAUUUUUUUUAUCAAUGUUAAUUGUUGAUUUGUUAGUUUUUUUAUUAACAAAAGGAAAGAUUAAAUCUAUAACUUUUUUCCUUUUUUUUAACUAUCAAAUCAACCUUAAAGAAGAAAACUAAUAAAGCCAUCAGAGCAUCCACAUGGUUCAUUACUUAAAUAGAUUAUCUAAUUUUUAUAAGUAUGUACAAUACAUUGUCACAUAAAUUUAAGUAUUCUACAUAAAAAUUAAUUCUAACGUUUAGAUUGUUAAAAGUGAAUGUUUAACUUAACUUUAUGGAAUACUAUAAUAUAUGCUAAUUUCUCUCAUUCAUAAUAUAAAAAAGAAUAUUUUUUUAUUUUUAACAAUUUUUUAAACAACAUUAUUUAUAUAAACAAACGUAUUUGAAUAAGUAAUGUCAAGUCAUGUGCUCCAAUAAUAAAUUUUGUUAAACAACGUUACUUAACUUCAAACAUCCUUAUAAGCAAUGAAGAUGGCCUAAAAGCUCAUUGCACAUUCCCUUAUCAAAACUCAAACUUUAAGAUUCAGAUUUUUCUAACUUUUUUAUAAUAUAAAAUUAUCAAAUUUUUUUAACAUGCACUAAACACACACUAAAGAGGUGGUAAAUACAUGUGCCUCUAUUAGAUCAAGGUGUGAAACUGAGCUGACCUAGGUCAGGUCAAAUUUUUAUGAGUUGCAAAUUUUUUGCGUCAGCCUAGCCUAAUGACCAUUUAAAAAAAAUUAAAUUUAUAUAAUUUUCACAAUAAAUAAAAUCAAAGUAAUAAAUAAUAUCAUACUCAAUUGGUUCAAUUGCUUUCAUGCUUACAUUCUAUAGAUCUAACCCAAUCCAUUUAGUUUAUGUUUGUUUUGUCGUCAAAAUCUUGUUUGCACAAAUUGCGAGGCACCUAAACGGAAAAAAUACAAAGGUCUUGUUGUGAGCAAAUUACAUUUAAGGAUUUUGGAAGGGUAUCCAAACAUGCUUUUAGUAGGAUCGAUUUAAUUGGUUCAUUUUAAGUCUAUAAUUCAAAAUUUUACUCCAAACUUCGCUUAUUUAUAUAUAGGUUUCUGGAGUAAGUUUAUUAUAGACCAAACUCAGUUUAACACCAUGCACUAGAAUGUUAGAGAAAAUUUGGUAGACUAGAAAUGAAACAAUGGUAGGGGUCGACAUAGAAAGGUGGGAUCAACGUGAAAGAGGCUCUUGGAUUGGAUUGAGGACCCUCCAUAGUGCAUAUAUUCUCCCCACAACAAUAUAUCAAAUUAUCAAUAGAUAAAUAUUAAGCACAAAAAAAUAUAUCAAUAGAUAAUAAUUAUCAUCAUUCGACCUUUAUCUUUCAUUGCUUUGCACCCCACACAUCAUCAACGUAGAUAACGGUCCGUUUUUAUCACGUGCGCCGAACUCUAACACGUGCACCUUUCAUAUUUCAUUUGGUCUCCAAUUUUUUUUAGGAAUGAAUAUCCAUUUUAAACAUGUAAAUGUUAUCAUUUUAGUGUUUUUUUUUCUACCCAUGAUAUUGAAAUGAAGUAACCUCACAAAAAAUAAUGACUAAUUUUUAUUGGAAACUUUGAGCGUAUUAUAAGUUGUGUUUUUUUUUUUUAAUUAUAAAGCUUAUAAAAUAUGGUCUUUAAUGUAUUUUUUUUUAAUUUUAUCAAUGGACUAAUUGGGUAUAAGAAAAAUUACAUAACAUAAUAAUUCGUACUUUGAUGUGAAAAACUAUUGAAAGGCUAGGUUUAUAUCUUGUGGUGUAUUUAUAAUUGGAUGAUCAAAUUAUCACACUUAAUUAUAUUAUUAAAUAUUAAAUACUUAAAUAAGUUUUUAAUUACUGUAAGUAUGACUAAAUUUAAUUUAAGCCUUCUAAAUAUUUUAUUGGUUUUUUCUUAUAAAUUUAUUUUCCAUUCUUCUUAAAGAAAAAAGGUCUUGUAACCAUUAAAGACUUCUUCAAUUGCGUAAACUCGAAAAAAGCAUCAACUUAUAGCCAAUAAAUCUAAAUCUAUGCCACAAUAAAAAAAAAAAAUCUAAAUUCUAUGCCUUUGACAAUUUGUUAACAAUGGUUUCUUGUACUAGUAUUUCUGUUUUGAUUUGACGAGUAAUCUACUACUCAAAUUCGAUCCUUAUCAUUAACUAGCAAAUUCAAAUCUAAAACAUAUAUACAUUUGUCAACUAAUGUUCUUUGAUCUUACCAAAAUGUUCAAGCAAUUAUCUUUCACUAUAACCCUGAUCCCAACAGGUGGCAUCAAUCCAAAAAUAAAAUAACUAAAGUUUAUACUUUUUUAAUAUACAAAACUAGGAUUUCUAAUAAAGAUAGGUGACAAUUUAUUGUUUCUCUAUGUCCUAAACCCCUCUUUGUUGGGGUUAAGUGAAUUUUUGUGUACCAUAUGGAUUUCUAAAUUGUGUCUUUUAAUGAAAGUUUGAUUUUGUUCUUUGCAUUUAUAAUUUUUUUUUCCUUAGUGCCUCUUAAGACUUCAUUGCCGUUAAAGAGAUUAUUUUUAUCUUUAAUAAAUGAAAAUUUGUUCUACAAACAUAUGUUAAGCUAAGAAUAAUUAUUAGAUGCUUGGUACCGCUAUAGAUUUCUUAACUUAGUGUUUGUUUCUCUUUAAAUUGCCUAGGAAAUUAUGUUUUAAAUAAUAAAUUAAAAAUUUCGGUAAACAAAGUAAGAAGUCAAAUUGAAUUAAAACUCAUAUUGAGAAUUCAAGGUAAAAUAGAAUGAACCCUAACACUUUCCUAUUUGGUUUAUUUUACAUUCUUGUUUUUUUAUUCUCUAAAAAAAAUUCCAAAAAUAUUUUUUUAUUGUGUUUUUCAAAUUUAAUUAAUUUUUUCUUAAACAAAAUCAAAUCCAAAUUGUCUGUUGUGAUUUGCAUUAUUCUCUUUUGUAAAAUUACUAGGUAUGAAUUAAGAUAUUCGUGUGCCGAAAGCCAAUAACUGAUUUGCCAAGUUCUUAUGGAAUGUCUUAAAUGUCAUGUAAUUAAACAUAUAUAAAGAGUUAUUAUACUAAUUCUUUAACAUUUUGACUUCACAUACUUCAUAAGAAAUCCCGAGGCCAUCAACUAAAUGUGUGUUCGUUUCCAUUUUCACUCAACACACCAACUGGUGGUCAGCAGAAGGAAAAAAAAUCCUUCUUAUAAUCAUCUAUUGGGAAGUCAAAUUCAUAUGAACAUUUAUUUUUUUCACGCUUGUGUUGGUUUAUAUCUAAACCAAACACAUGCAUAAUAUAAGCCCCAUAGCGUUCAUUAUAACCAAUCUUUUCAUUGGUGUGACAUUGGCUCUAUCCUUAACCCAUUUGGUAUAGCUCUAUCCUUAACAUCUUUUCAGUAUCAUAAUUGACUUCUAGAUUUCAAAGCAAGCAUAUGGUAUCGGUUGAAUAAAGGUUAAUGAAAAUGGAAUAAAUAUUUACUUUAACAAAAAAAUUGACUAUAUUAUUAACUGGUCUUUUUGGUUCUUUUCUUUUGCAAUUUUUCUUCCAGAUAUCUUUGUAUUAUUUUUUUCCAUCUGCGCAAUGAAAAUUGCCUCUUUUCUGUGUUGUAGGCCAUGCGUGUUCUUCUCCAAACACUAAUUAAAGGUACCACGGUUGGUGGGAAAGAAGACAUGUAAAAAGAAAUUGGUCCAUGUCCUGAAAGGAUUCAUUUUGUGGCAGCACCGAAUUACCCCUUUCUCAUUCACAAUUCACAAUUGAAGAUAAAGUUUAUAUACUAUUAACUCUUUCAUCUCUUCAACUUUCUAAUUUCUUACUGUAAACUUUAUAUAUUACAUGUCCAAUCUUUAGUACAUUAAGGGUGUGUAAAGAUCAAAUAAUCCCCAUCCAUUAUUCCCUUUCUUUCUUGUCUCCUAGGUUUUUUUCCCCACUUUUUUGGUUUCUCUUAUUUUCCGUUAGCUUUAUAUAUAUAUAUAUAUAUAUAUAUAUAUAUAUAUAUAUAUAUAUAUAUAUAUAUAUAUAUAUAUAUAUAUAUAUAUAUAUAUAUAGUUUGCUAACUUAUAUCCACUUAUUUUUUUAAAAGGAGUAAGUUAAUAAAUUAUAAUUAUAAAUUUUCUUAAAAUACACUUAGGUAUAACUUGCUAAUUUAUUUCUUAUAAAAAUUAAGUAGGUGUAUGUUAGUAAAUAUGUAUAAAGUUUGUAUGUUAGUAAAUAUAUACAAAGUUUGCUAACUUAAAAAAUUAUAACUAUGAUUUUUCUUAAAAUACAUCUAUGUAACUUGUUAACUUACUUUUUCUGAAGUAAGUGGAUUUAUAUUAACAAAUACGUAUAGAAUUUAUUAACUUAUACCUACUUAUUUUUUAAAAGGAAUAAAUUAAUAUGUUAUAAUUUUAAAUUUUCUUAAAAUACACUUAUGUGUAACUUGCUAACUUCUAAAAAAAUAGCUUAAUUUUUACUGUUUUUCACAAAUAUUAAAUUUACAAUAUAUAGUUUAUAGAGUAAUUUUUUAUAUUAUUUAAAUUUUUAAUAUAUUAUUAAUUUUUUAGUUUAAAUUUUGAUAAAUGUAUGUUAUUAGAUAUGUUAAUAAAUAAUUUAUACGGUUUUGACGAACGAUAAUUGAUUUAAGAUUUUAUUAGAAAUAAAAUAAAAUAAAUAUAAAAUCUACAUUAAUUAAAUUAUUUUAAAAAAAUAAAUAUAAAAAUAUCACGUAACAUCACUUCAUAGAAUAAAAUUAUAUAUAUAUAUAUAUAUAUAUAUAUAUAUAUAUAUAUAUAUAUAUAUAUAUAUAUAUAUAUUAUAUUUAUGUUAAAAAAAUUCUAAAGCGAAUUUUAUUUGAAAAUUUCAUCUAACUUGAUAAUAGCACUUUGUUUUGUUAAUUACAAAAGAGAUAUAAUAUAUGGUAUGGAAGAAGAGGGAGGAUAUACUAAUCUAAAGAGAAAAUGUCACAAGUGGAAAUCCAUUUUACACAACAAAGAUUUUUCCCCAUAAUAUAAUCCCUGACCGAUGUAGGGAAAAGGUUGCAUUAAUUGAACCCAGUUGCUGAACUUUCAUUAAUAAGACCCACAUGGCUAUGGCAAAAAAAGGGGUAGGUUAAAAAUCAUGCUCCACACUUCUAUGUUUUUUAGGGUUAACUUUUGAAGGCAGGAACAAAAAUAAAAGUUAGCACUGCUUUGACUAUUAGUAACUCACUUUUAUCAAAGCCCAUAUGAUGCCAUUUCAAAAAGAUAUUCUUAGUUGAAAAAGAAAUUCGUUUUGAUACAUGAUUAUUUUUACUUUAUCAUCCAAUUUUUAUUUUACAUUUAUAUUGUAUUAUUUAAUACUAGUAGAAAGAUAAGCACUAUUAUGCUUCUGUGUUCACAUUUUUAUUUGUUGGAAUUGGACUUUAUAUGUAUAGUUAGUGUAGUUUUUGUCCAUGUUUUUUUUUUAUAUAUAGAGUAGUUUAGUGUGUGAGAGAAAUAAUUGAAGUAAGAGAUUUUGAAACAUAAUUGGGAGAAGAUUUAUAAUAGGUUAAAUUAAUUUUUUUACUGCAGGUUAAAUAUUAACAUUUUUGUUAGUUUGGUUGUUUUAAAUUUAAAAAGUUUUAUUUGGAUCCCUUAGAUUAAAUUGAUCAUUUUAUUAAUUUAUUACACUAACAUGACUGAUUUGAUAAUACAUAAUAAAUUGUGAGAGAUACUACCUCAUAUUUACAUUUGUCAUGUUACUCAAAAUUGAUAGGAUAUUGUUGGUGCCACCUUAAAUAUCUAUUUUUAUCAAUGUGACAUAUGACUAACAUCUCUCACAAUUUAUCAUAUAUCACCAUGUUAAUAAAUUGAUGCAAGGACCAUUAAUCUAACAUAAAUACUUUAGGAUUUGUUAUGGAUCCCCUUUGAGCUUGUCACGUGGUUCAUGGCCCACAACAACUAUUCAAUUGCUUCACCUGUUAACUAUUACUAUAUAAGACAUUUCAUGUAUACAAGUAUGAGUCUAAACUCAUUUUAUAGAUCUUUUACAUUCUUUGACUUUGAUGUGAGAGUGUAUGUUUAGAUGAUUGCAAGUCUCACUCCUCACCAGAGGUUGUCAUGAAAUUCCAACAUGUUUAGAACACAUCCCUCUAGGACUAAAGUUAAACUUUUAAACUUAAGAGAUUAAUCUAAAACAAAGAUAUAAGUAAAUGAUUAAAGUUUUUAUUUUAACCUUUAUAAUGUCAAUUGAAAGACAAGACAAAAAAAAAUCUAAAAAAUGUCGAGGUAAAAAAGAUAGUAUCAUUUUUAUAAUUGUUAUAGAUAUUACAUAACCACAAAUUAUUAGAUAAUUAUAUUUUUUUUUAUCUUAACAAUAUAUAUUUUUAAUUGGGGACGGCUCAAAUUCAAGAUCUCUUAUUUAAGUUAGAAUAAUUUUAUACUUAUUAAUCCACAUGUUUAAUGAUAAUAUAAUUUUUGACAUAUAUAAAAAAAUAAAUUAAAUAGUCAGUACAAAUUUUAAAAGAGAAAAAAGAAACUUCAACAUUCCCUCUCACAUUUAACGGAAAGUAACCAACUCGGCUAAAAUUCAGAAAAGAGUAGAAAAAAAAUAAAAAAGUAAAAAAAGGCAAACCAAAUCAAAGUCAUCAUAGAUUGAUACUACUUCACAACACAAGUGUGAAGACUCUCACAAAUCAACACUCACUGCUCACUGCCAUAAACAAGGAAGAAAGGAAGAGAAAGUGAGGGAAAAAGGUUAGGUUGCUGGUGGUGGUGGUGGCAUGUUUUUUGGAUUCUAAAAUCUCACUCUUUCUCUCUUUAUAAAAAUCUAAACGCCAUGAUCAUGAAUUUGAUCCGCAAAUUUGGCUAAUCAAGUGCCUUCUCACUCUUUUCUUUUUUUGUUUCUUCUUCUUCUCCCUUUCUCUCUCACACAAACACAAACACACACUCUCAUCAAAACCAUUUCCCAUUACCCAGAUCUCCUCCGAUCUCCGACCACUCUCCGGCCACAAAGCCACCUUCCAAAUCCACCAAAUGUGCUAACUUUGCCACUUCCAACCAUCUUCUCCACACUCUUCUUAUAACACCACCUUCUUACACACACCCUUUUCAAUUUGUGAUCGACCCAGAAGGCUAUUCAACGUUGUUGGGUCGAAUCUGGUCCAAAGUUGUGUUCUUUGGGAGGUUUGAGGAGGACCCUUUUGAGGCUUGAGAUCGAUGACGUCGGGGACGAGGCUACCCACGUGGAAGGAGAGAGAGAACAACAAGAAGAGAGAGAGGAGAAGAAGAGCCAUAGCGGCGAAGAUCUUCGCGGGUCUGAGGAUGUAUGGGAACUUCAAACUCCCAAAACACUGCGACAACAAUGAAGUCCUCAAAGCUCUCUGCAACAAAGCUGGUUGGACCGUUGAACCCGAUGGAACCACUUACCGCAAGGUACAUUAACUCCAAUUCUUCCUUUUUUAUUUUUUAUUUUUCUUUUCACUCACAAUUUUAGCUACUUUAAUUUAAGUAAUUUUCUGCAGAGGAAUGUAGUAACACAAUGAUUUUAUUUGGUUGAAGUAGGAUUAUCUCUUGUAAAAAAAAUAUUUCUAGUCUUAAAGAACCAAAAAUGUUUUUAAGAUGGUAUUGACAAAUAUUUAAAGUACAUUUAUUAAUAAAUAAAAAUUUAAUUAAAAUAAGAUGAAUUAUUUGCUAAUUUAAAUAUUAUAUUUUUUUAUUAAAAAAUCAUGUUUAAUUGCAUGACACUUGUUAGCAUUUUAUGUUAGUGAUUUGAAAAAUAUUAAAUAGUUUUGUUUUGUAAUAUAAUAGUUUAAGUUUUUAAAAUGCUUUUAAUUCAUUAAAACUAAAUAUUAUAAUAAGUUGUUUUUUUUGUGUAAUAAAUAUAUUUUAGCGAUAUUUUUUCUUUUUCUAAUAUAUGUAAUGAAAAAUAAUUAUUUAACCGUUAGAAUAUAAUUAACGGGAAGAAGAUGAGAUCUUAGACAUGAUCGAUCAUUGAUAGCAGGUUUGACUUCCUAUCCGCUAUUCAGAGUCUGAAAUUUUUUAUCUAUUUUAGGCUGUAAUACUUGUUCUUCCAUUUUUUUGAAACAAGAAAAUAAUUAUUUUUUAUCAUAUAGUAAUUCAUUAUUUAUAAAUAAAUGCUCAUUUUUUUAAUGAGUAUGCUAUUUUAUUUUAAUCAUAGCUGUUAAUCAACUGUUAUAAUAUAAUAUAAUCAUAGCAAAUUUAUUUAAAAUAUUAAUUUUAUAUAUGUAUAUUGGCUGUGUACGGUGGAUCCGGUAUGCAGUGGUCCUGGCAUUUUAGUGAAGCAUCAAAAGAUUCGUUCUCUUUCUUGACUGAGGGUCACCUGAGAAACCAGGACAAUUUUUUGUUUUUAGUCUUUUGGAUUUUCAGUGGACGAAAAUGCCCUCAGUGGGUGCUCCAAUCACUGCAUGAAAUGAACCUGGCAAGUGGCAUUUUGGUAAAAUGGAGAGGGUAAAUUUGGCAGCUUAGGUGUUCCCGUGGUUGGUGUGUUUGUCUGAUAUCUUGCUUUGCUUUGCCUUUGUAAUGUCCGUGUUGCUGUGUGGCAUGGUAGCAUUAGCUUUUUGACUUUUUCAGACAGCGUGCCCACGUAGGAUUCCAUUUUGGAGUUUCUUUUGCCUCAUGAAUAUGAUUCACCCUUCUUUUGUAGUUUUUCCUUCUCUCAAUCAGAGAAGAAGCUUUUUUAUUUUUUAUGGAUAGAAAUAAAAGACAAACACCAGAAGUUAUAAUAGUAUUACCUGAAAUAAAAAAUAUACAUUGUAUAUAGUUAUAUUCAUUGAUGCACAGUAAUAAAUAACUAAAUAGUAGUACUACUAUUAUAAUUAGAAUAUACAUUAAAAACUGUUAAUUAGUAUUAAUAUUGUUUUAAGGGUCUUACUAACUAGUAACUUUAGCACAUUGGUUAAGAAAUUAAAAGAGUAUUUAUCUUAUAAAUCAUAAGAUAACAUAAAAAAAUCAUAAAUAACAUAAUUUUCUGUUUUUCAAUAAAAAGAUUUAUAUUUUAAGUUUAUUAAACAAUAUUCUUAGAUAUUUGACUUAAUGAGAAAAAAGAGAUUACAUUGUAACGAGUACACAACAUAAAUAGGAGAGAGACAAUUGUUCUAUUCGAUAAAUUAUAGCUAAUUAAGUUGGAUGAAAGUGAGUUAUUCAAUAAAUUAUAGUUAUGCCAUGUUGGUUAGAUUUGAUAGCAACAAUAUACUGAGAACAUGCUGAGUUAAAUAACUCGUGCAUUUACUUCUUUUCAACACAUUUUUUUUUAUUGGUUGAAGUUAAUCUGAGUUUCCACUGAUUUGGGAAUAAAAUCUACCAAAAAAUCCACAUAUUUACUGGAACCAACAUGAAGGAGUUUAUUAGAGUGUCUUACUAAUGAUUUAUUUGUUAUAUUUGAAAAGAUUUUGGUGAUGGAAAUCCUAUUACAUGCCACAUAUUAUGAUCAGUUAAUGAAAAUAUAUUUUGUGUACAAUUAGGGAUGCAAGCCUUCAGAGGGCAUGGAGAUAGUUGGUGGAUCAUCAGCAGCAGCAAGCCCUUGCUCAUCUUACCAUCCAAGUCCAUGUGCUUCCUACAAUCCAAGCCCUGGCUCAUCAUCCCCUUACUACACCCAAAUUCCCAAUCCUGAUGGCAACUCCCUCAUUCCAUGGCUCAAGAACCUCUCCACUGCUUCAUCUUCAGCAUCCUCUCCCAAGCUUCCCCACCUCUACCUCCACAGUGGCUCCAUCAGUGCUCCUGUGACGCCUCCUCUGAGCUCUCCAACCGCCAGAACGCCACGAAUCAAUGCUGAGUGGGACGAGCAGUCUGCGCGGCCGGGGCCCGGAUGGACCAGACAGCAGCACUACUCAUUCCUGCCAUCUUCUAGUCCUCCCAGCCCCGGCCGCCAGGUUGUUGACCCUGAAUGGUUUGCUGGGAUCAAGCUUCCUCAUGUUAGUCCAACCUCACCAACAUUCAGCUUGGUCUCCUCAAACCCUUUUGCCUUCAAGGAACAUGCUUUGCCCUCCAGCGGUUCGCCAAUGUGGACUCCGGCUCAGAGUGGAACAUGCUCUCCUGCUGUUCCACCGGGUUCUUAUCAGAAUGCUGACAUUCCUAUGUCUGAUGCCGUUUCGGAUGAAUUUGCAUUUGGAAGCAACGUGUUGGGGCUUGUCAAGCCUUGGGAAGGAGAAAGGAUCCAUGAGGAAUUUGGAUCAGAUGAUCUUGAACUCACACUUGGUAACUCAAAGACCAGGUACUCCAGCAUUAUUACAUGAUCAAUUGAAUUUCUUCACUGAUAGUGUAAAGGAUUUUAUUACUAUUAACCAAUCAGAAAUUGUCAUAUGUGGUUUUUUUAAUCUUUCUUAAAAGUCAUACUUAGCAUAAUUUGUUAGUAGUUGACAGUCUAAAAACCUUUACAUUGUCGCCGUAGAGUAGUAGACAUGGUAAUCGGGCGGGAUGGAGACCGAUUUAGUCUCCCCGUACACUUAUCAUGCCUAGUGUAGAGAAAUUCAACUCUUUUCUUUAAAAUAUUUUUCUCCCCCUUUUGACAUGAUCUUUUUUACUUCUUGGCAGAUGAAGUCACAAAUAUGAAUUGAAUGUGAUAAUGUAAACAUUGACUUUUGUUGGUUUUGAUCAGUAGAUAUGUUAGAAGGUAAGUGAGGUGGUGAGUGCAAGCAGUUGUUUUCUUUUAUCCUUUUAUUUAUUUUUAUUUUGGUGACUUUCCCUUUUCAUUCUAUAGUUCUCCAGUAAUAUACAUGCUUAUUUAGAUGUGGAGUGGAUUUGCAACCCAUUCAUUUCAUCGUUGUACGUGUUGUUAAACCUUAAUUAUUGGAAACAUCAGUAUACAUUGUAUGGAUUGGCUUGGUUUGCCACUGACAGAACUCCACAGAUUGCAACCUAACUCAAUGGCAAAAACCCCUUGUGGAAAUUUGAUGGAAUGGUCCGAUUUUAUUGACAUGAGUUAUUUUUUGUGCUUGUUUUAAGAAACAAGUCAUGAGUUAUCACAUUCCUCUGCAUAUGGGUGACAUUUGUACAUGUUUCCAUGAAAUUAUGAUUCGAUAAAACUCUCCACUGAAAUAAAUCUUCAUUAUUUGUAUUAGAUCAAUGUUGUUAAUUGGUGGAACAAAUUUAAUAUCUCUGAUAAAAAAAUGACGAAUAAAUAAGAAUGGGUCAACAAAGAGCUGGGUAAAAGCGCAAACUACUAAAGAGUUUUUGUUCUUAUAAGAGAAGUAAAAGAUAAUGGCAACCUUAGCAUUUGUCACUUCAACACAAGAGUGUCAAGAAAGAUGGGGAAGAGAGGUUAGCUCAACAUGAAACUUGAUGAAGUCUCAUCAAACCCCCAAACAUUAAUUGCAAUACAAUGAACAGUACUACUGCAUGAUGUUUGACUGAUCAAGUUGUUAUGUGACACCUCAAAACUAGAACAUAACACUAGUCUAAAAUAUAAUUAAACGAUAGCAUUUUAGACUUGAAGACACGACAAUGGUAAUCUCAAAACAAAGAAUCAAGCUUUCUCCAAAGUCUACCAUGCAAAAAGCUAAGAAGCCAAAGCUUCUAAUUCCAAAGUCUUCUAUGCAGGAAUACAACUAGAAUCUUCAUCAUAGAAUCCAAAAUUUUAAAUUCCAAGAUUGCUACAUGAAGGGGUCAUCAAACUUUUACUGUCCAAAAAAUAACCAAAAAAAUAGAAAAUAAUGUUAAAUGUGCAAAGUGAGUGCAAUAUUUUGUUGUGAGUGUGCUUUAGUAUAAAUAACAAUGAGUCCCACGGAUUGACAAGACAUCUUGCAUUUAAGAUUGAAUUUGGCACCUUUGUGAAUUUUUGUUUUGAGUUUUUCUUUUUUAUUACAAGAGGUAUGACAUUUUGGUGUAUACAAUUUUGCGCCUUAUUUUCUCCUUAUAAUAAACCAUUAUUUCCCUUUCACUACCUUAAUAUUUAGUUAGUUUUUCUACUCUUUCUUAUUAUACUUUCUCUUAAUUUUUUGGGUACAUAAAACUAAUGUACCCAAUGUUAAAAGGAUUUGCAAAGGUAGGAAAGAUGGUCAUUUCUUGCAUUGGCAAAAGUAUUAUUUCUAGAUUUGAACCCACUCGUGUCCUCCAAGAAUUGCAUUUCAUAAUCUACUUACUGUUAUUUAACCUCCAUUUUUUAUCUUUUACAAAUAUGAAGAAACAUAGACUGUGUAUUUUUUCCUAGUUCUGAUAAAGACACAAACAAUAAUUUUUUAUAACUCAUAAAAAAUAUUUUUUUCAUCUCAUAAUAAUCGUCAUGUAAAAGAAUAAAUUUUAAAAGAAUUAUCAUUUUAAUUUUUUGAUUUAAAAUUAAUUUUUUAUAAUAUUAAUGAUGCACAAUAAAAACUAAAAAUAAAUUAAUAAUUAUAAAUAUAAUUUUAUAAAAAUUAUUAUUAUUAUUAUUAUUAUUUAUUUAUUUAUUAAUGUUUUAUGUAAAACAAUUAGGACGAUAAUUAUAAUAAGAAGCCAACAAGCAUUUCACUCAUUCACUUCACUACGUGUGUAAUAACGAAAUAAGGUAUCAUAUGAAAGGAAAACUGAAACAAUGAGUGAAAUGAUCAGCUGCAGCUCUCAGCCUUUAUUCAUCAAUGGCGGAAGAUUAUAUACAUGUGUAUAUGGGAAACAUAAAGCUGUUAUAACUGAAAGUUAACCGAAAGUUAACUAACCUAACUAACUCCCUUGUAACUAACCUAACAAAUGCUGUUAAGAGUGUGCAGUGUGCUCGUGUUGCCUUUCUGGUAAAGAAGAGAGAAAAUGACACCUCAAUUUGCAGCAAGCCACUCUUUUUUCCGCGUUCCUCCCACUUCCCCUUCUCUCCGUUUCACAAGGUAUUGUUGUAUCCCACCCCUUACUUUUAUUUUUCCUCUCAUCUCAUAGAUAUGCUGUUGUGUAUUUAUUGUUGUUGUUGUUGACUUAUAUUACACCCACAAGGGGAUCCUAUCCUUGUCAUGUUUUCCAUCUUCUGUAUAACUUGUAUUGUGAGGUCCCCUUGACUUAUUAAUUGUUGAGUUCUGGUGGUGGUUUCUCGCUGCCCGUGAUUGUUGAGGCCCCCUUAGUCAUUUGGGUAGUGGAGGCAUUAUCUCACAUGUCAUUGUUCGUACUUUUUAAUUUGAAAAAAAAGAUGCUUCUAAAGGGUGGAGGAUUUGAUUUGGUAGGUGUUGUGCUGAUUUAGAAUAAAUUUUGAAUUUCAGAGUGCACUCUUUAGCUUAAUCCCUGUUAUAGCUUAUAAAGGAGCUUAUAAUAAUGACGAAUUUGAAAAUCAGGGAACAUUGUUAAGCUUUUUGUAGUAACUAUGGCAUGUUAGAGAGACUUUUGUCGCAUGCUUCAAAACUGAUGAGUUGGUGUUGUUAUAUCAUGGUCUCCCUUGAUUUUACUCCAUUUGCAUUUGGAACUAACAUUUUCUUUGUAUUUGGUUUUAAACUAGGAAUAAAGAUUUGAUUCCAGAAAGAUAUACUAUAAUCAACAGGAAAAAGAAUCAUGCCAUCACAGCUUUUGCAGGCAAUUCUCUUGGUCAGUUAGCAUCUUGCUCCCCAACCCUUUUUUUAAGCAUCUUCUAUGUAAUUUUAAUAUUUAAAUAGCUCAAUUAAUUUGAUUUUUAAUAAAACAAUAGACCUCUGUAAAAAAUAUUUGCCAUUUGAAUAUGGAAAUGAGAGGUGACAUUUGAAACUUGUAUGCUGAUUUUGGCAAUAAUCUCCUCACAACAUUUUGUUUAUUUCAAUGCUAAGACAUCUUAUUCACCAUGUCAUCAAAAUGCAAUACCUUUUUCAAAUUGCAUGUAUUGUUUAGUUCAAGUGCUUAAAAAUUGUUUCUAGUCGUUUAACCCCCAAAUUCUUUAUAUCAGGAAAAUCAGCUAUCCAACUCAAUGCUGCUUCAUCUCCACUAUUUGCUGAUAAAGAAGCUCACCUCUCACUCAAACUUCCUAUGUCUCGAAAAUCCAAUACUACAAUCCGACAAGCAUUUAUAUAUCAUUCAUCUGGUUUCCGAAUCCCAUCAAAUGCUGAGAAGCCAGAAUGGUGGUGGAGGACUUUAUCCUGUGUUCCCUAUCUGUUAGCAUUGCAGAUAUCUGCAGCUGGGUUUUAUCUAGAACCUAUCCUUGAGAAAUUUCCAUUGUUUCGGAAUUUGGUUUUUUAUAUCCCAGGAGCUGUCAACCGAUUACCAAACUGGUUCCCUAUGCUAUAUUGCAAUGUGGCUAUUGUAUGGGUGGUAAAAAACAAGGACUUGCCCCUUAUCUUCAGAUUCCAUUUAAUGAUGGGAAUGCUACUGGAACAUGCUCUGCAGAUAGUGUGGAUUUCAAGCAAUUUCCUGCCACUUAUACACUUCAAGGGAACUUUGGGGAUGUAUUACUGGGCUGGUGUGGCGUUGACAUAUAUUUUUGUAAUAAUAAGGUGCAUAAGGUGUGCACUUCUGGGUACAUUUGUGAGUAUCCCUCUACUUAGUGAAUCAGCUUUUAUUCAUUCUCUAUUUAGUUAAUGAGGGUUUCAACGGCCAUUUUAGGAUGUGGUCAAGAGCAUAUGUACUAUACUAGUGGUUUUGCAGUUGAAUGAAGGAUUGUCUCUAUUUAAUUGAGUUUUUGUUGAUAUCUUUCCCCUGCCUUUGCUUAAACUUGAAAGGUUGGUAUUUGUGUUUGGGGUGUUGACAUUGGUAUUUUACUUCAAUUUAAUGAAAAACAUAUGUGAAAGUAUCAAACAGUAACUUGAUUAAAUAAUUUAAAAUACCUCAAAUUAUUUUUGAGAUUCAUUUUAUAUAUUAUAAUUUCUAUUUCUGUAUAUCUAUAAAUCAUGGUAAUUCAUGAAAGUGAUAAUCAUGAUGAAACAUGUAUUACCUCAUUUGUUUACUAUUCAAACAUUACUUCUUCACAAAACCAAAUAAUGAUGUAUGACUGUAUGACUAUGACUGUAUAUCGUUUCAUCAACAUUCCUGAAAGUUAAAAAGGCCAACCCACAUGACUGAAAAUAUCUCGAGAGUUCGACAAAUCUCGUUUUUUUCUGUAUGACUGUAUAUCGUUUCAUCAACAUUCCUUUUUCUCUGCUUUCAAAUAUCUCAACUAGCAUUCCUCUUCUUAUUAGAUUUCUUUCUUCUCUAUUUCUUUGUCUCCAAGUGCCAUUUAUUUCUGGAAAUUUAGGGGAAGGAAAUAAGGUAAAAGAUAAUAAGAGAAAGAUGCUACCUUUUCUAUUAUUAAGAUUUAGAUUUGUUAAAUAUUACUCUCUUUUUUAUGAAAAUCAAUUACUUUUCAUUUAGAUUAGUUAACAUUCUCGAUCUAUAUAUUAUAUACAUGAUGGGUUUUGGGAAUCUAUAAAUAUUAAUAACUCAAUAUUAAUUUUUAAUUCUCACCUUAAUCAUAAGGACUAAGUUAACAUGAAAUUUAUAAAUUCAAAUUUUUUUUUUUAGAUUACAAGUGCCAGUUAUUUAUUUUGGUUGACAAAGGAACCUAGGCCCAAGAAAACAAAGAUUAAAAGGAAAUUAACGAGAAGCAAGAACUCUCAAAACAUCAUAAUUAACAACUGGUUUAACUGAAUAGGAGGUUGAUCAUAAUUCAUAAAUCCAUAACCCAGUCCUCCCAGUUGCAUUAGUACUCUUGAUAUCUCUUAUGUUUCGGACAUCCGCUUCUAAAUUCAUAUUGGAUAAAUAUUAGUUAUUAACUUUUUAGUUAGAAAAAUUUAAACUAAUAAUCUUUUUUUCUCCCUUUUUCUUUUAAUCAUAAACCAAUCUUAUAACUCCUCUGAAUCCAUAUGUAGUUCCAGUUCCAUGCAAUUAUGCUAAAAGAAGCCCUUCAUAUGCUCCCCACCGCUCUGGUACAUAUGCAGUAGCUACGCCAAUGAAUUUAGUGAACCCACAGCCAUUUACCUCUGUCAUCUUAACAGUCCACCACAUUCUUCUGUUCCUCGUUUCCCUUUUGUGAAAAAUAACUGUUUAGUAUUAUCCUAAAAUAUACUAAAAGUGUAUAAUUAAUUGCAUUAUAAGCAAAUUAAAAUAUCCUCCCCAAUUCUCACUCAAACCAUUGAAAAUAUAGUUCUUAUAAUUUUGCACUUAUUUUUUUAUUUUAAUCUCUAUAAUUUUUUUCAUGUUUAAUUUCUAUAAAUUUAUGUUUCUUUAAUUUUGGUCUUUUUUUUAAUCCUAGUAAACUUGUGUUUUUUUUUUUAAUUUUAGUUCCUUUAAUAUUAUUUUUUUCAUUUCACAAUACUUAUAAGAAUCAAAAUUAAAAAAAAGAAUACAAAUUUAUAAGAAAAACUAAAAACAAGCAAUUUUUUUAUAAAAAUCAAAUUAAAAUAACACAAAUUUACAUAAUAAAACAAAAUCUCUGAAAUGAAGAGAUUCACUUUGGUUUUGUGGUGUGGCCAAACGUAAUGUGUCGAGAAUUCACGUGUUCUCAUUGGCUGAUUUUUUGUUUUAUAAUUUUUCAUUCAUCGUUAUCAUUCAUCACUUUCAUCACUUGAAUCCUUUUUUUUUUUCCAUUCAAGUAAAAUCUUGGUCCUCCUCAUCCACAACACAAAGACCAAAUCCUACGCAACGUGUCGUUAAACCAAACCCGCGUGCUCCUUUUCCAUUUCUCAUUUCCUUCAAGUACUUCAGUUCUCAGCACACCACAUCACCUUUGCAGCAGCCUCCAUAAUAUUCCAAUUCAUCACCCUCUUUUCAAUAUUCCCUUAUUAUCGCUUUGAUUCGUUGAUUUUUUUAAUUCUUUACCUCAAUUUUAAUAAGAAUCAGUUUUUGUAGUUUUGAUUUGUUGUAGUAAGAUUAAUUAACUAUUCAGAUUCAGUUAUUGCCAGCUUUGAUUUCUUUUUUUUUUUUUUUUAAUUAGGUUUGCAAGUAAAACCCAAACCCAAACCCCUAGACCUUGGGAAUAGUUUGUGAGUUGUGUUGAAAAAGAAUCGGUUCUUGUCUCGUUUUAUUUCAGAUAAGAAAGUCUUAGAUUCAGAUUCAGUUGUUGACGCUUUGAUUCGUUUUCUUCUAAUUAGAUUUGCGAGUAUAGGUGAAGCCCUAGGUCUUAUGGAUAGGUAGUGAGUUUUGUUGUUGAAGAAGAAGAAGAAAAUGUCUGUGGAAAGGUCGUUUGAGGCAUGGGAAGAGGUGCAGCGUCACGGGCAGGACCUAGCUGACCGUCUUGCCCAGGGUUUUAGCGGUUUGAUUCACACGCAUAUGAGCCCUCCGCAAUUCGCGUGGCCGAACCCUCCGACAUCGAAGCUCUUCGAUCUGGAGUUCCCUUCGCAGAACUUUGGGAAGAGGGAUUUCGCUUUGGCGACCCAGGAGUACGGGAUUAAUGGCGUGUCAGCGAUUUUUGACAUCGGGAAUCGGAUCGGUCAGGCCGGGGCGGAUUUCGGUGCCAGCUUGAACGGGCUGGUUCAGCAGUUUUUCCGGUCGUUGCCGGUGCCGAUGCCAUUCAAGCACGAGGAGAGUUCAGUGAGGGUGGAGGGUGGGGAUAAGGGGUGGCAGAGAGGAGGGGUUGUGGUUGCUGUGCAGGAGGAUUUGGGAUUGCUUAGUGAGAGGUUGAAGAAUCGUGGGUUUGCUGAGAGUGUUAGUGGCAGUGGUGGUGGAAGCGCGGAGGAAGAGGGUGGUGGAGGGUUUAACCUUGGGUCUAUUGGUCUUCUGGGCAGGCGACAGGUAAACAUUCUUGGUGUUGGUGUUGGUUGGUUUUGCUUUGUAUAUGCUGUGGUUUUGUAUUAUAGGCUUGUUAUUGUUAAUUUGCUUAUUGACUGUUAGAUUUGGAAGUGAUAACUGUUGCUGUUCAAUUGCUUGCUUAUUGAUGGAGAGAGAUAAACAGUUGUUGUGUAAUGGGAAGAGAGGAUUUAUUAUUGUAAAAGAGCUAUUGAAGUAAUUGUCUGCAAUGGUUUACUGUGCAAUAUUGGUGUUCAGGUGCAGAAGAAACAGUUUUUAUCUCUAAAAGUUUAUUCUGUUUUAGAUCAACUAGCCAUCCUGAUUAGAUUGUGCCUUUGAUGGUGGAAUUGCGGUGUUGAAUAUUAUUUUGAGGAGGGCCUGUCCUUGUCUUUGUUAUGUUUUUAUUUAUGUUAAUAUAAGAGGAAACCACAGAGGAUUGUUAGCUUUUUGCAUUGGAGUUGUUUUCUGUUCAUUGCUUCAGUUUUCUUGUUGGGAUUCAUUCAUGAUGGGUGAUGUCCAUUGGCAUCUUGGGGCCUUAGUAUAGUUGCACAAGUCGUAUUUUACAGAAAGAAAAGAGGAAGCGUUGAACAAAUGCUUUCUUACUUUAUCAUUUGUAAAAUAUGUACCUGGAAAUUUAUUUUCUUUCCAAUGCCCACAAUUCCCCCAAAUAUAUGCAGCAUAAAACUUGUAAAUUUUUUAAUAGUGAGUACUUGCUCUUACUAGUUCAGAGUAAAUUAAUAUUUGUUUAUGACAUUGAUCAAAUUAGCAAUAGAGCAUAUCAACAGUACUAUUGAUUGUGAUGUUCAAUUAGAAUUAGAAUCUCUUGAAAAAUGAUCUACAUUGUGGAACAGACACUAUUAUUGAAUUCCUUCAUGAUUUGAUAUGCCAACUAGCUUUUAAAAUUUUGAUUGGUUAGAAAGAUUUCUUGUUUUCAACAUUUAUUUUGAAACAUAUGUAAAAGAUGUGCAAGCUCUGGAAUCUGUAUUUUGUGUGGCUAAAUUCUCUUUCCUCACUCUGUUGAUUCGUUCCUCUAUCUAUUUCAUUUACUGGUUAUAUUUUUUCAUGUACAGGGAAUCAUAAAUUUUACAUCAACUUAUGAUAGUAGAACUCAAGAAGUGGAAGGUUCUUUAGUUGCAAGGGGAGAUUUGUGGAGAGUAGAGGCAUCACAUGGUGGUUCUGCGUCUAGAAAUGAAAAUUCAUCUCUUUUCCUGGUUCAGCUUGGACCUCUUCUCUUUAUCCGUGAUUCAACUCUCCUCUUGCCUGUUCAUUUGUCAAAGCAGCACUUGCUGUGGUAUGGCUAUGAUAGAAAGGUAAAGAUGAGGUUCAGCUGGCUAAUUGGACUUUGCCACAAAAUUGGUAAUAUAUAGGGAAGGUGAAUAAAGCAUGUCCAUUGACAUUGUGUUUUAUCCUUGAAAGCAACUGUGUAAGCAUGUUCAUAUGCAUUUGAUCAUUGAACACUAUUUGCUCAUUGAGUUGUUAAUCAGCUUUCCUUUCGAAGCUAUGGUAAAGUAUGCUGAAAUGAUGCCCAUGCUAGUAUAAGUAUUCAUCUUGAACAUUAUAAUAAUUUAUGUAUUUUUUAGGCAGCAGCAAUUUACAGUAUAGUUUGUAUGCCUUUGUUUUCUUGUUGAAAUUACUCUUUCAUACUUGGUAAAAUUAUUUAAUUAUUGUUUAGAAUUGCGUAUUUAGUUUCCAUCUUCAGAGUUAUAUUGCAUGUGGAUGUUUUGUGUAGUGCUCCCUACCCAAAUUUAGCUUUUUAUUAGCUUACGUGAUAAUUUUUUUUUGUCAGAAUGGAAUGCAUUCUCUUUGUCCAGCAGUGUGGUCAAAACACAGAAGGUGGCUGUUAAUGUCCAUGCUUUGCCUGAAUCCCCUAGCUUGUGUAAGUUGAUAGAUUAUCUAUAUGUUUGGAUCAGCGUCCUGCACAAUAGAUGCACAUAAUGGACGUGAAAAGCAGAAACUACUCUUCUUAGCUUCUGCGUAUUUUGUGUACUGGAUGUGGAGAGAGACAAUAUGAUCCACGGUUUCUAAUUUUUUCCAAACACGCACUAUGUUGUCAUGAUGCCUCUAAAAAUAUUUGUUCUAAUUUUAAGUUUUUAUACAGUGCCAUGAUGAUUUCUACCCUGAAAUAAAUUUCCUAUCAUCAUUUUUUCCCCUCUUUCUGCAUGCAGUCAUUUGUGGAUCUUCAAUUCCCUAAUGGGCAACUAACCUACGUAUCUGGAGAGGGUCUAAGUACCAGUGCUUUCCUUCCUGUUUAUGGAGGUCUUCUUCAAGCUCAGGGUCAAUAUCCUGGGGAAAUGAGAUUCAGCUUUUCGUGCAAGGUUAGAAUCCAAGUUAUUGAAGGCUUUGAUGAAAUGAUGUUUGAAGUUCACAAUAUGUUAGUUUGAACUGUUUUCCUUGUGCACUGGAACUAAUAUUGGUUACUCUUCUACUUUUUUAGAAUAAGUGGGGAACAAGAAUCACACCAAUGGUACAAUGGCCUGACAAAUCAUUUUCUUUGGGUCUUGCUCAAGCCUUGGCCUGGAAGCGAUCUGGUCUAAUGGUGAGGCCAUCUGUUCAAUUCAGGUAAGAUGUUACUUAGUGGCAGGGGAAAUGAAUGGUGGUGCUGUGAUUAUUAUUGGGGUUGCGAAGACACUUUCGCAAGGUUAUCCUGGAGAAAAUAUUUGUGCUGCUUCACUUAGUUGAUGUUGUCUAUAUGUGAUGAUUGCUUGCUUGUCUACCUGCUUUGAAUUUAGAAUGAACUUCUCCAGUCUAGAUAAAAUUGUUUACUCUAGAGUAUGGACAAAUUUUUAUGCUUAAAAAUUCAAACAUUGUGUUCGAGUAGUACACUAAAGUUUGAAAGCAUAGUUCACUCUUUAAAUAAAUGUAGUGUAAUUUGAUGGUUUCAUUCAUGAGAAAAAAAGAAGCUUUUGUAGCUGUGUUUUCUUGAUUUUAAUCCUGAUUAAGAAGCAUUGGACUAUGUGACCUGCCAUGCUCUAUUCUUUAAUUUAAGAUGUAGUUCACAAUUGAGAAAUUUGGAUGUGUAAUGUAACUUCUAGUUUUCUGAACUGUGUUUUUGUUGUAUUUGUUUUGCCUCUGCUUGGAAAACUAUUUGUUUCAAAUAUUGUAAUAACAUAAUCGAUCAAAUGGUUUUCAUCCCUGUGUAAAGGGGUAGAGGGAGACCAAGAAGGACAUGGACAGAAAUAAUUAAAAGGGAUUUUAUAGUGAAUUAUUCCUUGAGUAUUUGGUUUUUAAUCGGGUCCAAUGAUGUUGUGUGACCGAUCUAACUGAUUUUACUUGAUGGGAUUAGACUAUUGUUGUUUUAUUCUGGAAACAUAAUAGUGUUUUGGAUUAGUUUAUUUUUGUUCAAAUAGCUUUUGAUCAAAAUCUUACUGAGAGGGCUUGAGCUUUUCAGAAAAAAAGCUAUUGGCCCUGCAAAUUAUGCCAGUCUAAUUAUGUCUAAUAUAUCUAAUGCAUCUAUAAUACAAAUGUAACUAAUCUUUUGGUGUACUUCAUUAUUGCCUCCAAUUCUCUCAUUAACUUAUAUUUUCAAUUUCAUUCACACACCCUGAUCUGUUUUGAUAUUCUAUAUGUGGUUAGUGUGUGUCCUACUGUUGGUGGAAGCAAUCCAGGGUUGCGGGCAGAACUCAUUCAUUCAGUUAAAGAGAAACUUAAUCUAAUUUGUGGAUGUGCUUUCAUGACAUAUCCUUCUGCCUUUGCUUCAGUAUCUGUAAGUUGUUUCUGAAUAAGCAUAACUUGUUCUUGAAUUAUGCAAGUGUUAUUUUGGAUGUUUUCUAAUGUCGAAAAACAUGUUUAUGAUAGCAUAAGGAGUCUGCGUGUUAUAAUUCUUAAUGUUGUUCAUUAAUCAUAAAAUGACUGUUAUCAGUUGAUCGGGGAAAUGUCAGUUCACUAAUCACAAGGUGUUGCUUAGUUGGCUAACUGAGCCCUGUAGGAUUUGAAACCCAGUGGAAUUACCUUGUGGUUAGGGCCAAGGUGACAUUGAAUCGCACAUUAGUAUCACACCCAAAGGGUCCAGGGCAGGACAUGGCAUGAUUUACCAAAAAGUUGGAUGCCUUUUUACUUCCUUUUUUUUCUUUGUUAUCAGCUGAAUAGUAUGUUAAAAAGUAUAGAAAUUACUUCCUACUUUUGUUACUCAUAAAAAGAUAGCAAAUAGUCACAAUACAAUUCUAAUUAUAUAUCUAUGCCCCCAGGGCUAUUUUGAAUUUAAAGUCAGCUAUUUUCUAACUGUUUUGUUCAAGUACAUACUAACAAUAACAAUGGAAUUUGUUAUAAUCCAGUUGUAAUUUUUCUUGGGUUUUUAUUUGGGUGAAAAUAUUGGAAAUGAGAUAUGAAAUAUUAUUUAGUUUAUGUUGGUGGUUUUUUUUAGAAAAUAGCUGACUUUAAAUUCAAAAUAGCCCUGAGGGCAUAGAUAUAUAAUUAGAAUUGUAUUGUGACUAUUUGCUAUCUUUUUAUGAGUAACAAAAGUAGGAAGUAAUUUCUAUACUUUUUAACAUACUAUUCAGCUGAUAACGAAGAAAAAAAGGAAGUAAAAAGGCAUCCAACGUGAGUCUAAAUGUCUAAUAUGUAGUAGUAGACUAGUAGGUAUAUAAAAUUGGCAUACUUUAACCUUUUUAAGUUCUUAUUUUUUAGUUACUACACCAGCUGGAAAUCUCUGAAUAGGAUCACUAAUAUUUAUCUAUAUUGAUUAUUUCAUGCUUUAUUACCAUUGUAGACUUUUAUCAGCACUAAUUGUUGACUAUUAUUUCAUGCUUUAUUACCAUUGUAGACUUUUAUCAGCACUAAUAGUUGACUAUUAUUUCCAAAGAUCAUUGUGGAAGGAGAGUGCUUAUGUAUCAUAAUCUAAAUGGUUUGUCUUUUUUACAGAUUGGAAGAUCAAAGUGGAAUGGAAAUGUGGGGAACUCGGGUCUAGUUCUAAGAGUUGAUGUUCCUCUCUCCACCGUUGGGCGCCCUUCCUUCUCCGUUCAGAUAAAUAGUGGCAUUGAGUUUUGAUAGCAUUCUGGUGUUUGGUAUCAUCAGUUUUAUAUUUUGCAUGAAGUGUACAUAGGUUUGGUUCCUUGACAGUACUUGCAGGAAAUUAAAAAAAAAACUCCUAACAACAAAGCUUAGUCUUUUUAUGUGAAUAGAAAAUCCUAUUCUGGUAGUGUAUUAGUUUUAGUCUUGUCAUUUUCUAUGGUACAUCCCAAAUCAUUUUGGAGCCUGGUGUACUUAUUGAAUUUCUAAUUAUUUUGAAGGCGUAAUUUGUAAAAGUUAGAUUCAAAUUGUGUUGUGAGAGUACUUGUUAUUUACGUCUAGUUUUUAUAUUUCGUAGAUUAGUAUUAAUAUUCAUAUUCUAAUAGUGUUAUUAAUUGGGGAGGAUCUUCCCUUUGUAAGAGAACUUCAACUUCUCAAGCAAUUUUUCCAUGAAAUGAGAAAUUUAGACAUGAAUUUUGGUGGUAAGGUUCCUUGAUCUUCGUCUAUCAUACCAAACGCCUUAAAUAAAACGCCUUAAAUCAAACUUUGAUUUCUUUCUUCAUGAUUAUUAGUGAAGUAUUAUUCAUAUUUCGUUGCAUUCCUUUGUCAAUUGUCAAUUUGGUUUGAAGAGAUAGUCAGGAUUCUAUUCUAACAAAGUAGGCUUCUGCCAUACAACUUAAGUGGUUUAACUUUAAAUGCAACAUAGUAGACUUCGUGGUUUUUGACCAUUUGAGUUUCCAUUUUGAAAUUUCAAUUUCAAUGAAUAUAACUGAAAAUUACAAAUUUAAACUCAGUUCUAUUAUUCAAAUACAAGAUAUAAAAUUAGAAAUAAAAUUAAUUACAAAUAUCAUAUAAAAAAGCAUUUAAUAAAUCAGUAUCUGUAAUUAAAUAUAAUAAUAUAAUUAAUUAUUAUCUUUAAAUAAUAAUUUGACUAGGUUACAUCAUUUGGAUAAACUUCAGUAUCUGUAAGUUGUUUCUGAAUGAGCAUAACUUGUUCUUGAAUUAUGCGGGACUUAUUUUGGAUGUUUCCUAAUGCUGUACAAACAUGUUUAUAUCAAAAGGAGUCUGCGUGUUAUAAUUCACUAUUGGCUUAACAUUAUUUUUGCUUAAGCACAAAAUGACUGUUAUAUCAAAAAGAGGGAAAUGUCAGUUCACUAAUCAUAAGAUGUUGCUUAAUUACCCUGUGGUUAGGUAAAAGUUUGCAUUUAAGUGCAGAUUAGUAAUAUCACACCCAAAAGGGUGUCAGGACAUUGCAAUAUUUAUCUAUAUUGAUGCUUUAUUACCAUUGUAAACUUUUAUCAGCACCAGUUUAUAACUAUAAUCCAAAGUUCAAGGAUAGUGCUUAUGUAUCAUAAAAUGGUUGUCUUACUUUUAAUAGUGUUACAGAUUGGCAGAUCAAAGUGGAAUGGAAAUGUGGGGAACUCUGGUCUUGUUCUAAGAGUUGAUGUUACCAACAACAAAGCUUUGUCUUUAUGUGAAUAGAAAACCCUAUUUUGGCAGUGUAUUAGUUUUGUCAUAUUGGAUCGUGGUUUACUGCUUAUUGAAUUAAUGUCUAAUUAUUUUACGGGUAUAUAACUUCUAAAAGUUAGAUUCAAAUUGAGUUGUGAGACUACUUCUCGUUAUUUUUUCUUGAGUUGUGGGAGUACUUCUAGUUGUUAUUUUUCUUAGAUUAGUAUUAAUAUUCACAUUCUAAUAGUUAUUUAAUUGUGGAGGAUCUUUCCUUUGUAAGAGAAGUGCAGCUUCUCAAUCAAUUUUUCCUUCAAAUGAUGGGAAAAUUAGAUAUGAAUUUUGGUAUAAGAUCCCUUGAUCUUCGUCGGUCUUGCCGUGCUCAUAGCUUUUAAAUCAGACAUUAAAAAAGAACCAGUCAAUUGUCACCUGAAUAAAGCUUGAAGAUUAACCUGUGGGUUUAUUUAACUAUCAUCUAUCGUUGGGAUCAUAGAGACUAUUGGCUAAAGUUUUGACAGUUUCUGGCAAGGCUGUAGCAUGUUCUUAACAAACCAUGAAAAUAAGUUUACAUCCGUAGAAAAAUCUCUAGGAAUUCAUACUUUAAGGCAAUAACUGUUUUCAGUUUGGCAUAAACUUUUUCUUCAUUUAUUAUUUGUUGAAUUUCGAUGUUAAAUUUUAAGGCUGUGAUCCUAUCUCCAAGCCUUACAAUUCAUCGAAGUCUAAUAAACAAUAAUAUUCACCCAAAAACAUCUGAUGGUUUUGUAUGAUGCAAAUUAAACCUUCCUAUCUGACAUCACUGAGUUAUGCCUCAGAAAUCAAUGUUGUUGGCACUUUGAAACUUAAGUUGAAUGUAAUAUUCUUAAGAUUAACACAUUAAUUGGGGGUUUCGACCAAAAGGGAAAUUCUAUUUGAAAUUUAUUAAAUGGGAUAGGGUAAAUCGUACAUUACUUCACUGAAUAUGAAAUUGUUAAAAGAAUUGAGACUUUGAUUCUUAUUUUUUUUAUAAUGAAGUUGUAAAAAGUCCAAUGAAUUUAAUUUUUUAAUUAUUUAUAUAAAGUCAUAAAAUUUCCACACCUUUAAAGUUGUGAUUAUUUUUUAAAAUUAAUUUUGAAUGACUUUAGAAUCGUUUUAAUUAUAAUUUUAUAUUUUAUUAUUUAAUUCUUUUAAAAAUUUAAAAUAAUUGUAAUUAAUAUUUUUUAUAACUCAAAAAUUUAAAGUCAUUCAAAUAAUAAUUAUAAAAUUAUUAAACGACUUUAAAGUAAAAAAAAAUUAUGAUUUUAUAUAAAUAAUCACAAAAAAAAAUAAAAAUCGUUAAAUUUUUUACAACUUCACUAUUGAAAAAAAAUCAAAGUCAUGAAUUUUUUUAUUAUUUCAUACCUAAAAAUAGUAAAAUAAUUUAUGACUUACCACAUUUGAAAAUUAAUUCAAAAAUAUCCCCAUUUAAUAAAAUUCCAAAUGAAAUUGAAACCCCCAUUAAUAGCCUUUAAACCACCAUACAUACAUAUAGCAAGCAACUAUGAAUUAAAAUUUAAUGAGUUAACUUCCCCUACUUGCAAAUCACACAUAAUUGGAAAAUCUAAGAAGUUGAUCGGUUGAAGCCUAAUCAAUUCUACUUGGAAGUGAUAUGGAGGAGUCAAGCCAUGGCCCCCCCAUUGAUUUGCUUCUUUGCUCUAUACUAUCUUCUGAGAAUGCAGAAGAGACUUGAGUUUGACUGUCUUGUGAUAGCAUCUCAAAGGCUUUAAAUCUUACAUCUUCUGCACUGUCACCGCGUUUAAUAAUUGGUGCUUGAAUUGGAGUUUUUCCAUCAAGCAUGCUCACUACUGAUGACAUACAUGGUCUAAGAGUGGGAGAAGGAUUGGUGCACAAGAGUGCUAACUGCAGCAUUCUCAUGGCCUCUUCUGAGGAGUACUUUGAACCAAGACUUGGAUCCACCAGCUCCAGAAGGUUUCCUUGCUCUUGGAGAACAUAGGCCUUCAAUGACAUGCAACAAAUAGUAUUAGAAAUUCAAGCAAACAAUAACGGGGAAACAAGAAAGGAAAGCACAAAAUAAGAAAAAAGAUAAGUAUAGCCCUACUUAUAUUUAAAGUAUCAAAUUAUCCUCAAUCCUUAUUAUAGUAGGAGAUGAAUGGCAUGAAGACUUGGAUAUAGAUGAAAAAGGCAAGAUACUUUGAAAAUAUUGAACUAGGUAUAUUUUGUGACGAUGACAGGAUAAUUUGUGUAUUAUGCACCCCAGAUGCUCCCACUUCAAUCUAUCGAAAACACAAAAGUGUAACUUACCCAAUCUAAAAGAUAUACAAACUCCUCCUUUGGCCUAUAAUUUGUGUUGCUCUUUCCACUAACAAUCUCUAAAGCUACAAUUCCAAAGCUAUAGACAUCUGCUUUGUCAGUCAAGUAACCCCUCAUAGCAUACUCAGGAGCCAUGUAACCACUGAUAAGAAAACAUUUAAUACCCUUGUGUCAGUGAUUUCACAAAUCAAUGAAAUGUGUAUUUUUUUUUUUAUUUAAAUGAUUAUAAAUGCAAGCUAUAGAUAUAUUGUGGAUAACACUGCAAGCCUAUUAAUGAUGAACAAAGUCUAGGAUUCAAACAGGAAAUGCUGUGGCAUAGUACUAACAUUGUCCCAGCAACUUUUGUGCUGAUAUGAGUAUUCUCUUCUUCAUCAAGUUUGGCUAAACCAAAGUCAGAGAUCUUGGCAUGCAGAUGUUUAUCAAGUAAGACAUUGGUUGCCUUAAUAUCCCUGUGCACUAUUUUCAACCUUGAUUCCUCAUGAAGAUAAGCUAAGCCCUUUGCAAUACCCAGACAAAUUUGCAUUCUUCUGGGCCAGUCCAAUUGCAUCCUCUCAUGUUCUUUACCUAGAAAAGGAAAACCUUUUCAGUUAGAUUUUAACUUGGUAGCGGCAUACACAGCCAAAGAUGUUCAUGAAGCAUUUACCAAAAAGUGCACGAGCAAGACUAUUGUUCUCCAUGUACUGAUAUACUAGCAGCAGCUGGUUUCCUUCAAUGCAACAGCCAUAAAGUUUCACAAGGUUUGGAUGCUGCAAAGCAGAUAUCAUGCCUAUUUCAUUGAUGAAUUCACGAUUCCCUUGCUUUGAUUUGGAGGAGAGCUGCUUAACAGCAAUCACAGCACCAUCUGAUAGUACACCCUGUGAAUAGCAGUAUCUUUAGUACCAUGUUUUCAUUUUAAAAAAUAUUGGGGAUAAAAAGACUUAACCCCAAUGUUUCAAAACUUCAUACUGCAUAAGAUGAUUAUAAUCUAUCAAAUUUACCUUGAAUACUGGUCCAAAGCCUCCUUCACCUAUCUUAUUUGCUGGGUCAAAGUUAUUAGUAGCAGCUUUAAUUUGUCUUAAACUGAAAUAACCUGUUUUCAGACCUAGAAGUUCUGCAACAAGGUAGAUGUAGCUACUCAGAAAUAAAAUGUAUAAUUGAAAAGAAAGAGAGGUGAUAGAGAUACAGAAAGAGAGAAAUCAGAGAAUUGUUUUUGAGAAACCAAGUGUGCAUUUUCUGUUACCUUAAAAUUACCACAAUUUAGAUCUCGGCAAUAAAUUUCAAGUUGUUAUAUAAUCUACUAUUAAUAUUUAUAAAAAAAAUUCAUGUCUAUUAGUAUAUUCCAAGAUUCUAAUAGAUGUAUAUGCAUCAUGCUUGACUGCAAACCAAUCUGAACUUUGUAAUAUCAAAAACCAAAUCAUAAGGGUUGUAACUGCCUGCUUAAUUUGGACUUCAAUCUUACCUUGGUCUGUUUGAUCUUUCUGACAAAGGAAACCCAUCUUCCAAAGAGCAAAGAGCAUCAAUAUGACAAUCACACAUGCCCCAGCUACAAUUCCAACAAUUGUUCCAGUAGAGAACCCAUGUGCAUAAACUUUAAAGUCUACAGCAAAGUGGAAAUGCUUACAGAACAUGAAAGGACAAGGUAUUUGAAAGAGAGGACACCAAUAUUAUGAAAACUACUUACUUGGGGUCACAGUGAUAGCAGAUAUGAGAGGUCCAUAUACACCUCUUAUAGGAAUGGCAUUAGUUCCUUUCCCUGCCCAGGAUAAGUGGAUUUCCAAGGUGCUUUCUGUAACAUUAACAUUAAACUCCCUAGUGAUUCCCUUACCAACUCCCCCAGCUUCUUUCGCAAUGUUAAAAUCUUUCAAAUAUUUAAAACCCUGUCAAUGUACAGUAAUGAAAAUAUCGAACUUUAGAACUCGUGUUAUUGGAGAACCAGAUACAAAAUAUGAGUAAAAUUUUAAGAGAAACAAAAAAAAUGUAACAUUGUUUGCUUCAUUUACUCACUUGAAUUGAUACAUCAAAUACACGCUUUCCAAGGUUGCUAUAUGAGUGGUCAUCAGAGAAUGCUAUCUCAGCAAAAUGAAGUUUCACUUUAUAAUUGCCGUUCAGCAUACAAAGGCCAUAGUAAUUAAGAUACAGAGGAGCUAUGCGGGCUGUGUGGUAGUAAUCAGGGCCAUUAAUAUCCAAAGAAAACUGAUUUGUUGCUAUAUAAUCAGCUUUAUCAUUUCCUAGAUAUACUCCAGUGCUGCUAUAAGCCCAUUUGCCACUAUUACCAGGAACAUAGUUUGAAAUGCCAAAUGGACUGAGGUCAGCUUCAUAUUCAUUGCCCUCAAACUUUGUUUCAGGUCCUCCACAGUUUAUGAACAGUGAAUGAACUGGAGAGAGACACAGUGAAAGCGAAUAAUUUAUCAAGAAAAAUGAAUAUGCUUAAUGAAAAAGCAGGGAAAUAAAGAAAAACAAAAAACAAAACUUGUUCUCAUACAUGUUACUUCAAAUUUCAAAAUUUCAAAAAACAAUGUUGGUUAUCUAAGUCUAGACACUCACACUGGGGUUUUCCUGAACAAGGUUGGCCAAUCUUCAAACAAGAUAUUCUACAAGAUAUAAAGAUAUAAUAUUAGUUUCAACUGAUGAUUCAUAGCUGAUAUUAUAGAACUAAAACUAGUCCACAAGAAGGAACAUACGAAGUGUUUGCUGUGCGAGAGAGGCUUGAAGCUAAGUUCCUGUUCAAUGAUAAUACCAUGCUUAUUAUUGGCAUAGGUGAAAUGCUUAAAUAAUUUGUAGACAAAAAGAAGCUUACACAUCCAGCAUUUGGCAAAUAUUUGCAGAAGUCUUUGUGAAAUUGUUCAAAGAUAAAUCACUGAAAGAGAACAUAAAGUGAGAAUAAAUUUCAUAAUUCAAUGAGUGCUAACUAAAGAGAUAUGCUUACAUAUGCUUUUUUAUGCUCAGUAUCCAAUCAGGAAUUGGUCCACUUAGAGAAUUGUUUGUCAGAAACCUGCAUCCAUCAUGAAUAUAUGUCUCAUUAUAUCAGAAAAAAAUAAGUUGAGAAAAAGCAACCAACAUUCUUGAGAUCAAAUUAAUAUAAACAUUCACAUCCUUUCGGCUAAUCUUCUUGCUGGCAAAUGAAAAUACACACUUACAAGUAAUUUAGAUUUCCCAAAUCCUGAAAUGAAUCUGGGAUUGAACCUGUUAACAUGUUGGAGCUCAGAUCUCUGAAAGAGAAAAUAGGAAAUUACUAUGAUGUAGUAAUGGCACAUGCCACUUCCAAAUUCUAACAACAAAAUAUAAUGGAGGUAAUAUCAAGUUUCCAAUAAUUUUUAUUUUUUUUCUCUUUUUGCUGGCAUUUUGAAACACAAUAUUGCAGAUAAUAAUUUGCACAGAUGAUGCAUACUAAAAUUUAUAUCCACAUUCUUGGUAGUUAUAUUGUCAUUAUACUGGUAUAACUAACCAACAAAUCACAAUCACCUUAAAGGAAAUGCCCCCAAUGAUUACACAAACAGAUGAAGAGUGUCCAAAAAUAAGUCUUGAAAAAUAUCUAACAAUAGUUGAUUACCAGAGGGGCAAAGAAGUGUUAAUCACAAAAUUAAUUGGAUUCAAAUUAUUUCCUAAAUCCUGAUCUUUAUAAUGUAGAAAUUCAAUACUCAUAAACUUUAUCUAAUGAAGAAUAGAUGGAGAAAAGGUGCUACCUAACAAUAUAGGUGCAAAAUUAAAAUAAACACAUACUGUAGAAAUGGAGAUGAUAAAAUGAUCAAAUUAUUACAGAGUGACUUCUAAAUCCUUAAUUGUGUCAUGAUUCAACUAAAAUUAGAAUGUGUUUUUGUAUACUAAAAUUAAAUAGAUAAUAAUGAGAUUGGUAAACAGGUAGAUAAAAAAACUAAAGAAUAUAUAGCUAGUUAUAUACUCUUGAUGCAACUUACAUGAUUUUCAAACUUUCUAUUUCUCCAAUGUAGUUUGGAAUGGGACCAGUUAUUAAGCAAUUCCUCAAUUCCCUGAGUAACAGAAAUAUGAUAGAAGCCUAAAUGAAUUAUAUAGUUCUUCGCGUAAGAGCAGUUAAGGUUUCAACUCACAGUUUUAGCAAAAGUUUCAAAUUCUUCAGAUUAGGAAAUGUCAUAGUUGGUCCCUUCAAAUCAGAUAUCCUCCUGAUAUAUAAAUGUUUCAUCAAUGAAAAGAAGAUGUUCCACUAUAAGAGAUUGCAUUCCAUUACGAUUGUAAAAUGCACACAAAAUGUAAUAAUUUUGGAAUACUCUUAAAAGGACAAAGUGCUCACAAUUCUGUCAAAUUUGUCAAGUAAGAUAUGACAGAAGGAAUUGGGCCGUCCAAGGAUGUGCCCUGCAAAUCCCUACAAAAAGUUUUCUUAGAUAAUACAAUGCAAGUUAAUCAUGAUAUAACUUUAUUUUAUUCUUCAACUGAGAAAAGGUCAUGGAUGAACCAAAAUUUAGACUCACAAUCUAUCAAGUUUGGUCCAGUUCCCAAUAAAACUGGGUAUUUUCCCAGAUAAACUGUUUCCAUCUAUCCUACUGCAUGCAGAAAAUGUUGUUAUUUCACAAUUUAACAAACAUAAAAUAAAGACAAACGGAAAAAAAUUGCAUCACAUUAAAUCACUUACAACUGAGUGAGAUUCUUUAGAUUUCCAUAUGUUUCUGGUAUUAUCCCUGUGAAAUUAUUUGCACAAAGAAGUCUGUAGAUUCAUUUAGUUAAAGUGAAAAAAAAGGAGUUAGGGAUGUGUGGAGAAAACAGUAUGAAAUUGUAGAUAAUAUGGAGACAAUUUAAUGAUUUAAAUUGAUUAUGUAAAUCAAAUGAAAUUAAAAAAAUGAAACAAAUAGUCUCACAAUCUCAGCAAGUUGCUCAUUUUUCCAAGGCUCGGGGGAAGAGGUCCCUCAAGUUGAUUAUCUUCCAAAUUCCUGUAAACAUGGAUUACAAAUAUAAUUAUUCCACCUCCAGUUUUAAUCAAUUGGCAUCAUAGUUUUCUCAAACGCUUACAGUUCUUGCAGACUAGCCAUGUCACCAAUUUCUGAGGGAAUUGAACCAGUAAGUCGAUUUCCCAAAAGUGACCUGAAGCAUGUAGCAAUUGUACUGUGAGGAAUCAUGCAAACCCCAUUUAGGAUUUUUUUUAAUUAAAAUGCAAUCCCAUUUAGGAUUUUUUUUUUUAAUUAAAAUGUAAUGAUAGUAUAACAGAUUUUACACUAUCAUUCAAUAAUAGGUUGCUAUAUCCUGGGCGAUUUCUAGUUGGUUGUCGGCUACGUAGAUCACACCACGCCAUUUGACUCUUAAAAACCAAAGCCUUAUCUAGGGUGAUUUCUAAUGGGUUAACAAUGUAAAAAAUUUUGCACUUACAAUUUAUGAAAACUAAACUCAAUUGCAAGAAGGAAAAAAAAAAGACAGUCGCAAAGGUUCUUAGUUAACAAAUGAAGAACAUGCCUCACAAAUAGAGCAAGCAAGAUGAAAACACACAGAUGCAUAGGUAAUGAUGACUUACAGAGUGACAACUGAUGAGAGGCGUCCAAGGCUUUUUGGAAUUGAGCCAUUGAAAUUAUUCCAAGUGAGAUCACUGCUCAGUAUAAAAGUUUCAGUUAGUUAUUUCAAAGUAGAUUCCUUUGCAUUUCAUGAAGUUAAUAAUGUUUUGACUUUCAUAUAAAAGAACUAGAAUGUAUACUACUAAUGACAAAAUAACACUACAAAUAUUGCAAUUCACCUUUCAUAUUUGUAUAACAGCAUGCAUGGUGGGGCAUUACUCUACAAUCCAUAGUUUCUUUUAUCGGUUGAAAUCAAAGACAGUACUAGAAAGUUUAUAAUAACUCAUGUGUCCUAUUCAACCAAUUCAACUAGACCUCAUUGGUUAGUUGAUUAGUGUUCAUAGUUUUAUUUUCUUAUUUGGUCGACUUUUUCAUUACUUCAUUAAUGGUUAGUUAUAAUUACCAUUUUUUUGGCAUUUAUUUAUUAAGAAAUUGGGUAUCCGUAAAUGCUUAACAUUGAUCCCACCUGAUUAGCAUACCCAAAAGGAUAGCAUAGUAACUCCCUCAUUUGUGACUACAACAGUUACGGACAUGGUUAAUCCAUAUUUUCUAUAACAGUGCAGCAUUUGUGAACAUACAACUAAAAAAGUAAGAGACAAAAAGAAUUUAUAACCACUUACAGUAUUUCUAGUCGAGUUAAAUUUCCAAAUUCAUCGGGUAUAGGUCCAGAUAUAUUGAGACCCUUGAGCGCACUGUCAGCCAAUGUGUUAAAUUAGAAUUCUCAAAUGAAUAUUGUUUAUUAAUUUAAUAAAUACGAAUGAAUGUAAAGUAACCAAAGGUGACCAAUGGUCCAAGUGGAUGGAAAAAUAAAAAAUAUGAUUAGGAGAAAAGACUCUACUAUAAGUGAUUAAUGUUUUUCAAUAAAAAUUAAUCAUUUAAAAAAUUGAUAGAUACUUCACACUAGUAUUAUUAUCUAAAAAAAAAAGUAACCAAAGGUAACAUCUUUCACGUGUUAGUUUCAUUAUGCCUUAAAAAAACAUAUUAGUUUCAUUAUAAUUUUUUUUUUCACAAACUCACACUAUUGCCUAUUGGUGUUAAUAACAAAUUGUCUAAGUUGCACAAAAUCCAACUGUAGAAGACACUAGUAAGGGAGGGUUUGAAAAAAAGCUUACAUUGCUGUCACAUGGCAAGUAGUGUUAUUGUUGAAAGAGCAAUCACACGUGACAUUCCUUAUGAUUUGAGACUUAUUAUCCCUUGAAAUGUUCCUGUUAUCAAAUCCUCUAUCCCCGUUGCAAGAACGUUGUGUAACUUUCCAAUUCAGGUUCUCUACCUUGUCUGAUAUUGCUUGUAGCAAUUUCACUGCAACAUAUAGAAGGCAAAUAAAUUAAUUAGUUUUAUUCUCAGGCUACAUGCAUCUUAUAUUUCUGGUAUUAAGAUCUAUAAUCUUUUCAAAAGAAGAACUGUAAAAUAAUACUAUGUCAAUUUAGGUAAAUUCUAGAUUGUGACCUACUCAUAUUUUAACAAGCACAAGCUUUAGCAAAACUCUUGUGGUCAAAAGCUUUCAUUAGCAAACAUAUGCAUAAGCCCAUUGCAACUCUAGUCAAUAGCCUCAACAAUUUGAGCACGAUGCUAUCUUUAUAUCCAUUAAUUUGACUAAGUCAAACAAGGCGGGCAAUAAAUAUAAGAAAAAAUUGAACUUUGCAUACAUGCAAAGCUAAUCUUUUUCCUAAUUUUUUAUUGUCAACACUUGUCAUAUGAACCCCAUGCAGCAUCCAUCUAGUCCUAUUAGAGUAGUAUCAUUAUAACAAACCGUCAAUAAUAAGUAAAACAUGAUCAUCGUACCGUCCACAAUAAAGAUAACUAAACCUUAAGCUGGAGAAAUCGAUAUGGUUUUAGGGGUACAAAUCAUAUGACUAAUCAUUACAUUGACAAUUAUGCCAUGUUUAUCCUAAAAUAAAGAACUAUUAGAACGUGUUGGCACACAAUUUGACUCACCUAUCUAUUUAUCAAAAUUCAUCUAUCACAUUUUUUUUUUACUUUCUGUUUGUCUCCUUUAAUUUACUUUCUUCUGUUGCAGCCUUGAUUUUUAUGAGCCAAAUAUUUAGUUCAUUUUACUCUCUUUCGCAUCUAAAAUGUGAAUAGGAUUGGAAAAAUUAAGGGAUAUUUGAUUUGGUUGUUUUUUGUUUUUAUUUUUACUAUAAAUAAAAAUGGUGAUGAAAAUGUAUUUGGUUAGAUUUUUGAAAAUAUUUUAGUAAAAAUAUUUUUCUAAACGAACCAAAAAUUAAAAACAAAAAAAUCUUAUUUUCAGUUGAAACCAAGAAUCUCAUUUUAGUAAAAUGAAAAUACGAUGACAAAAAAUACAAUUUUAAGUAAAUCUAAAAAAUAUUUCCUUUUGAAAACAUAUUUUCAAUAUUUUUAUCUCUCGAAAGAAAAAAUAAAAAAUAAAAAAUUAAAUCAAAUAUAUUUUUAAAAUUUUAAUCUUUUAAAAAUAUAAACAAUUUUUAGAAAAUAAAAAUAAUAAAUAAAAAUACAACCUAAAGAUACCCUAAUAAUGGAGCAGGUGGGUAGAAGUGACAUUUCUCUAUUAAUUGUUGGCGUGCUGGUGACUAGUAAGGCACCGAAACUUCUCUCAUACCGAAAUAGUGAUAAAAGUAAAAUUAAAAUCAUGUCUUUGGAAAACUAUCAGGAUCCGUCCAAGAGUUAGUGAGACGUAAGGUGAAUUUUAAGAUUUUUUUUUUAACUUCAAAUGAGAGAGAUAUAUUAGUUUUUUUUGUGAAAAUAUGUGGGUUUUUUUAUCAAUGUGAUUUUUUUUGUUUCAUAGAAACUAAUAAAUUUUUUAUGGACCUAAAGCUUAAGCGAUCCUUACUGCUGCUUACACCAAAAGGGCAAAAAUCUAAAAAAGGAACGGAUGCGAUCAGCCACACUGUCUUUCUGACAUCUAGACAACUAUCACAUGGCCUUUAUAUUACCAAUUUGCCCUCACUUUAUUUAACAAAUUUUCAUCCUCGUGACUUGCUCCACAGCUGUAAAUUGUAAUAUGUGGUGAACAUAUUUCAGUCAUAAAUUAUUAAUGUCUUAUCUCAACUACAUAUGAUUCCCUGAAGAUGGAUACAAUUACAGAUAUUAUAAUGCUAAUCAAUGAUGUGACAGUGAUUAAACAAUAAAAUAAAAUACUUAGUGAAAAAUAUUUAUUCAAAAGUCCUGUAAAGCAAUUGUAAAACGGUCUUUCCAAUAAUAAAAUAAAUAUAGAAUACAAAUUAUAAAUAUCUUAUGUUUCAUAUGCAUGAUUCAUGCCUUGAGUUGACUAUAAUAACUGAUAUUACAAUAUUAAUCAAUACUGCGAUAUUGAUUAAAGGAAUAAAAAUCAAAUACACUUGAUAGAAAAUAUGUAUGGCUUGAGAAUUAUCAUCUUUAAACCUUUGAUCAAAGAGCACUACAAGAACUUUAACUCCUAUGAAGGAUCUAGUUAGAUACGUGACACCUAUGACAAUUAGUCCUAGGUGUACAUAUCUUUUAUUUGUAUUAAGGAGUUUUCGUCUUGUUUGUUGUGAGAUUAAUCUAAUAAUCUCAUGUCUUCCGUUAGAGAGAUAAAAAUCAUCAACCCUUCUGUAUUUGUAUAAGCUAAUUCUAUCUAAGGCCAGUCAAUUUAGGUUUUAUAAUUGUCUAGGAUUAAGAGAGUCUAUCAUAGAAUUUGAUCCAAUAUCAACAUUGGAUUCUAUAUCUACUAUUUGUUCCAGUUGGUUCGAAAAUUUGUCCUUCUAAAGAAUCUAUCUAGGAUUCCAGGAUGUUGAAUUAUAGAUUCAAUAACAGGAUUGUGUCCUGAGACUAUUUGUGAGGUUUCGAUAAAUGGUGUUGUCCUCAUUUUCUAGGCUUUGCUAAAACGAAUUUAGUCGAAGUUUGGCUUGUUGUUUUUCCUAGAUCAAGUUUAGAAAGCUGUGUUGUAAUUUUAUUGAGUUCGUUUGUAGAUAAACGAAUUUGUUGGUCUUUUGUUUUAAGAGUAUUCAAAAUAUCGUUAAUUUUAUUUUCUAAUGUUUGUAUUUUGUUAAACAACAAAUGUUGUAUUUUUGUUAAGCUGUCUAAGGUUUCAGAUAAAACUUCAAAAGACUUUAUCGAAAGUUUGUUACUAGAGUUAUUAUUAUUAAUUACAUCACAAUGUCUAUCCAGAGCUAAUGUAAAGGCUCUCAUACCAAAGAGGUACCGAGAAGCCUAUAUAAAAGGUGAAAGAAUAUGAAAUAAAUAGUAAGAAUAAUAUAAAUCAGCAAAGGUGGUAGUGCCUCCUAGUAAGAUUUAAAUAAGAGGUACCGAGAAGUCUAUAUAAACGGUGAAAGAAUAUAAAAUAAAUAGUAAGAAUAAUAUAAAUCAGCAAAGGUGGCAGUGCCUCCUAGUUAGAUUUAUAUUAUAUUAAAACAAGUAAAUAAAUGUACAAUUAAGAGUAAUCAAUAACAGUUAAUAGUAAGCGGUCAAGAGUAAGCGAUAUGCAGAAGAAAAAUAUCAAAUUAGAUGGAUAGAUGAUACUUCUCAAGUGGAUACGGUAAGUUAUCUUAUUUUAGAAAAAUAUAGAAUAUGAUGAACCCAAAAUCUUUUUUUUUUUGAAGAACAAAUAUACAAGAUCCUUAUCGGUUUUUUGGAUAUUAAGCCGAAUACUGAAGAUCUUUACCAACUCACACUUCUUUGGAUCUUACGUUGAUCUUAUUUUCCUCCAAGGACCCGCCUAACCAAAGAGGACUUUUAUCGUUUUUCAAAAACAGCUAUCAAGGGCACACCUUUAUAGGCUUACCAAUCCCAGGUUUUCGAAAUCGUAAAAAAUGAUCUUUCCAAUAAUAAAUUAAAUAUAGAAUACAAACUAUAAAUAUCUUAUGUCUCAAAUGCAUGAUUCAUGCCUUGAGUUGGCUACAAUAACAGAUAUUACAAUACUAAUCAAUGCUACGACACUGAUUAAAGAAAUAAAAAUCAAAUACACUUGGUAAAAAAAUAUGUAUUCUGAAUUCUUAUUAUGACUAGUUACCAGCACGACUCAUCUAUUAAAAAUACAAUUACAACCAAGGGUGGGUCUCACCAAUAAUAAAAUAAAUAAAAGAAUAUGGGCCCCCUUUGUUCUCUAUAGACGAGGCUACCUUACAUCACACAUGGUAUAACAAAGAGCAAUUGUGUGAUUUCAUUGAUUCACAAAAACACUCCGAAAUCAUGAAAUGUCACACCAAUAACAAAAGAAAUCCAGAAUUCAUAUACAAAUUCCUUGUUUCAAUUAGAAGAUAGAAAAAUCCAGAUACUCAGAAAGAAGUCUCUUGCUUCAAUUAAAAAAAACUCAAGUCCCAUAUUGACUAGAGAUAGCGUCAAGAUAGAACAUAUAAAGUGAGGACAACCCUCACUCUAUGAGCUAAUUUUUAAGGUUGAGUUAGACCUAGAUUUUUUUCUUGGUAUCAUAUAAAGUGAUUGGACGUGAGAGGGUGAAUUAAAAAAUAAUCCAAGUCCCACAUUGACUAGAAAUAAUGUCAAAAUAGAACAUAUAAGGUGAGAGUAACCCUUACUCUAUUAUAAAAAGAGAAUAAGUAGAAGAAAAAACAAGAGUAAUUAGUCUUAAUUGAAUAAAAAAAUAAUUUGAGGUAUAGAUAAAAGAAAUUCAAAAUUUUCUUUCAUUUUACUCUCUAUUCCAAUCACUGGGAACCAAAAUAAUCCCAGAAAAUUUUAAAAAAAAUAGAAAAAAUUUUAUUUAUUUUUAUUUUUGAGCAAGUUAGAUGCAGAACUUCUUAAAAAAACUAAUUAAAUGUAAACGGAAGAAGCAGGGAACAAAAAAAAAACGACAUUGGCGAUUUCCUUAUGGAUCUUGUGACAGAAGCAACAAUGCAAGUUGAAGAACUAAAUUCUGGAAGAUGGGUUUGCACUAAAACGGAUAAAGUUGAAACUUUGUGAAGUUGGUGUUAAAACCAAAAAGACAGUUUCAGUUUAUAGUUUUGGAAGUUACAAAAGUGAAAUUUCCAACACACACAUAAUUAACACAUAAAAACCCAUAAGAUAAAAAUAAAAUGGAAAAUAAUUAAGUACCUUCAUCUUGUGGUAAGAGUUGAGCGUUGGAUCCAAAGUGUAGGGAAGCCAGGAACACAAAAAUGAAGCACUUAGACACACGUUUGGAGCUUGAAGACAUCACAAACCGCAUCAUGGUCCUGCGGUGUGUCGGUAUCAGAAAGUUUCAGAAUGGAGUAGCAAAAACAGAGAAGAGAGUUGCUAAAGAUUAUUUUUGUAGAAUUUAAAAGAGGAUCUCACAUAAGACAUUAUUUAUUUGAAUUUAUUACACAAAUAUUAUAUAUAUAAUAAGUUGUUGAUUUUCAUAAUAAACAUCUUGUAAAAUAAUUUUUAAUUGAUUGAUAAUGUAAAAAAUACUAAUAAUAUAUGUCAAGGGAUCUAAUUCAUUAGUUGAGAAAAUACAUUAGUUAUGUUGUUUUUUAUUCUUAUAAGAUCAAAUUUUAGGUUUGAAUAUUUUUACUUAUUUUUUAUAUAAUUAGAAGAGAAAUGAAAUAAAAAAGACAUAAAAUAAAUUAUGAAAUAAUGUUACAAAGACAGGAGAAGUAACGCGAGAAGUAAAGAAUUAAGUAUUGUAAACUAUAUUGAAGUAAAAAAUGUCACAUAAUUAUUACAGUUAUGUAUAUAUAUAUACUCUACUUUUUAGUUGGAGUGUGCAUUAAUAUCCUACACAAAAAAAAAAAAAUUGUUGACAAAGAAACCACUCAUAAUUAAAUAUUAACAAUGAACAAAGUUGUUUUUAUAGAAAAAUGAUAGGAAUAAAUAUCAACUUUAAAAGGAUCAAUAUUUAUUUAUUUAUUUUAUUCCUAUAUGAAUUAAUGACAAUUUCAGUAAAUAUGCUUUUUAUAUAUUAAUAUUGUUAUACUUUAUGAGAAAUAAAAAAGAAUAAAUUAUAAUGGUCCAGAGUUCAAGUCAUCGCUUGACUUGAUUUCCGCGUCUGAGUAAUGUUAUUAAAAUAAUGGUCCUGUUAAAGUCAUCGCUUGACUUGACUUCCCCGUUUGCGAACGGCGUGUGCCUUAAGUUCUUUAAGGAGUUGUACGUAAUUGGAGUAAUUAAAAAUUUACUAAAGUUUUUAGAUCGGAGUUCUACCACAUAAUAAGAUCCCAAUAUAAGUGAGUGAAAAACUUCUUCCCUGAUAUCUAUAAUGGAGAUGCUCUUAGACAUUUGACACCACUUAGAAACGUGUGGAUGACUUUGAUUAAUUUCUCUUUUUUUUAUAACUAGAAAAAUUAAAUGAAUUAUAUCAUAAAGGUUCACCAAGAUUUGGAUACACUUAAUUGAUUAAUUUCUUUUAGUCCUAUAUGCAAUGUGCCAAAUUUGUCCUAACUCCUAAGUAACAUAAAAAUAUCUCGGGUGUGCAAUAACUACAGAAAUAAAAGAAAAAUUAGGAUGAAAUUAUACUAAAAAAGUAUUGUAAAUUCUCUUAUUUUGUUUUUUUCGCAGAAUAAAGCAUGAGAAGAAUGGCUAAUACCAUAGUUACCUUAGCAAAUACUGGUUCGGGAAGAGAUCCUAGACAUUUUGAAAUGAAUGGAAAGAGAGUCUACUUUCAUUAAGUGAUUUAUUAGAUAAUCGAAAACAGAAAAUCUUGAGAACUAUUCGAAACUCAGAAGAAUUACGGGAAGGGGCCAUUGAACAGCUGGAAAAAGCCCAAGCCCGCUUAAGGAAAGUCGAAACGGAAGCAGAUCGUUUUCGGGUGAAUGGCUAUUCUGAGAUCGAACGAGAAAAAUUGAAUUUAAUUAAUUCAAUUUAUACGACUUUGGAACAAUUAGAAAAUUACAAAAACGAAGCCAUUCAUUUUGAACAACAAAGAGUGAUUAAUCAAGUCCGACAACGGGUUUUACAACAAGCCUUACAGGGAGCUCUAGGAACUCUAAAGAGUUGCUUGAACAACGAGUUACAUUUACGUACUGUCAGUGCUAAUAUUGGCAUGUUUGGGACGAUGAAAGAAAAAAUAACUGAUUAGUCUUUCUAUUAUAAAAUAGAGUAUAGGCAUUAUUUUUUUCUUCUAAAAAAAUAAAAUUAAGAAAUUUUCAUGGUAACCAUUCGUGCAGAUGAAAUUAGUAAAAUUAUCCGUGAACGCAUUGAGCAAUAUAAUACGGAAGUAAAAAUUGUAAAUACGGGUACCGUACUUCAAGUAGGCGACGGUAUUGCUCGUAUUUAUGGUCUUGAUGAAGUAAUGGCGGGUGAAUUAGUGGAAUUUGAAGAGGGUACUAUAGGCAUUGCUUUGAAUUUGGAAUCCAAAAAUGUUGGUGUUGUAUUAAUGGGUGAUGGUUUGAUGAUACAAGAGGGAAGUUCAGUAAAAGCAACAGGAAGAAUUGCUCAGAUACCUGUAAGUGAGGCUUAUUUGGGUCGUGUUAUAAAUGCCCUGGCUAAACCAAUUGAUGGUCGAGGAGAAAUUUCAGCUUCGGAAUCUCGAUUAAUCGAAUCUCCUGCUCCCGGUAUUAUUUCGAGACGUUCCGUAUAUGAGCCUCUCCAAACAGGACUUAUUGCUAUUGAUUCGAUGAUCCCCAUAGGACGUGGCCAACGAGAAUUAAUUAUUGGAGACAGACAAACGGGUAAAACAGCAGUAGCCACAGAUACUAUUCUCAAUCAACAGGGACAAAAUGUAAUAUGUGUUUAUGUAGCUAUUGGUCAAAAAGCAUCUUCUGUGGCUCAAGUGGUGAAUACCUUACAAGAAAGAGGAGCAAUGGAAUACACUAUUGUAGUAGCUGAAACAGCGGAUUCUCCAGCUACAUUACAAUACCUCGCCCCUUAUACAGGAGCAGCUCUGGCUGAAUAUUUUAUGUACCGUGAACGUCACACUUUAAUCAUUUAUGACGAUCUCUCCAAACAAGCACAGGCUUAUCGCCAAAUGUCUCUUCUAUUACGAAGACCACCUGGUCGCGAAGCUUAUCCAGGAGAUGUUUUUUAUUUACAUUCACGUCUUUUGGAAAGAGCCGCUAAAUUAAGUUCUCAGUUAGGCGAAGGAAGUAUGACUGCUUUACCAAUAGUUGAAACUCAAUCGGGAGAUGUUUCAGCUUAUAUUCCUACUAAUGUAAUUUCCAUUACAGAUGGCCAAAUAUUCUUAUCUGCCGAUCUAUUCAAUGCUGGAAUCAGACCCGCUAUUAAUGUAGGUAUUUCCGUUUCCAGAGUUGGAUCGGCGGCUCAAAUUAAAGCCAUGAAACAAGUAGCUGGUAAAUUAAAAUUGGAAUUAGCACAAUUCGCAGAAUUAGAAGCUUUUGCCCAAUUCGCUUCUGAUCUCGAUAAAGCUACUCAAAAUCAAUUAGCAAGAGGUCAACGAUUGCGCGAGUUGCUUAAACAAUCCCAAUCAGCUCCUCUUACCGUGGAAGAACAGAUAAUAACUAUUUAUACUGGAACGAAUGGUUAUCUUGAUUCAUUAGAAAUUGGACAGGUAAGGAAAUUUCUUGUUGAGUUACGUGCUUACUUAAACACGAAUAAACCUCAAUUCAAAGAAAUCAUAUCUUCUACCAAGACAUUCACUGGGGAAGCAGAAGUCCUUUUGAAGGAAGCUAUUCAAGAACAGAUGGAACUCUUUUUACUACAGGAACAGGUAGAAAAAAAUUGAUUAAUCAUUUAAUAACUUUAUAAUUUCACUUUCAAAUUCUUAUAAUUAGUAUCUUUUAAUAUCUUUUUAUUUCAUUUGAAUAUAAUAUUAAUAUAUAAAUCGAAUGAAAAUAGAAAAAAAAAAAAAAAAAAAUAGAAUAAAUAAAAUAGAAGGACAAGGUAUAAAUUGCAUAUAUUUGCAUAUAUAUGCAAAUAUAUGCAAACAAUUUGCGUCCAAUAGGAUUUGAACCUAUACCUAAGGUUUAGAAGACCUCUGUCCUAUCCAUUAGACAAUGGACGCUUCUAUUUUUUUUUUCUUUUAUUCUUUAACCUUAUUAACUAAAAAAGGUUAAAGAAUAAAAGAAUUCUAUAUUCUAUAUAUAGGAAUUCUAUAUUCUAUAUAUAGAAAAGAUAUAGAAAAUUUAUAGAAAAUAAAUAAAAUUCAAUUUGUUAUAAAUACCUAAAAUAAAUACCUAAAACUAAAUUAAGAAAUUAAAAAAAAGAAUUGACAAAUUCAUUUAAAAUUCUAGAUUCAUUCUAUAAGAAAAAAGAUAGAUUCAAAUAGAAUAAAUAGAGAAUAUAAGCGGGUAGCGGGAAUCGAACCCGCAUCGUUAGCUUGGAAGGCUAGGGGUUAUAGUCGACGUUGAUUCAUCAUUUUGAUUUCAAUUUAACGUCUCUAAUUCAAAACCGAACGUGAAACUUUUGUUUCAUUCGGCUCCUUUACAGAAAAAAUUAAGAGAUGGAAAAUCAAAAAAUUGACCCAUAACAUCUAUGUCAGCCUUUUUGUUUUGUAUGAAUAAGUUUAAAACAUCUUGCUUUUUAGAUGAUCCCUCUAGAAGAGCAGUAUUAUAAUAAUCUGUUUUUUUUCUAGUUACUUCGUUCUCUAUUUCUAUUUAAUAGAAUCUUUAGGAAAAGCAUAAAAUUUCUGUCGAGCUAAAAAAAUGUAGAUGUCUCUAGUAAACUAAAAGAAUCGUUUAAUAGCUAUUUUGCUUCAAUCUCUACUAUACAAAAAAAUGGAAGAUUUAGUUACGAUUAGAAAGAACUUUCUAUAUAUCUCUCCAUAGAUCCUUUCGUCAUACUCAAAAAAAUUCGGAUUAUAGAUCCAAUUCCAAAAACUUAUGUUUCAUAAUUUUAGAACUCAAGUUGUCAAUUUAGAAUUGAUUCUUCUUGUAUACAAAUUACGAUAAUGUAUAUUAUACCGCAAAUCAUUCAUUGAGGGUAUAAAGGAUUCCCUUUAAGUUACAAGUUAACAAUAACAUUAAUUAAAUUAAUAAAAAAUGAAAAGAAAGAAAGGCUCCGGUGUAUAGAAAGGACCUGCCCGUUUCUAAAAAAAAUCAUAGAAACGAUGGAACCCACCCAUUUUUUAUAUAUGUCCUAAUUUAUUUACUAUUACUUACUAUGUUUUUUGAUAUCUAGUAUCAAUACAAUUUAUUAUUUUGAGGUUGAAUAUUUAGAAAAAAAAAUAUAUAUAUAAAAUCGUGGUUGGGGAGGUUAUAGUAGCAAGAGCCAUUGGAAUUUUUUUUUUAUACAUUGGAAGAAUCCAUUUUUGUUAUUAAUAGACUAGUAAGAAGAAAAGAAUAACUGAAAAAUCAAAUAGUUAUUCAUCAAAGUCUCAAUUAUUCAAUGACCAGAAUUAAACGAGGAUAUAUAGCUCGGAAACGAAGGACAAAAAUUCGUUUAUUUACAUCAAGUUUUCGAGGAGCUCAUUCAAGACUUACUCGAACGAUUACUCAACAGAAAAUAAAAGCUUUGGUUUCGGCUCAUCGGGAUAGAGAUAGGAAAAAAAGAGAUUUUCGUGGUUUAUGGAUUAGUCGAAUAAAUGCAGUAAUUCGCGGGAAUAUUAAAGUAUAUUAUAUUUAUAGUAAUUUAGUAUAUAAUCUAUACACGGGGCAAUUGCUUCUUAAUCGUAAAAUAGUUGCACAAAUAGCUAUAUUAAAACAGAAUUGUCUUUUUAUGAUUGCCAAUGAUAUCAUAAAAACCAAAAAUCCCCUUAGACUUUACUCCGGGAAGGUAUAGAAUAUAAAUUUGUUUAUUUUGAUAGCUUUAUCAUAUGAAUUUUUAUCAUAUGAUAAAGCUAUCAAAAUAAACAACCACGCUGAAUAAAAAAAAAUGAUUCUUUGUUACCUAUUAUCUUUUUUCUUACAACAUAAAAACCCAAAUUGAAUUGUCGUAAUUUUCAAACAAAACAUCAAUCAAUAUUUCAUUCAAAUCUCAAUUCAAAAUUGGAUUUAGAAUUCUUAAUUUCUAUAUUUUUUUUUUCUUAAAGUAGUAGUUCUAGCGGUUGACUCGCUUUUUUCAAAUUGUUUUUCAUUAUUAAGAAAAGAUAACGAAGAUAAAAUACGAGCUUGUUUUAUAGCAAUUGUUAUUAAUCGUUGUUGUUUUAAGGUCAAUCUAUUUACGCGUCUGGAUAAUAUUUUUCCUUGUUCACUAAUAAAUCGACUAAUUAAACCCAUGUUUUUAUAAUCAAUUCGGUCCCCCGAUUGGAUCGGGGGCAAACGCCUACGAAAAGAUCGCUUAGAUUUUUCCAUGGUUUAUUUAUCCCUAUUCCAAAAAUCACAUUUAUUACAAGAAAUACUAUAAAGGAUUAGAAAUACUAUAAAGGAUUUGUUUUUUUAUUCUGACUUUUUUAAUAUAUGUUGUUAUAUACUGAUAUUUGUAUAUAUUCAACUGUAAAUGAUAGAAUACAGAUAGAUCUGAUAGAAUACAGAUAGAUCUAUCUAUAUAGAUAAGAAAAGUUCUUUGGUUCGAAGGGUAACACACAAGCGAUCAAUUUGAUCUAUUUCUUUAUUUCUGCGUGAAUUGUAUGUUUGCAACAACGGGGACAAAAUUUUCUCAAUUCCAAUCGACUAGGCGUAUUCUGUCGAUUCUUUUUAGUUAUAUAUCUAGAAAUACCCGUUGAUUCCUUAUUAACACUCUUUUUAUCACAACCGGUACAUUCCAAAAUAACAAUUACUCGGAUAUCUUUACCUUUGGCCAUGAACCUCCCUUGGGUUUUAAUUCACUUAACUCUUUUGUUUUCGGAUUAUAAUCUAAGAAAAAGAAAAGAACGAAAAAACGAAAAUAUAAAUUAAGAAUUAGAAAUCCAAUUUUGAAAGAUUUCGUUCCAAUUAAGAUUAAGAUUAAUAUAGUACAAAAAUAAUACAAUGAUCUCGAACUAUAUUUCGUUUCGAAUUGCAAUACAAUUGCAAUACAGUAUUUUCGUUUUUUUAACUAAGUAUUUUUUAUGAUAUUGUUGCCCCCACCCUAUACAUUCCAUUUAAAUUUCUGCUUUCACUCUUUUAUUAAUAGAAAUGGAAUUGAAUUAUUAAUUCAAUUCCAUGGAAGCCUGGACGAGAUCCCGAGUUUCACUCCGAAUUUCAAUUAGGCCAAAUUAACCCUUAUUCUUUCUCUUUCCUAACUUAUUCUAUUACAAUUGUAAAAAAAAGAAGAAAUAAAAGACGAAAUAAAGAAGAGGAGAUUAAUUACAUAUUAAUUACAUAUAUUUAAUACUUAAUUGGAUCUAUAAUCUUCUUCACCCCUUUCCGUGUCAAUAACUAGAAUGAAAAAAAAGGGAAUAUCAAUGCAUCUGGAAAAAAACGAUUGAUCUCUAUCAAGAGACCCGCCAAAGCCCCGAACCAUAGAGUACUUACUACUGGUGCCACGGAAAGAUAUGUUUUUAGAUCUCGCAUUUCAAAUCCUCCUUUUUAAGUCUUUUUUCUAUCUAAAAUUUAUUUGAAUUUAAUAUUCUUUUUGAUUAUUCUAAAGAAUAUUAGUUAUAUUUUUUUCUUUUUCAUAUUCUAUUCUAUAUUAUAGUAUAGGAAACUAAAAAAAAUGGCAGAAAAUUAGAAAAUUAGAAAAAUGAUAGAUAUAUAUUAUAUAUAUAUCUAUAUAUCAACAGAUAAAAAUGUGGAAAACAAAACAAAGAUUCUUUACAAUAACACUAGAAACAAAUGGAAAAGGGAUGUAGCGCAGCUUGGUAGCGCGUUUGUUUUGGGUACAAAAUGUCACGGGUUCAAAUCCUGUCAUCCCUAUCCCUAACUAUUACUUAUCAUAUGAUAUUCCGUAUUAUAUAUUUAUUAUAUAUUUAUCAAUAAAACGGGACCAAUUGAAGACGAAUUCCAAUUGGACAUACAUACCGAAUAUCUAUAUGUAUAUAUAUUGAUAUAGUAUAUACAUGUAAAAUGGAUUUGGAUCAUAUAAAAUAAUUUAUGAAAACAAAGCGCUCUUAGUUCAGUUCGGUAGAACGCGGGUCUCCAAAACCCGAUGUCGUAGGUUCAAAUGUUCAAAUCCUACAGAGCGUGAUGAUUCAAAUCCUACAGAACGUGAUUCUUGUAUUUUUCGAAUGAUAAAUAAUUGAACAUUAAAAAGUCUGAAUUUAAUCCUUGUAGAUUAGGAUUAAAACAAAAAAAUAGGGAAUCCGCAAAAAAAGAGACAUUAAUUAAUCAAAGAUCCAACUGAUCACCUCGUCGGUAUUGUAAAUAUGCAGUUACAAAUAAUCCAGCCAAAGUAAUGGGAAUUAAACCUAACACGAUUCCAAAUAGAAAAACUUCAAUCAUUUUUAUUUGUUCGAAAGGUAAAAAGAAAGGUAAUAUCUAUCCUUAACCAUUAAUCUGUAUUGAUCAUGAAUCUCAACGACCGAGAAUUGUAAAUUGACACAGUAAGGAACUAUAGAAUGUCUUAUUCCAAAAUUGACUAUUCCUCUCAAAAUUACAAAUCAAAUAAGUCGUAUUUUACUCAGACCAAUAAAUAGAGAUGAGGUUAUAAUUAAAACCACUAGUAAAAAACCGAAAUAACUAGUUAUAGUGAGCAUAUAGAAGCUAAAUGAAAUAUGUUAUUUUUAUACAUCUGUUUAUAAAGCACUUCCCUAAAUUUCCAUUUUUGAGAGAAAAAAGAAGAUAAGAAAAAAUACUACUUAAAAGAUACAAUUGAAAAUUGGAGAUUCAUCAAUAAAUUAUUACAGACGAAUAAAAAGAGAAAUAGAAUGACAUAAUUUAGAAAUAAAUUCAUCAUCUGUGACAUCUACUCAUCCUGUGAUUCCAAAUCAACAGACUUAUUAAUCAACUCAUGAAUUGAGUAAACUAAUCUAAUGAUAAUGAAAAUCUUUCGUAUUAUUUUAUAUAUUAUUCUAGAAUAGAAUUCUAUUUCUAUUAGAAAGAAAAAUGAAUAUUAAAACAAAAACAAAGAAAAAUAACUUUGUUAUUUCAAUUGUUAUUUCAAUUUCUUUAAUUUUGAAUUAAUAUAGAAGAAAAUAGAAAAAAUAUCUUCAACAACCACAAAAAGUAUAUUUAUAGAUUUGGCAUCUAAUUGAAUUCUAGAAAUAUAAAAUCUCCUUUAUGAAUUCUAAGAAACCAAUUUACCAUAUUCCGAUUUUAAUUGAUACUUAGUUUUUAGUCCGAAACUAAUAAUGUGAAAUGUGAAGAACCUUCAUUUUAUACUAUUACUAUAAAAAUGUACUAUCCAAAAAUUUUCUAUCGGAUUUUUGAAUACAUCGAGACAAUCAAUGAAGAAAGAAGAAAGAACUUAUCUAGUCCUAGAUUUCGAUUGUGAAAUUUCAUUGCUCUGUUAGAAGAAGGAUAGCUAUACUGAUUCGGUAUACUCAAAAGACACCGUUGGUACAAAAUGGACGAUCUAACAAGGAUUACAUUUCAGUAAAUUUCUACUUACUGAUUUUAUGGAAUCGAUCCCCCUUUUGACUGUACAAGAAUAUGUGGAGUUCAACAUGUCUGGAAGCACAGGAGAACGUUCUUUUGCUGAUAUUAUUACCAGUAUCCGAUACUGGAUUAUUCAUAGCAUUACUAUACCCUCCCUAUUCAUUGCAGGUUGGUUAUUUGUCAGCACGGGUCUAGCUUACGAUGUUUUUGGAAGCCCCCGCCCAAACGAAUAUUUUACAGAGAGCCGACAAGGAAUUCCAUUAAUAACUGGCCGUUUUGAUCCUUUGGAACAACUUGAUGAAUUUAGUAGAUCUUUUUAGGAGGCUCCAAUGACCAUAGAUAGGACCUAUCCAAUUUUUACAGUACGAUGGUUGGCUGUUCACGGACUAGCGGUACCCACUGUUUCUUUUUUGGGAUCAAUAUCAGCAAUGCAGUUCAUCCAACGAUAAACCUAAUUUGAAUUAUAGAGCUACGACACAAUCAAACCCAAAUGAACAAAAUGUUGAAUUGAAUCGUACCAGUCUCUACUGGGGGUUAUUACUCAUUUUUGUACUUGCUGUUUUAUUUUCAAAUUAUUUCUUCAAUUAAUAGAAGAAAUAGGAAUAGUAAAUAAUAUAUAAGGAAUUAUUUUAUCCCAUUCGGAAGGAUAUCGUUUCAUAAUUAUCUAUGACUGUUUAUGUCUUUAGCAUGACUGACUACUUGAUUAAAUGUGGAGGAAAGUGGGAUAAAUGGCCGAUACUACUGGAAGGAUUCCUCUUUGGAUAAUAGGUACUGUAACUGGUAUUACUGUGAUCGGUUUAAUUGGUAUUUUCUUUUAUGGUUCAUAUUCCGGAUUGGGCUCAUCUCUGUAGUAAUCGUGUUAGAAUUUGUUUUUUUUUUGAAAUGAAAGCGUAAUAACUCACCUGGGAUCCACUCGAAUUCGUCAAAGAAAGAGUGGAUCCCAGGUGAGUUAUUAAUAAUUCUAAUCUUUUUUUAUUCAUAUAAACGACUACUUUUUCCGAUGUUUCAAAAAACUCCAUUUCAUUCUUUUUUUUUUUACAAGUUAAUUGAAGAAAUUCAAUUUGUUUAAUCAAAUUCCCCAACCCCCUCUCUUUUUAUUUGUUCACUACGUAUUAUAUGCAAUAAAAUAUUAUAUGGCAGAAAUAUUCUAAGUUGGAAAAAAUAGAAACUAAGAUAUAGGAUUUUUCAGGAAGGGGUUAAAAAAGAUUAUUUUAUUGAUAUUUUUAGAAUAUUUCUAUUUCGACACAAACAAGAAGGAAUAGGAAUCGGACUCUAGGAAAAGACAAAAAAUCCCCCCUAGAGUACCUUUUCCAUAUUUUAAUUGAUUUUGUUUCAAAUUAUCUAUCUAUAUAGAUAUCUAUUUUAUGUUUAGUAUCGAAUCCAAUUUUAUUGUAUUUUACAAUCGAAAUUUCUAUAAUAGAACUCUCUAUUAUAGAAAAAUGAAAUCUGAAAAAAACAGUGUCAUAACCAUAAUAUUCGAAUUUAUUGGGGGGUUGAAAAAACAAAGUCAAAUAGUCUUCCUGACAAUAUCCAUACUCGAGUUUAUUUGUAUUACGUUACAAGUAACUCUUUAAAUAUAGUAUAAAAAGACUAUACAGAACCAAAGAUCUUUUCAUAAUUUUUUUAUUCUAUUAUACUGAUAUUAUACUGAAUAGAAUUACAUAAAUUAUCAACAAAAAAAUUGAGUUAUUUUUAUGAGUUUAAUAUGUUGAUAAAUAUGCGGGACUAGAAAUUCAUUUCGGACAAUUGAACCUUCUCAAAUUGUUUCUUCUUAAGAACUAAAAAGAUUUGUGCUAAAAUAAUAGAUGCGAAGAAGAACAAGAGACCUUGGACACGUAACGGAUCUUGAAGUACUAUUUCCGCAUCCCCCUGACCAAAUCCACCCACAUUUGGAUUACUUGUUAAUGGCUGAUCAAGUUUGAUAGAUUCACCUUCUGAAACAAGAAGUUCUGGUCCUGGAGGUAUAAUAUCAAUCACUUCACGCCCAUCCAAUGCAUCCACUAUAGUUAUUUCGUAUCCCCCUUUUUCUUUUCGUAUGAUUUUUUUUACCAUACCCGCUGCUGUAGCAUUAUACACAUUAUUAUUACUCUUGCUCCCGUCAAGAUAAAUCUGACCCCUUCCCCUGUUCCCACCUACGUAUAUAGGAUAUUUUAAGAAAUGAACAUCUCUCUUAGUAGUGGGAUCCGGGGAAAGAAUAGGAAAGGUUAUUUCUUUAUAUUUUUGACCAGGAACAGGGCCUACCACAAGAAUAUUUUUUUUUGUAGGACGAUAGUUUUGAAAAGACAGAUUGCCUAUCUUCUCUUUAAUCUCAGGCGAAAUACGAUCGGGGGGUGCCAAUUCAAAACCUUCCGGUAAAAUAAGAACAGCCCCCACAUUCAAAGCUCCCUUUUUACCAUUAGCAAGAACUUGUUUCACUUGCAUAUCAUAAGGAAUUCGAACAACUGCUUCAAAUACAGUAUCAGGAAGUACCGCUUGUGGAACCUCAAUAUCCACGGGCUUAUUAGCUAAAUGGCAAUUGGCACAGACAAUACGACCGGUUGCUUCUCGGGGAUUUUCAUAACCCUGCUGUGCAAAAAUUGGAUAUGCGUUUGAAAUGGGUGCUCGAAUUAUUAUAUAUAUCAUGAUCGAUAUGGAAAUGGAUCGAGUAAUCCCUUCCUUUAUACAAGAAAAAGCAUUUCUAGUUUGCAUGGUCUAAUCAUUGAUCCUGAAAAUUUCUACAAUAAGAUUAGGUAGGUCACUCGCAUAGUUCCCUAUCCAAGUCGGGGAACCCCUUUUUUCAUUUAAGGGGGUUAAAAAGAAGGGAAAAAGCAAAGUUAUUUUCUUUUUAGCUAAAAAACUUUAAAUUAAAAUUUGAUAAGUGAAUCAUUUUGUCAGUCAAUCAUUCAUUGAAUGAUAAAUCACUACAAGUGAUGGAGAUACGCGAUUUAAAUAACGAAAAAUCCAAUAUUUUAAAAUUGUAUCUAAAAUGACUGGAAAAGUGGAAACAAGACCAGAUAUAAUUUGAUCAUUUUGAGCAAAUCCAAAAUCUUUAUAGACGAAACUAAUCACUAGUUCCCAACCAUGGGAUGCCUACUCACAUAGGCCAUGAUUCUUAAGCUAGUUGCAUCCUUCAUUUUCUUUCCCCACCCUCCCAUUAAUCACAUUAUUUUGAACAUAACAGUAAUAGGCAUGUGCUGUAAUAAUAGGUUCAUUCCUUGUAACUUCUAUUUCUGUUCAAUUCUUAAAAAAAAAGGAUUUUUUUUUAUGGGGACAACAAACUGUCAUAUACGAUAAGAAAGCAUGGAAAAUGAAGACAACUUAAAAAGAAAAAGACGAAGAAAAUUAAUGAGAGGGACCCUCUCACAUUAAAGGUUGGCUGCCAAAGAAAAAAUCAAAACAAUGAGAAAUCAAAACCAGCCACGCCGUUGAUUUCUUUUGGAUCUGAUCCGACCUAGAAGACUUAUUGGAUGGUUUUGAUUUCUUUUGGCGUUGAGGGAACACCAUUUGAAAAUUGUAACAAUAAUGUUCAAUGCACGUACCAAACGUGUCCUUAAGUAAAUAUAUUAAAACAACUUGGGUGCAAUAUCUACACAAUUAAAUGAAAAAUAUGAUGAAAUUAUACUAAAAAAAUCUCGCAAAUUCGUUUGUUUUAAUUUAUUUUUUCACUGAAUAAAGCAUUGAUCAGAAGAAUGGCUAAUGCAGUUACAUUAAUAAAUACUGCAUCGUAGCAUGAUACGAAAAAAAAGGUUCUGUGUAGUGUGUACGUAGCUGUAUUGCUGCAUGAGGAAUAUAUGGUUUUUAUAGGCUAUGAUUCUAAACUCGUAUGCUUCAUUUUCUUUCCCUACCCUCCCAUGAAUCCUAUUUGAACAUUGUAAUCGGCAUGCGCUGUACGGCUGUAGUAAAAGGUUUAUUCCUUGUAACUUCUGUUUUUGUUAUUAAAAAAUAUAUAUUAGCAACAACCAUAGUGAAAGAAGUUCGUGGAAACAACAACUGCCACAUACAAUUAGAAAAUAAGGAAAGUGAAAUGAAAAAGCUUUAAGAAAGAAAAAAUUGACUAAAAUUAGAGGGACCUGCACAUUAAACUAAGGUUGUUAGCCAAAGAAAAAUCAAAACAAGGAAAAAUCAUAGAAAAAACCUAAUGAACCCGCUGAAGCUCAAUUAUGUAUCGUUGGUGGUAAAUUGUUCCAACUAUAUAAAUUUGGAAAUAUUUUAUAAUAUAACUUUUUUAGAGACUACUAUUUUCAUCUUUUAAUAAAAAAGAGUAUAUACACUCUAUAACGUUUAGAAUUUGAAGAGGUUUUUAUAUAUAAAAAAAAGUUGACUAAGCCAACUUUGAGAAUACUCAGCAGUAUUCCUCGCAGGGACGGUGUAAUGUAUAUCAGAAAAAUGAACCAGUAGUAUUGCAGAAUUCGUUACAGCAAAAAUGGUUAAAGGGGAACCAGUAGCAGAAAAAUAUGGACAGAAAAAUGAACCAACAAGAGAGAGAAAAGGUUCUUAAUUCAUUACAUCCCCCUCUACUAUUCUCAUGCUUAGCUAAUUAUACUACUAACUCACACCCAAUACCUCUUCACACGUGUGUUUUUCCUUUUGUUGGGGGCCCACCUUCCCAAACAUGUAACUAACUCAUUUUGUGCCAAAUUAUUUUCCUCUUUUGCCCCUUCAUCUUUAUCCUUGCUGCUAGCACUUGUUACAAUUCCCCCUCCAUCAAAAUUAACCUUGUCCUCAAGGUUAAAAUCUGGAAAAGCCUCACUUAGAAUUGACUAAUCUUCCCAUGUGGCAUUAGAAGAAUCCAAUCCCUCCCACAAGAUGAGAUGUUGUUUGACCUGUUGAUUUCCCCUGAUAAUGGUUCUUGUUUGCAAUAUGGAAACUGGUUGGAUCACUGGUCUGGAAUCAGUAGCUGACCAAGUCAUGAAAAAUGACCUGGAUAGUGCAUCAAUAGGGAUAUUCUCUUUCCCUGAUUUGUAUUCAAUAGUAAAAUCAUAUGGUAGCCAGGACUGUUGUUCAGGAGUUUGCAAGGCUUAUUCCGUGAGUGUUUUCAGGCUCUUUUGAUUAGUUCGAAUAAUGAAUUUAUGGCCCAGUAAGUAAUGUCUAAGUUUGGAGAUAGCCUCAGGGAUAGCAAAAAAUUCUCUAGAAUAAGCAGAUUGUUUCUGCAUUCGUGAUGAGAGUUUCUUAGAGAAGAAUGCAAUGGGGCGUCCUUCUUGACUUAGGACAGCUCCAAUGCCAUUUCCUGAUGCAUCAGUUUCCAAAAUGAAAGGCUUCGCAAAAUUAGGCAAAGCUAAUACAGGAGCCAUAGCAAUUGCCUGUUUUAAUGUUGUAAAAGCUACAGUAGCAGUGGGGUCCCAUGUAAAACUGUCUUUCUUAAGAAGAUUUGUGAGUACAGAAGCUGUGGAUCCAUAACCCUUUAUGAACCUUCUAUAAUAACCAGUAAGUCCCAAGAAGCACUUAAUUGUUUUGGAUUCUGAGGAACUGGCCAAUCAAUUACAGCUUGCACUUUGUCUUUAUCCAUAGCCCCACCUUCACCAGAAACAGUAUGGCCUAGAUAUUCAACUUGAGUUAAACCAAAUGCACAUUUAGACAGCUUAGCAAAUAGUUGGUUAUACCGCAACACUUGUAAAACUGAUUCUAGAUGUUGCAUUUGAGAAUUCCAAGUAGGACUAUAUACUAGUAUGUCAUCAAAGAAGACAAAGAACAUAUUUCUUCAAUAAACUCCUGAACACAUCAUUCAUCAAACUCUCAAAAGUUAAAGGGACAUUAAUGAACCCAAAGGACAUCACGAGCCACUCAUAAUGGCCUUGAUGAGUCAUAAAAGCAGUCUUGUAUCUGUCCUCCUUGUUCAUCAAAAUCUAAUGAAAGCCAGAUCUAAGAUCCAAUUUGGAGAAAAAUCUAGCGCCAUACAACUCAUCUAUCAAUUCAUCUACAGUAGGUAUAGGAAAACUAUCUUUGAUGGUGAUAGCAUUUAAAGCCCUAUAAUCAAUGCAAAACCUCCAUGUCCCAUCUUGGGUGCAAUAUCUACACAAUUUGGGUGUCCUUAAGUAAAUAUAUUAAAACAACAUGGGUGCAAUAUCUACACAAUUAAAUGAAAAAUAUGAUGAAAUUAUACUAAAAAAUCUCGCAAAUUCGUUUGUUUUAAUUUAUUUUUUCACUGAAUAAAGCAUUGAUCAGAAGAAUGGCUAAUGCAGUUACAUUAACAAAUACUGCAUCGUAGCAUGAUACGAAAAAAAAGGUUCUGUGUAGUGUGUACGUAGCUGUAUUGCUGCAUGAGGAAUAUAUGGUUUUUAUAGGCUAUGAUUCUAAACUCGUAUGCUUCAUUUUCUUUCCCUACCCUCCCAUGAAUCACAUUUGAACAUUUUCUAAACUCGUAUGAUUGAUUAAUUUUUUUUUAAUUAUGAAUUUUGUUGAAUUUUGGUUCUCAUUUAAUAUUAUUAAAGCUGAAGAAAAAAAUCAUUGAACAAGAAAAAAACCUAUAUAAAAUUGAUCAAUUAUAAAAAAAAAAUCUUAAAAAUAGAGUGGGAGAGAGGGAAAGUGUAUAGCUAUCAUUUGUCUAAAUUAGAAACGAAAGGAAUGAAUGACUGGGUCUCGUGCCUUUUUCCCCGAAGGUGAACAUGCCCUUUUCGGAGUACAAAUGAAGCCAUCAUUGUCCUUCACACGUGCCUAACCACAUAAUCUUCCGUUCUUUUUCAAAAUUAUAGGCUUUUGUAAACACAAAUAUAGAUGUAAUCUUUUAAUGAAUAUGUUAAGUCAAUCUUUCUUUGUAUGGUAUAAUAAAUAUUUAAAAUUAAUUUUGUGUUAAGGAAAUAAAUCAUGGGUUACCGAUAGGUGAUGAAAAGUACUAAAAUGAAGGAAAUAAAUCAUGGGCAAGAUCCUUGGUAAGAAGGAAUGGGACACUGAUAUAGAUCCAUGUUCAUGCAACAUCCCUGGUGUUCACACUAAGGUGGACACCGUAGAGAACACUGUCACUUGCAAUUGCUCUAUCCCCGGAGACAACUUCUGCCAUGUUGUUUCAAUGUAAGUUUCUUUACCGUUUGAGUGAUGUUCUUUUUUUUUUUUCCAACCACCGUAAUUAGAUUUUUUUUUUUCAUAUAAAUAUCCAGUUUCUUAGUUUUUUUUUUAAUAUUUACUUGUGUAUCUAUAUGUUGACAAUACAAUCAAAUUAAUAAAUAAAAUAUACUAAUUACUAAUUAUUAAAUUCUUUUAAUAUCAAAGCAUUCACACAAUUAUUUUUUGAACACUAAUCACUUUUAAAAUGUAUAUAUUAUCAUAUAUAAACUCGUCCUCAUAUUGAAUUAGGAUAGAUAUAAAGGAGAAUGUUAUUAAAUUUCAUUUUUUAAGAAUUUAUUAUAUUAGUGGUUUGAUUUGAUUUUAGACACCAAUCAAAAAUUGAACUGCAUCAAUCAAUUCUACUAUUAAAAUAUUCAAUAAAAUAAAUAAAUAAAUAAAUAAAUAAAUAAUUGAUUUGUUUCGAUAGAUAUAUUUUUGGAUUUUUUUUUGCAUGCUCUUUUAUUGGUUGAGUAAAGCAAAACAAAGUUUUGUAUUUGAGUUACAGGUUUGAAGACCUAUAUAUAAUUUUUUUUAGGUAAGGUAAAUAUAGGUUUUUCUACAAGCGUUUGAACCUUGAAGUUUGUCAUACUUUGUACUUGGACACCAUUCUCACUUAAAUUUUAUGUAAGAAAAGAAAAAGUUAGUUCCUCCAUAUAUUACUAGGUGACCAAGUUAUUAACUUAAUUAAUUUAGUUUAUGAUGUUGUUUUGCCUUUUAUUGCUUUAGCUGUUGAGGUAGAAGUAUUUAUAUAAAGUCCAAUGAUUUUAAUUUUUUAAAUUAUUUAUAUAAAGUCAUAAAAUUUCUACAACUUUAAAGUUGUGAUUAUUUUUUAAAAUUAAUUUUGAAUGACUUUAGAAUCGUUUUAAUUAUAAUUUUAUACUUUAUUAUUUAAUUCUUUUAAAAUUUAAAAUAAUUGUAAUGAAUAUUUUUAUAACUUAAAAAUUUAAAGUCAUUUAAAUAAUAAUUAUAAUUAAAAUAUUUUUUUAUAAUUUAAAACUUUAAUAUUGUUUUAAUAUAAUUUUAUAUUUCAUUGUUUAAUUUUUUAAAAUUAAAAAUAAAUAUAAUUAAUAUUUUUUUAUAACUUACAACUUUAAAGUCGUUCAAAUAAUAAUUAUAAUGAAAUUAUUAUUUUUAUAAUUUAUGACUUUAAAUUUGUUAUAUUAUCAUGUACGAUAACUCUUUGAUAUAAAUUUAUUUUUCUCUAGUUCUCGUUUCUUCUAACAUUCUUAUUUUAAUAUAUUUUUUAAUUAAUAUAAAAAAUGUAUUUACAAAAACAAUGAAUAUUUUUUUGUUUUUCUUUUAUAAUGUUAUAUUUCAUCUUAUAGUGUUUCUAACAUCCUAUUUUUCUUUCAUACUGUUGUGUACACUAAGUGUUUAAUGCAAGUUCAUUUUUCUCCUAUUUUAUUUAAUAUAUUUUAUAUUUUAUUUUGUAAAUAAAUAUUAUUUAUUAAAUUUAGAAACGAAAAGGAAUCUAAACAAUAUAAUUUAAUAAUCUACAAAUAAUUCAUUAUUCAUUUUAUCUAAUUAUUAUUGAUUAAGAAAAUAUUAAUUAAAAAUAAUAAUUAAUGGUUAAUAAUAAAAAUAAAAAUAAUUGGAUUAAACAUAUUAAUUAUAAAAUUCUUUAUUAAAUGAAUUUUAAGUAAAAAAAAUUUAAAAUUUUAUAUAAAUAAUCACAAAAAUAAAUAAAAAUAGUUAAAUUUUUUAAAACUUCACUAUUGACAAAAAUUCAAAGUCAUGAAUUUUUUUAUUAUUUCAUACCUAAAAAUAGUAAAAUAAUUUAUGACUUACCUCAUUUGAAAAUUAAUUAAAAAAUAUCCCCAUUUAAUAAAAUUCCAAAUGAAAUUACCCCUUUUGUUGGAAACCUCCAUUAAUAGCCUUUAAACCACCAUACAUAUAGCAAGCAACUAUGAAUUAAAAUUUAAUGAGUUAACUUCCCCGACUUGCAAAUCACACAUAAUUGGAAUAUCUAAUAAGUUGAUCGGUUGAAGCCUAAUCAAUUCUACUUGGAAGUGAUAUGGAGGAGUCAAGCCAUGGUCCCCCCAUUGAUUUGCUUCUUUGCUCUAUACUUUCUUCUGAGAAUGCAGAAGAGACAUGAGUUUGACUGUCUUGUGAUAGCAUCUCAAAGGCUUUAAAUCUUACAUCUUCUGCACUGUCACCGCGUUUAAUUAUUGGUGCUUGAAUUGGAGUUUUUCCCUCAAGCAUGCUCACUACUGAUGACAUACAUGGUCUAAGAGUGGGAGAAGGGUUGGUGCACAAGAGUGCUAACAGCAGCAUUCUCAUGGCCUCUUCUGAGGAGUACUUUGAACCAAGACUUGGAUCCACCAGCUCCAGAAGGUUUCCUUGCUCUUGGAGAACAUAGGCCUUCAAUGACAUGCAACAAAUAGUAUUAGAAAUUCAAGCAAACAAUAACAGGGAAACAAGAAAGGAAAGCACAAAAUAAGAAAAAAGAUAAGUAUAGCCCUACUUAUAUUUAAAGUAUCAAAUUAUCCUCAAUCCUUAUUAUAGUAGGAGAUGAAUGGCAUGAAGACUUGGAUAUAGAUGAAAAAGGCAAGAUACUUUGAAAAUAUUGAACUAGGUAAAUUUUGUGACGAUGACAGGAUAAUUUGUGUAUUAUGCACCCCAGAUGCUCCCACUUCAAUCUAUCGAAAACACAGAAGUGUAACUUACCCAAUCUAAAAGAUAUACAAACUCCUCCUUUGGCCUAUAAUUUGUGUUGCUCUUUCCACUAACAAUCUCUAAAGCUACAAUUCCAAAGCUAUAGACAUCUGCUUUGUCAGUCAAGUAACCCCUCAUAGCAUACUCAGGAGCCAUGUAACCACUGAUAAGAAAACAUUUAAUACCCUUGUGUCAGUGAUUUCACAAAUCAAUGAAAUGUGUAUUUUUUAAUUAUUUAAAUGAUUAUAAAUGCAAGCUAUAGAUAUAUCGUGGAUAACACUGCAAGCCUAUUAAUGAUGAACAAAGUCUAGGAUUCAAACAGGAAAUGCUGUGGCAUAGUACUAACAUUGUCCCAGCUAUUCUUGUGCUGAUAUGAGUAUUCUCUUCUUCAUCAAGUUUGGCUAAACCAAAGUCAGAGAUCUUGGCAUGCAGAUGUUUAUCAAGUAAGACAUUGGUUGCCUUAAUAUCCCUGUGCACUAUUUUCAACCUUGAUUCCUCAUGAAGAUAAGCUAAGCCCUUUGCUAUACCCAGACAAAUUUGCAUUCUUCUGGGCCAGUCCAAUUGCAUCCUCUCAUGUUCUUUACCUAGAAAAGGAAAACCUUUUCAGUUAGAUUUUAACUUGGUAGCGGCAUACACAGCCAAAGAUGUUCAUGAAGCAUUUACCAAAAAGUGCACGAGCAAGACUAUUGUUCUCCAUGUACUGAUAUACUAGCAGCAGCUGGUUUCCUUCAAUGCAGCAGCCAUAAAGUUUCACAAGGUUUGGAUGCUGCAAAGCAGAUAUCAUGCCUAUUUCAUUGAUGAAUUCACGAUUCCCUUGCUUUGAUUUGGAGGAGAGCUGCUUAACAGCAAUCACAGCACCAUCUGAUAGUACACCCUGUGAAUAGCAGUAUCUUUAGUACCAUGUUUUCAUUUUUAAAAAUAUUGGGGAUAAAAAGACUUAACCCCAAUGUUUCAAAACUUCAUACUGCUUAAGAUGAUUAUAAUCUAUCAAAUUUACCUUGAAUACUGGUCCAAAGCCUCCUUCACCUAUCUUAUUUGCUGGGUCAAAGUUAUUAGUAGCAGCUUUAAUUUGUCUUAAACUGAAAUAACCUGUUUUCAGACCUAGAAGUUCUGCAACAAGGUAGAUGUAGCUACUCAGAAAUAAAAUGUAUAAUUGAAAAGAAAGAGAGAUGAUAGAGAUACAGAAAGAGAGAAAUCAGAGAAUUGUUUUUGAGAAACCAAGUGUGCAUUUUCGGUUACCUUAAAAUUACCACAAUUUAGAUCUCUGCAAUAAAUUUCAAGUUGUUAUAUAAUCUACUAUUAAUAUUUAUAAAAAUAUUCAUGUCUAUUAGUAUAUUCCAAGAUUCUAAUAGAUGUAUAUGCAUCAUGCUUGACUGCAAACCAAUCUGAACUUUGUAAUAUCAAAAACCAAAUCAUAAGGGUUGUAACUGCCUGCUUAAUUUGGACUUCAAUCUUACCUUGGUCUGUUUGAUCUUUCUGACAAAGGAAACCCAUCUUCCAAAGAGCAAAGAGCAUCAAUAUGACAAUCACACAUGCCCCAGCAACAAUUCCAACAAUUGUUCCAGUAGAGAACCCAUGUGCAUAAACUUUAAAGUCUACAACAAAGUGGAAAUGCUUACAGAACAUGAAAGGACAAGGUAUUUGAAAGAGAGGACACCAAUAUUAUGAAAACUACUUACUUGGGGUCACAGUGAUAGCAGAUAUGAGAGGUCCAUAUACACCUAUUAUAGGAAUGGCAUUAGUUCCUUUUCCUGCCCAGGAUAAGUGGAUUUCCAAGGUGCUUUCUGUAACAUUAACAUUAAACUCCCUAGUGAUUCCCUUACCAACUCCACCAGCUUCUUUCGCAAUGUUAAAAUCUUUCAGAUAUUUAAAACCCUGUAAUUGUACAGUAAUGAAAAUAUGACCUUUAGAACUCGUGUUAUUGGAGAACCAGAUACAAAAUAUGAGUAAAAUUUUUGGAGAAACAAAAAAAAUGUAACAUUGUUUGCUUGAUUUACUCACUUGAAUUGAUACAUCGAAUACACGCUUUCCAAGGUUGCAAUAUGAUUGGUCAUCAGAGAAUGCUAUCUCAGCAAAAUGAAGUUUCACUUUAUAAUUGCCGUUCAGCAUACAAAGGCCAUAGUAAUUAAGAUACAGAGGAGCUAUGCGGGCUGUGUGGUAGUAAUCAGGGCCAUUAAUAUCCAAAGAAAGCUGAUUUGUUGCUAUAUAAUCAGCUUUUGCAUUUCCUAGAUAUACUCCAGUGCUGCUAUAAGCCCAUUUGCCACUAUUACCAGGAACAUAGUUUGAAAUGCCAAGUGGACUGAGGUCAGCUUCAUAUUCAUUGCCCUCAAACUUUGUUUCAGGUCCUCCACAGUUUAUGAACAGUGAAUGAACUGCAGAGAGACACAGUGAAAGUGAAUAAUUUAUCAAGAAAAAUGAAUAUGCUUAAUGAAAAGCAGGGAAAUAAAGAAAAACAAAAAAACAAAACUUGUUCCCAUACAUGUUACUUCUAAUUUCUAAAUUUCAAAAAACAAUAAUGGUUAUCUAAGUCUAGACACUCACACUGGGGUUUUCCUGAACAAGGUUGGCCCAUCUUCAAACAAGAUAUUCUACAAGAUAUAAAGAUAUAAUAUUAGUUUCAACUGAUGAUUCAUAUCUGAUAUUAUAGAACUAAAACUAGUCCACAAGAAGGAACAUACGAAGUGCUUGCUGUGCGAGAGAGGCUUGAAGCUAAGUUCCUGUUCAAUGAUAAUACCAUGCUUAGUAUUGACAUAGGUGAAAUGCUUAAAUAAUUUGUAUACAAAAAGAAGCUUACAGAUCCGGCCUUUGGCAAUUAUUUGCUGAAGUCUUUGUGAAAUUGUUCAAAGAUAAAUCACUGACAGAGAACAUAAGGUGAGAAUAAAUUUCAUAAUUUAAUGAGUGCUAACUAAAGACUAAGCAUAAGGAAAAGUAUAAGCUAAAUUUCGACCAAGUGCAUCUAAAGUAUGCAAUUAAAGGGGUCGAAAAAAUUCAAGGAGAUAUGCUUACAUUUGCUGUUUUAUGCUCAGUAUCCAAUCAGGAAUUGGUCCACUUAGAGAAUUGUUAGUCAGAAACCUGCAUCCAUCAUGAAUAUGUGUCUCAUUAUAUCAGAAAAAAAAUAAGUUGAGAAAAAGCAACCAACAUUCUUGAGAUCAAAUUAAUAUAAACAUUCACAUCCUGUCGGUUAAUCUUCUUGCUGGCAAAUGAAAAUACACACUUACAAGUAAUUUAGAUUUCCCAAAUCCUGAAAUGAAUCUGGGAUUGAACCUGUUAACAUGUUGGAGCUCAGAUCUCUGAAAGAGAAAAUAGGAAAUGACUAUGAUGUAGUAAUGGCACAUGCUACUUCCAAAUUCUAAGAACAAAAUGUAAUGGAGGUAAUUUCAAGUUUCCAAUCAUUUUUAACUUUUUUCUCUUUUUGCUGGCAUUUUGAAACACAAUAUUGCAGAUAAUAAUUUGCACAGAUGAUGCAUACUAAAAUUUAUAUCCACAUCCUUGGUAGUUAUAUUGUCAUUAUACUGGUAUAACUAAACAACAAAUCACAAUCACCUUAAAGGACAUGCCCCCAUUGAUUACACAAACAGAUGAAGAGUGUCCAAAAAUAAGUCUUGAAAAAUAUCUAACAAUAGUUGAUUACCAGAUGGGCAAAGAAGUGUUAAUCACAAAAUUAAUUGGAUUCAAAUUAUUUCCUAAAUCCUGAUCUUUAUAAUGUAGAAAUUCCAUACUCAUAAACUUUAUCUAAUGAAGAAUAGAGGGAGAAAAGGUGCUACCUAACAAUAUAGGUGCAAAAUUAAAAUAAACACAUACUGUAGAAAUGGAGAUGAUAAAAGGAUCAUAUUAUUACAGAGUGACUUCUAAAUCCUUAAUUGCGUCAUGAUCCAACUAAAAUUAGAAUGUGUUUUUGUAUACUAAAAUUAAAUAGAUAAUAAUGAGAUUGGUAAACAGGUAGAUAAAAAAACUAAAGAAUAUAUAGCUAGUUAUAUACUUUUGAUGCAACUUACAUGGUUUUCAAACUUUUUAUUUCUCCAAUGUAGUUUGGAAUGGGACCAGUUAUUAAGCAAUUCCUCAAUUCCCUGAGUAACAGAAAUAUGAUAGAAGCCUAAAUGAAUUAUAUAGUUCUUCGCGUAAGAGCAGUGAAGGUUUCAACUCACAGUCUUAGCAAAAGUUUCAAAUUCUUCAGAUUAGGAAAUGUCAUAGUUGGUCCCUUCAAAUCAGAUAUCCUCCUGAUAUAUAAAUGUGUCAUCAAUGAAAUGAAAAUGUUCCAUUAUAAGAGAUUGCAUUCCAUUACCACUGUAAAAUGCACACAAAAUGUAAUAAUUUGGAAUACUCUUAAAAGGACAAAGUGCUCACAAUUCUGUCAAAUUUGUCAAGUAAGAUAUGACAGAAGGAAUUGGGCCGUCCAAGGAUGUGCCCUGCAAAUCCCUACAAAAAGUUUUCUUAGAUAAUACAAUGCAAGUUAAUCAUGAUAUAACUUUAUUUUAUUCUUCAACUGAGAAAAGGUCAUGGAUGAACCAAAAUUUAGACUCACAAUCUAUCAAGUUUGGUCCAGUUCCCAAUAAAACUGGGUAUUUUCCCAGAUAAACUGCUCCCAUCUAUCCUACUGCAUGCAGAAAAUGUUGUGUUAUUUAACAAUUUAACAGACAGAAAAUCAAGACCAAGGGAAAAAAAUUGCAUCACAUUAAAUCACUUACAACUGAGUGAGAUUCUUUAGAUUUCCAUAUGUAUCUGGUAUUAUCCCUGUGAAAUUAUUUGCAGAAAGAAGUCUGUAGAUUCAUUUAGUUAAAGUGAAAAAAAAGGAGUUAGGGAUGUGUGGAGAAAACAGUAAGAAAUUGUAGAUAAUAUGGAGACAAAUUAAUGAUUUAAAUUGAUUAUGUAAAUCAAAUGAAAUUAAAAAAAUGAAACAAAUAGUCUCACAAUCUCAGCAAGUUGCUCAUUUUUCCAAGGCUCUGGGGAAGAGGUCCCUCAAGUUGAUUAUCUUCCAAAUUCCUGUAAACAUGGAUUACAAAUAUAAUUAUUCCACCUCCAGUUUUAAUCAAUUGGCAUCAUAGUUUUCUCAAACGCUUACAGUUCUUGCAGACUAGCCAUGUCACCAAUUUCUGAGGGAAUUGAACCAGUAAGUCGAUUUCCCAAAAGUGACCUGAAGCAUGUAGCAAUUGUACUGUGAGGAAUCAUGCAAACCCCAUUUAGGAUUUUUUUUAAUUAAAAUGCAAUGACAGUAUAAAAGAUUUUACACUAUCAUCCAAUUAUAGGUUGUUGGUAAGAUUAUUGACUUCUGUAAUAAGUAUUUUAAAACUAUAUCCUGGGCGAUUUCUAGUUGGUUGUCGGCUACGUAGAUCACACCACGCCAUUUGACUCUUAAAAACCAAAGCCUUAUUUAGGGUGAUUUCUAAUGGGUUAACAAUGUAAAAAAUUUUGCACUUACAAUUUAUGAAAACUAAACUCAAUUGCAAGAAGGAAAAAAAAAAGACAGUCGCAAAGGUUCUUAGUUAACAAAUGAAGAACAUGCCUCACAAAUAGAGCAAGCAAGAUGAAAACACACAGAUGCAUAGGUAAUGAUGACUUACAGAUUGACAACUGAUGAGAGGCGUCCAAGGCUUUUUGGAAUUGAGCCAUUGAAAUUAUUCCAAGUGAGAUCACUGCUCAGUAUAAAAGUUUCAGUUAGUUAUUUCAAAGUAGAUUCCUUUGCAUUUCAUGAAGUUAAUAAUGUUUUGACUUUCAUAAAAAAGAACUAGAAUGUAUACUACUAAUGACAAAAUAACACUACAAAUAUUGCAAUUCACCAUUCAUAUUUGUAUAACAGCAUGCAUGGUGGGGCUUUUCUCUACAAUCCAUAGUUUUUUUUAUCGGUUGAAAUCAAAGACAGUACCAGAAAGUUUAUAAUAACUCAUGUGUCCUAUUCAACCAAUUCAGCUAGACCUCAUUGGUUAGUUGAUUAGUGUUCAUAGUUUUAUUUUCUUAUUUGGUCGACUUUUUCAUUACUUCAUUAAUGGUUAGUUAUUAGUUAUAUUUUACCAUUUUUUUGGCAUUUAUUUAUUAAGAAAUUGGGUAUCAGUAAAUGCUUAACAUUGAUCCCACCUGAUUAGCAUACCCAAAAGGAUAGCAUAGUAACUCCCUCAUUUGUGACUACAACAGUUACGGACAUGGUUAAUCAAUAUUUUCUAUAACAGAGCAGCAUUUAUGAACAUACAACUAAAAAAGUAAGAGACAAAAAGAAUUUAUAACCACUUACAGUAUUUCUAGUCGAGUUAAAUUUCCAAAUUCAUCGGGUAUAGGUCCAGAUAUAUUGAGACCCUUGAGCGCACUGUCAGCCAAUGUGUUAAAUUAGAAUUCUCAAAUGAAUAUUCUUUUUAAAUUUAUUAAAUACGAAUGAAUGUAAAGUAACCAAAGGUGAUCAAUGGUCCAAGUCGUAUUGGGCUUGGUCCCCUUAAAUAAGAUUUCGGGUUCAAGUUUUAUGGAUAAAAAAAUAAAAAUUAUAAUUGAGAGAAAAGACUCUACUAAAGGUGAUCAAUGUUCCCUCAAGAAGAUUAUUCAUUAAAAAAACUGGUGAUACUCCACAUCUAUAUUAUCAUCUCAAAAAAAAAAAAAAAAGUAACCAAAGGUAACAUCUUUCACAUGUUAGUUUCAUUAUGCCUUAAAAAAAACAUAUUAGUUUCAUUAUAAUUUUUUUUUUCACGAACUCACACUAUUGCCUAUUGGUGUCAAUAACAAAUUGUCUAAGUUGCACAAAAUCCAACUGUAGAAGACACUAGUAAGGGGGGUUUGAAAAAAAGCUUACAUUGAUGUCACAUGGCAAGUAGUGUUAUUGUUGAAAGAGCAAUCACACGUGACAUUCCUUAUGAUUUGAGACUUAUCCCUUGAAAUGUUCCUGUUAUCAAAUCCUCUAUCCCCGUUGCAAGAAUGUUGUGUAACUUUCCAAUUCAGGUUCUCUACCUUGUCUGAUAUUGCUUGUAGCAAUUUCACUGCAACAUAUAGAAGGCAAAUAAAUUAAUUAGUUUUAUUCUCAGGCUACAUGCAUCUUAUAUUUCUGGUAUUAAGAUCUAUAAUCUUUUCAAAAGAAGAACUGUAAAAUAAUACUAUGUCAAUUUAGGUAAAUUCUAGAUUGUGACCUACUCAUAUUUUAACAAGCACAAGCUUUAGCAAAACUCUUGUGGUCAAAAGCUUUCAUUAGCAAACAUAUGCAUAAGCCCAUUGCAACUCUAGUCAAUAGCCUCAACAAUUUGAGCACGAUGCUAUCUUUAUAUCCAUUAAUUUGACUAAGUCAAACAAGGCGGGCAAUAAAUAUAAGAAAAAAUUGAACUUUGCAUACAUGCAAAGCUAAUCUUUUUCCUAAUUUUUUAUUGUCAACACUUGUCAUAUGAACCCCAUGCAGCAUCCAUCUAGUCCUAUUAGAGUAGUAUCAUUAUAACAAACCGUCAAUAAUAAGUAAAACAUGAUCAUCGUACCGUCCACAAUAAAGAUAACUAAACCUUAAGCUGGAGAAAUCGAUAUGGUUUUAGGGGUACAAAUCAUAUGACUAAUCAUUACAUUGACAAUUAUGCCAUGUUUAUCCUAAAAUAAAGAACUAUUAGAACGUGUUGGCACACAAUUUGACUCACCUAUCUAUUUAUCAAAAUCCAUCUAUCACAUUUUUUUUUAACUUUCUGUUUGUCUCCUUUAAUUUACUUUCUUCUGUUGCAGCCUUGAUUUUUAUGAGCCAAAUAUUUAGUUCAUUUUACUCUCUUUCGCAUCUAAAAUGUGAAUAGGAUUGGAAAAAUUAAGGGAUAUUUGAUUUGGUUGUCUUUUGUUUUUAUUUUCACUAGAAAUAAAAAUGGUGAUGAAAAUGUAUUUGGUUGAAUUUUUAAAAACAUUUUUAGUGAAAAUAUUUUUCUAAACGAACCAAAAAUUAAAAACAAAAAAAAAUCUUAUUUUCAAUUGAAACCAAUAAUCUUAUUUUAGUAAAAUGAAAAUACGAUGACAAAAAAUGUAAUUUUAAAUAAAUCUAAAAAAUAUUUUCUUUUGAAAACAUAUUUUUAAUAUUUUUAUCUCUCGAAAGAAAAAAUAAAAAAUCAAACCAAAUAUAUUUUUAAAAUUUUAAUCUUUUAAAAAUAUAAACAGUUUUUAGAAAAUAAAAAUACAACCUAAAGAUACCCUAAUAAUGGAGCAGGUGGGUAGAAAUGACAUUUCCCUAUUAAUUGUUGGCGUGCUGGUGACUAGUAAGGCACCGAAACUUCUCUCAUACCGAAAUAGUGAUAAAAGUAAAAUUAAAAUCAUGUCUUUGUAAAACUAUCAGGAUCCGUCCAAGAGUUAGUGAGACGUAAGGUGAAUUUUAAGAUUUUUUUUCCUUCAAAUGAGAGAGAUAUAUUAGUUUUUUUUGUGAAAAUAUGUGGGUUUUUUUUAUCAAUGUGAUUUAUUUUGUUUCAUAAAAGCUAAUAAAUUUUGUAUGGACCUAAAGCUUAAGCGAUCCUUACUGCUGCUUACACCAAAAGGGCAAAAAUCUAAAAAAGGAACGUAUACGAUCAGCCACACUGUCUUUCUGACAUCUAGACAACUAUCACAUGGCCUUUAUAUUACCAAUUUGCCCUCACUUUAUUUAACAAAUUUUCAUCCUCGUGACUUGCUCCACAGCUGUAAAUUGUAAUAUGUGGUGAACAUAUUUCAGUCAUAAAUUACUAAUGUCUUAUGUCAACUACAUAUGAUUUCCUGAAGAUGGAUACAAUUACAGAUAUUAUAAAUGCUAAUAAAUGAUGUGAUAAUGAUUAAAGAAUAAAAUAAAAUACUUAGUGAAAAAUAUUUAUUCAAAAGUCCUGUAAGGCAAUUACAAAAAACGGUCUUCUUAAUAAUAAAAUAAAUAUAGAAUACAAACUAUAAAUAUCUUAUGUCUCAUAUGCAUGAUUCAUGUCUUGAGUUGGCUACAAUAAUAAAUAUUACAAUACUAAUCAAUGAUGCGACAUUGGUUAAAGGAAUAAAAAUCAAAUACACUUGGUAAAAAAGAUGUAUGACUUAGAGAAUUAUUAUCUCUAAACUUUUGAUCAUAGAGCACUACAAAAGCUUCAACUCCUAUGAAGGAACUUGUUAGAGACCUUACACCUAUGACAAUUAAUCCUAGGUGUACAUAUCUUUUAUUUGUAUUAAGGAGUUGUCGUCCUGUUUAUUCUGAGAUUAAUCUGAUAAUCUCAUGUCUUCUGUUAGGAAGAUGAAAAUCAUUAAUCCUUCUAUAUCUGUAUAAGCUAAUUCUAUCUGAGGUCAGUCAAUUUAGGUUAUAUAAUUGUCUAGGAUUAAGAGAGUCUAUCCUAGAAUUUGAUCCAAUAUCAACAUUGGAUUCUAUAUCUAUUAUUUGUUCCAGUUGUCUGGUUCGAGAAUUUGUCCUAAAGAAUCUAUCUAGGAUUCUAGGAUGUUGAUUUAUAGAUUCAUUAACAGGAUUGUGUCCUGAGACUGUUUGUGAGGUUCCGGUAAAUGGUAUUGUCCUCAUUUUCUAGGCUUUGCUAAAACGAAUUUAGUCGAAGUUUGGCUUGUUGUUUUUCCAAGAUAAUUUUAGAAAGCUGUGUUGUAAUUUUGUUGAGUUUGUUUGUAGAUAAGCGAAUUUGUUAGUCUUUAGUUUUAAGAGUAUUCAAAAUAUCGUUAAUUUUAUUUUCUAAUGUUUUUAUUUUGUUAAACAAUAAAUUUUGUAUUUUUGUUAAGUUGUCUAAGGUUUCAGAUAAAUCUUCAAAAGAUUUUAUCGAAAGUUUGUUAUCAGAGUUAUUAUUAUUAAUUAUAUCGUAAUGUCUAUCCAGAGCUAAUGUAAAGGCUCUCAUACCAAAGAGGUAUCGAGAAGCCUAUAUAAACGGUGACAGAAUAUGAAAUAAAUAGUAAGAAUAAUAUAAAUAAGCAAAGGGGGCAAUGCCUCCUAGUUAGAUUUAAAUAAGAGGUACCGAAAAGUCUAUAUAAACGGUGAAAGAAUAUAAAAUGAAUAGUAAGAAUAAUAUAAAUCAGCAAAGGUGGCAGUGCCUCCUAGUUAGAUUUAUAUUAUAUUAAAACAAGUAAAUAAAUGUACAGUUAAGAGUAAUCAAUAACAGUUAAUAGUAAGCGGUUAAAAGUAAGCGAUAUGCAGAAGAAAAAGAUCAAAUUAGAUGGAUAGAGGGUACUUCUCAAGUGAACACGGUAAGUUAUCUUAUUUUAGAAAAAUAUAGAAUAUGAUGAACCCAAAAUCUCUUUUUUUUUUUUUUGAAGAACAAAUAUACAAGAUCCUUAUCGAUUUUCUGGAUAUUAUGCCGAACACUUAAGAUUUUUACUAGCCCACACUUCUCUGGGUCUUACGUUGAUCUUAUUUUCCUCCAAGCACCAGCCUAACCAAAGAGGACUUUUAUCGUUUUUCAAAAACAGCUAUCAAGGGCACACCUGUGUAGGCUUACCAAUCCCAGGUUUUCGAAAUUGUAAAAAACGAUCUUUCCAAUAAUAAAAUAAAUAUAAAAUACAAGCUAUAAAUAUCUUAUAUCUUAGAUGUACGAUUCAUGCCUUGGGUUGGCUACAAUAACAGAUAUUACAAUACUAAUCAAUGCUGCGACAUUGAUUAAAGAAAUAAAAAUCAAAUACACUUAGUAAAAAAUAUGUAUUCUGAAUUCUUAUUAUGACUAGUUACCAGCAUGACUCAUUUAUUAAAAAUACAAUUGCAACCAAGGGUGGGUCUCACCAAUAAUAAAAUAAAAAGAAUAUGGGCCCCCUUUGUUCUCUAGAGACGAGGCUACCUUACAUCACACAUGGUAUAGCAAAGAGCAAUUGUGUGAUUUCAUUAGUUCACAAAAACACUCCAAAAUCAUGAAAUGUCACACCAACAACAAAAGAAAUCCAGAAUUUAUAUACAAAUCCCUUGUUUCAAUUAGAAGAUAGAAAAAUCUAAGUCCCUUGCUUCAAUUAAAAAAAACUCAAGUUCCACAUUGACUAGAGAUAAUGUUAAGAUAGAACAUAUAAAGUGAGAACAACCUUCACUAUAUAAGCUAGCUUUUUGGGUUGAGUUAGACCCAGAUUUUUUCUUGGUAUCAAGGGUCUAUUCUAGAUCCAUUCAAAAGGACCACGCACCAAAUCCAAAGAGUGUUGGGCUUGAGGGGAUGAAUUAGAAAACCCAAGUCCCACAUUGACUAAAGAUAGUGUCAAGAUAGAACAUAUAAGGUGAGAGCAACCCUAACUCUAUGAUAGAAAGAAAAUAAGUAGAAGAGAAAACAAGAAUAAUUAGUCUUAGUUCAAUAAAAAAAUAGUUUGAGGUAUAGAUAAAAAAAAUUCAAAAUUUUCUUUCAUUUUAUUCUCUCUUCCAAUCACCGGGAACCAAAAUAAUCCCAAGAAAAUUUUUAAAAAAAUAGAAAAUUAUUUAUUUAUUUUUAUUUUUGACCAAGUUAGAUGCAGAACUUCUUAAAAAAACUAAUUAAAUGUAAACGGAAGAAGCAGGGAACAAAAAAAAAACGACAUUGGCGAUUUCCUUAUGGAUCUUGUGACAGAAGCAACAAUGCAAGUUGAAGAACUAAAUUCUGGAAGAUGGGUUUGCACUAAAACGGAUAAAGUUGAAACUUUGUGAAGUUGGUGUUAAAAGCAAAAAGACAGUUUCAGUUUAUAGUUUCGGAAGUUACAAAAGUGAAAUUUCCAACACAGAGACAUAAUUAACACAUAAAAAACCCAUAAGAUAAAAAUAUAUAAAAUGGAAAAUAAUUAAGUACCUUCAUCUUGUGGUAAGAGUUGAGCGUUGGAUCCAAAGUGUAGGGAAGCCAGGAACAAAAAAAUGAAGCACUUAGACACACGUUUGGAGCUUGAAGACAUCACAAACCGCAUCAUGGUCCUGCUGUGUGUCGGUAUCAGAAAGUUUCAGAAUGGAGUAGCAAAAAGAGAGAAGAGAGUUGCUAAAGAUUAUUUUUGUUUGAGGGAAAGAAUAUCUGACGUAUGAGAAUCUAGGGAUGUUUUUGCUUGAACAUUAAAUACAGUCAGAAAGGCCAAGAGGAGAAUUUAAAAGAGGAUCUCACAUAAGACAUUAUUUAUUUGAAUUUAUUACACAAAUAUUAUAUAUAUAAUAAGUUGUUGAUUUUCAUAAUAAACAUCUGUAAAGUAAUUUUUAAUUGAUCAUUGAUAAUAUAAAAAAUACCAAUAAUAUAUGUCAAGGGAUCUAAUUCAUUAGUUGAGAAAAUACAUUAGUUAUGUUGUUUUUAAUUCUUAUAAGAUCAAAUUUUAGGUUUGAAUAUUUUUUCUUAUUUUUUAUAUAAUCUUCUUACAUAAUUAGAAGAGAAAUGAAAUAAAAAAGACAUAAAAUAAAUUAUGAAAUAAUGUUACAAAGACAGGAGAAGUAAAGCGAGAAGUAAAGAAUUAAGUAUUGUAAACUAUAUUGAAGUAAAAAAUGUCACAUAAUUAUUACAGUUAUAUAUAUAUAUAUAUAUAUAUAUAUAUAUAUAUAUAUAUAUAUAUAUAUAUAUAUAUACACUCUACUUUUUAGUUGGAGUGUGCAUUAAUAUCCUACACAAAAAAAAAAAAAAAUUGUUGACAAAGAAACCACUCAUAAUUAAAUAUUAACAAUGAACAAAGUUGUUUUUAUAGAAAAAUGAUAGGAAUAAAUAUCAACUUUAAAAGGAUCAAUAUUUAUUUAUUUAUUUUAUUCCUAUAUGAAUUAAUGACAAUUUCAGUAAAUAUGCUUUCUAUAUAUUAAUAUUGUUAUACUUUAUGAGAAAUAAAAAAGAAUAAAUUAUAAUGGUCCAGAGUUCAAGUCAUCGCUUGACUUGACUUCCCCGUCUGAGUAAUGUUAUUAAAAUAAUGGUCCUGUUAAAGUCAUCGCUUGACUUGACUUCCCCGUUUGCGAACGGCGUGUGCCUUACUAAUUUUCAUUCGUUUACAUUUAGCAGAGUUUGAUUCAUGGAUUAAAAGUUUAUUUUUGAGAUGUAUACAUCAAAAUGUGGUGCAUAUAGCAUACACUGAAGGAGCAUGGUGAUUCGAUCUGGAAUAUAGCUGAUCAAGGGUGGAUGCUCAAAGUGAAUGAUGUGAUCGUGGCAGUUGGUAUCUGUUAUGCUGGAUUUGGAAGCCACAUAUAUAUAAUAAGUGGCUACAGAGGGAGGGAUCUUAAUGCAUUUUUUUGGUUAUACAGUGUUACUGUAUAGUUUAUCAGUAAACAAUAUAUAGGGAGUGACUGUGGCAUUGCCCUAGUUUUUGCCCUAUGUUUGUAUAUGGGUUUGGAUAUCCUUUGUACGCAUUUUCAUCAAAAUAUGGGCUGGAUAAUAUGUCCCACCUAUUUUAAGUUCUUUAAGGAGUUGUACGUAAUUGGAGUAAUUAAAAAUUUACUAAAGUUUUUAGAUCGGAGUUCUACCACAUAAUAAGAUCCCAAUAUAAGUGAGUGAAAAACUUCUUCCCUGAUAUCUAGAUUGGAGAUGCUCUUAGACAUUUGACACCACUUAGAAACGUGUGGAUGACUUUGAUUAAUUUUUCUUUUUUUUACAACUAGAAAAAUUAAAUGAAUUAUAUCAUAAAGGUUCACCGAGAUUUGGAUACACUUAAUUGAUUAAUUUCUUUUAGUCCUAUAUACAAUGUGCCAAAUUUGUCCUAACUCCUAAGUAACAUAAAAAUAUCUUGGGUGUGCAAUAACUACAGAAAUAAAAGAAAAAUUAGGAUGAAAUUAUACUAAAAAAGUAUUGUAAAUUUUCUUAUUUUGUUUUUUUUGGCAGAAUAAAGCAUGAGAAGAAUGGCCAAUACAAUAGUUACCUUAGCAAAUACUGCAUCUUAGCAUGAUAUAGAGAAAGGCUCGUGAGUAGCUGCAUGCCUACGCACACGGGCCAUGAUUCUUAAGCUAGUUGCAUCCUUCAUUUUCUUUCCCCACCCUCCCAUUAAUCACAUUAUUUUGAAAAUAACAGUAAUAGGCAUGUGCUGUAAUAAUAGGUUCAUUCCUUGUAACUUCUAUUUCUGUUCAAUUCUAAAAAAAAGGAUUUUUUUUUUAUGGGGACAACAAACUGUCAUAUACGAUAAGAAACCAUGGAAAAUGAAGACAACUUAAAAAGAAAAAGACGAAGAAAAUUAAUGAGAGGGAUCCUCACAUUAAAGGUUGGCUGCCAAAGAAAAAAUCAAAACAAUGAGAAAUCAAAACCAGCCACGCCGUUGAUUUCUUUUGUUCUAAUACCUAUUGGAUGGUUUUGAUUUCUUUUGGCGUUGAGGGAACACCAUUUGAAAAUUGUAACAAUAAUAUUCAAUGCACGUAACGUGUCCUUAAGUAAAUAUAUUAAAACAACUUGGGUGCAAUUUCUACACAAUUAAAUGAAAAAUAUGAUGAAAUUAUACUAAAAAACUCUCGCAAAUUCGUUUGUUUUAAUUUAUAUUUUCACUGAAUAAAGCAUUGAUCAGAAGAAUGGCUAAUGCAUUUACAUUAUCAAAUACUGCAUCGUAGCAUGAUACGAAAAAAAAGGUUCUGUGUAGUGUGUACGUAGCUGUAUUGCUGCAUGAGGAAUAUAUGGUUUUUAUAGGCUAUGAUUCUAAACUCGUAUGCUUCAUUUUCUUUCCCUACCCUCCCAUGAAUCACAUUUGAACAUUGUAAUCGGCAUGUGUUGUAACAAUAGUUUAUGACAAAUCGAAAAAAUUAUUGGUUGAGUUACGAAUAAUGUCGCUUUCUUUAAGACGUUUCGUGACACUGCCAAAAAAUUGUGCAAACAGACUAUCAACUAAGACGUCCCCAGGAUAAAAUAACCCAGAUUAUUGUAUAAGAUUCCACUGCACUGAGGGAAUCUUUUCUAGAAUUAUACCCUCUUGUAUGACUUGAAAAGUAACUCUAAAGUCAACCGAAAAAUAUGACUUCAAAAGUCACUCUAAUAGUCAACCGAAAAGUAUGACUUGAAAAGUCACUAUUAUAGUCAACCGAAAAUAUGACUUAAAAAGUCACUCUUAUAUCCAACCGAAAUUAAGACUUAAAAAGUCGAAAAUAUGACUUAAAAAGUCACUCUUAUAACCCACCGAAAUUAUGACUUAAAAAGUCACUAACUUAAAAAGUCACUAUGCAUCGGCUGAAAUAUGAGAGGGAGAAAGAAAAAUUGAGGAAAUGCUUUUCAGGGCAAGAAAAAAAGAAGAAAGGAACUUUGUAUAUAUAAGGAGUGAAACACUAUUCAAGUAUUUAUCGUGAGCGAUAUGAGAAUUGAAAUUUUUUCUUUUUCAAACUUUCAUUCACAUUUUCCUUUGUUCUAACAGCAUGCACGGUACGGCUGUAGUAAAAGGUUUAUUCCUUGUAACUUCUGUUUUUGUUAUUAAAAAAUAUAUAUUAGCAACAACCAUAGUGAAAGAAGUUCGUGGAAAUAACAACUGCUACAUACAAUUAGAAAAUAAGGAAAGUGAAAUGAAAAAGCUUUAAGAAAGAAAAAGUUGACUAAAAUUAGAGGGACCUGCACAUUAAACUAAGGUUGUUAGCCAAAGAAAAAUCAAAACAAGGAAAAAUCAUAGAAAAAACCUAAUGAACCCGCGGAAGCUCAAUUAUGUAUCGUUGGUGGUAAAUUGUUCCAACUAUAUAAACUUGGAAAUAUUUUAUAAUAUAACUUUUUUAGAGACUACUAUUUUCAUCUUUUAAUAAAAAAGAGUAUAUACACUCUAUAACGUUUAGGAUUUGAAUAGGUUUUUAUAUAUAAAAAAAAGUUGACUAAGCCAACUUUGAGAAUACUCAGCAGUAUUCCUCGCAGGGACGGAUCCAGAAUGAAAUAACCGAGGGACCAAUUAUAAAAACCAAAGUUUAGUUAAAUAUUUGAGGGAUCAAUUAUAAAAGUCAAAGUUUACAUACUUUAUCAAAAAUUCAAGUACGAGAUACUCGAGUUCUUUUUAAAGUAUAAUAAUGAACCGUACUUAUUAUUAUUAUUAUUAUGUACCCCUUCAUCCUUAUUUAUAAGAAAAAGUUUAUUAAAUUAUACUUAUUAAGAAAAUUAAUUAAUUUAGAUAUUAAUAUUAAAUUUAUCUUUAGAUAUAAUAUUUUUUAAAUUUUAUCCUUAAUAUUGAUAAGAGUUUAUUCAAAAUUUUCAAUCUUCCGAUAGAAAAAUGAUAAUUCAAAAUACUAUUCAUUUAAUUAUAAUUUAAAUUAAUAAAGAUAUUUUAGUAAAAAAAGAAUUAAUACAUAAAGGAGAUGAGAUGAAAUCUUAUAAUAAAGUAAAAAAAUUGAUGAUUAUCAGAACCUAAAAUAUAUUUAAAUUGUGAAAGAUAAUUUUUUUUUAUGUCUCUCAAAGUUGAGGUUGUCAACCUGUUAUAAAAUAUUUGUAGGUUUAUCUCAAAGAUAAUUUUUUUCCUUUUUCCUUGUUAAAUCUUUCUUCUAAAUUUUGCCACCUUGCUAGUCUCAUACAUUGGUUUUCUUGCUUUCGGAAAAGUCUUUGGCUGGCUAGUUUAUUUUUAACUAUUGUACUUUCUCCGUUCACUCUCACCAAAUAAAAAUCAUCCAUGCGAAUUAAAUGCCACGGAAAAGACAUUAAUUAGCCGACAAGAUUGACAAUAUUGUUUAGGUCUAUCGUAACUAUUUUUUUAAAGUAUAAUGUUAGUAAUUUUCUUUUUCUUUUUACACUCUUUUAAAUAUUUUUUAUGAUGGAUUAAAAUUGAUUAAAAAUAAAUAAUUUCUAAUAAAUUUAAGAAAAAUAAAUAUUAACUGAAAAAUAAAAUCUAUUAAAAUUUUUAAUUUUUAAAUAAAUUAUAAUCAAUCACUAAGAAAAUAUUAAAAAAAGAGUAUGUACUUUUUUUGUGGACCUUUUUCUUUGUGAGAGAAUAUUAAAAAAAUAUUUUUUUAAUCAAUCACUAAAAAAAUUAUAAGCAAUAAUAUUAAAAAAAUAAAUUAUAAUCAAUGACUAAAAAAUAUGUACCCCUCCUUUCUGAUUAAUGAUUUAAAUCCUAUAUCCCUUUUCUUUGUGGACCUUUUUCCAAAGUUCUGCUCGUAACAGCGCCUUGGUCAUCUUCACUUUGCGUUCAUUAACAAAAACAAUUAAACUUCUCCUCAUCCCUCAAAUUCCAAAUAUACUUCAUGUACUCUCUACCACUAUCGUCUAUGCAAUAGAUCUGGACUUAUUUUUCAUUCCUAAUAUCUUCAUGAAGAAGGUCACUUCCUCUCAAUUUCUCCUCCUUCAACUCCUUGCCUUAUGGUUCACAUCACUUGCUUUUGGAGCCAAUACCACUCAGCCAGAAGAAGGUAUGCAUAUGGUGUGCGUGUGUGUAUAUACACCAUUUUUUUUUAUUUUUCUCAUAAUUCUUGUAAUUAAAAAUACUACUAUAUAUCGAUCGACAUGCAUAUAUGUGUCGGUAAAUUAAAGUUUGGAAGAUAACUACUAAGCACUGUGCUGAUAACCCUCUCAAAUUUGCAUACGUAUAGUGCAAGCUCUGAAAGAUAUGGGCAAGAUCCUUGGUAAGAAGGAAUGGGACACUGAUAUAGACCCAUGUUCAAGCCAACAUCCCUGGUUCACACCUAAGGUGGACACCGUAGAGAACAAUGUCACUUGCAAUUGCUCUAUCCCCGGUGACAACUUCUGCCAUGUUGUUUCAAUGUAAGUUUCUUUACCGUUUGAGUGAUGUUCUUUUUUUUUUUUUUUCCAACCACCGUAAUUAGAUUUUUUUUCUAUAUACUAAUUACUAAUUAUUAAAUUCUUUUAAUAUCAAAUCAUUCACACAAUUAUUUCUUGAAGACUAAUCACUUUUAAAAAGUAUAUAUUAUCAUAUAUAGACUCUCGUUCUCAUAUUGAAUUAGGAUAGAUACAAAAGAGAAUGUUAUUAAAUUUCAUUUUUUAAGGAUUUAUGAUAUUAUUGGUUUGAUUUGAUUUUAAAUAUCAACCAAAAAUUGAACUGAAUCAAUCAAUUUUACUAAUAAAAUAAAUAAAUAAUUGAUUUUUUUCGAUAGAUAUAUUUUUGGAUUUUCGGACUGCAAUGAACUGUGCAUAUGCCAGGUANNNNNNNNNNNNNNNNNNNNNNNNNNNNNNNNNNNNNNNNNNNNNNNNNNNNNNNNNNNNNNNNNNNNNNNNNNNNNNNNNNNNNNNNNNNNNNNNNNNNUUCUCACUUAAAUUUUAUGUAACAAAAGAAAAAGCUAGUUCCUCCAUUACUAGGUGACCGAGUUAUUAUAACUUAAUUAAUUGAGUUUAUGAUGUUGUUUUGCCUUUUAUUGCUUUAGCUGUUGAGGUAGACGUAUUUUCAACUGUUUUUUUCCUUGUGAUUUUUAAUUGAUCUUUGUUGGGGUGCAAAUAAUGUUAAAGACUAAAACGGUGAUUUAGCUGCCACACUUGAGUAAAGCAUGAUUAUCUCAUAUGAAGAAACUGUUAUUUAUAACUUUUUUUUUUCUAAUUUUUAUGUUAAACAAAUAAUGGACAGAUUGCUGAAAUCACAAAAUCUUCCAGGCAAGCUCCCACCCGAACUGAUAAGGUUGCCUUACCUCGAAGAAAUGUACGUAACAAUUAAUCUUCUAUAUAUGAAGGACAAUAAACUUGUUUCAUUUAUACUCAACUAACUUGCAUAUAUAUAUAUAUAUAUAUAUAUAUAUAUAUAUAUAUAUAUAUAUAUAUAUAUAUAUAUAUAUAUAUAUAUAUAAGGGUUAAAUAGGUUUUUAAUUUUUAAAAUUGAUUUUUAGUCUUUGAAACAUUAAAUAAAUUAAAAUAAUAAGAUUCAAAAUUUUGUUUAGAAACUAAAAAUUCAAGUAUUAAAAGGUUUAGAAACAUUGACUGGUCAAACUAGAUUGAUAUGGGUGAAAUGUAAAUUGAUUUUUAAAAAGUUUGACAAAUUGAAAACUUAGUUAAUCCUAUAUAUAAUUUAUAUCUUUUGAUUAUUUUUGAUACAGCGACCUCACUCGCAACUACCUUAACGGUACAAUACCUACCGAAUGGGGCUCCUCCAAUCUUCGCAAAAUGUGCUCUAUUUCUCCAACUUUAGUUUCUUCUUUGCUCUACUUUAUUAUUUUACUUUUUUUGUGUGUAACAUUAUCUAAUUUGUCUUCCAUUUUCAUGGUAGUUCUCUUCUUGGAAAUCGCUUAACUGGUCCAAUCCCAAAAGAGAUAGGAAACAUCACCACGCUCGAAAGUUUGUGAGUUCUUUUGUUAACAUAAAGUUUGUGAAUUGUGAGUUUUGAUUAUUCAGAUUAGAUCAAGAAUUCCCCCUUUCCAUUUUGACGAUAUAUUCAUUAUAACUUACUAAUGAAUAGGGUCUUGGAAUUCAAUCAAUUUUCUGAAAAUCUACCUCCAGAACUUGGGAACCUUUCUAGCAUUCAAAGAUUGUAAGCCCUACAUUUAUGCCUACUUGAUUUAUUUGAUUCAAUUUUUCUGUUAAAAUAUCAAGAUGUUGGCCUGUUGGGAGCGCGAAAUUAAGUAUAGAAAAAAAAACUAAAAGAAUAAAUAAUAUAUAUCUUGAUAAGAUAAAGAAUUUUUUACUCUAUCAUCUAAUAAUAAAUUAUUAUAUAUAAUAAACUUGUUAACUUGUAUAAUAAUUAUUUUAUGAUAUAUUUCAAAAGUUAAUUUUUUAUUAGUUGAAAAUAUAAAAAUAUUUAUAUUAUUAAUGUAUGUCUAUUAAAUUUAUAUAUAUAUAUAUAUAUAUAUAUAUAUAUAUAUAUAUAUAUAUAUAUAUAUAUAUAUUACUUUUAUUCUUAUCCACCGUGAGUGCAUUUCUAUUAAUUGCUUGUUUUUUUUAGAAUGAAAUAAAUUAUUUAUAUUCCACAAUAUCAAUAUUUUAACGUUUUCACUGUACCAAAAGAUUGUAAAAGUAUCCAAAAAGGCAAAAAUAUCACCAUACCAUUUUUUUUACUUAUCUUAAAUAUCAAUGUUAUUAAGAAAUUCAUUGGCACUUUCAUGUUAAAAAUAUGUUGUCGCAACAGGCAUCUUACGUCUAACAACUUUACCGGAGAGUUGCCUGAAACUUUGGCGAAACUUACAACAUUGACAGAACUGUAAGCUUCCCAUUUUAUGGUGUUUUUACUUUGAAUUUUGUUGUUUCCCUUAAUUAGUUUCUUUGAAUUUCAUUUACACUCUUCAUUCUUUACAUGUGCAGCCGGCUUAGUGACAAUAAUUUCUCUGGAAAGAUACCCGAUUUUAUUCACAGAUGGACAAAUCUUGUUUUACUGUACGAACCAUUUGUUUUUGGACCCAAAUGCAUCGGUCAUGUGUUGUUAUACUUCUUCUAUUGUUCAUCUUUAUAUCUGCGGCAAUUGUAUUGUUAUUUUACAGAUCAAUUCAAGGGAGUGGUUUAAGUGGGCCUAUUCCUUCUGGAAUUUCAUUUCUGCAAAACUUAACAGACUUGUAAGUAUAGUAUUCAUAAAGUAAACAUGAUUUUAAAAUUAAACUGCUUUCUUAGCUUAUUGUAUAUUUCCAUUAAAUGCAGGAGAAUCAGUGACUUGAAUGGAUCUGAUUCUACUUUUCCACCGAUUAAUAAUAUGACAAAAUUGCAAACGCUGUGAGUUAUAAUUAAUUGCUUCCGUUACUUUUUCACUUAUUUAAGUACUCCAUCAAAAUGAAGAGAUAUUUACAUAAUUUUGCUGCAGAAUUCACAAAUUUGAUUUUAUCUCGUAGGAUACUAAGGAGUUGCAAUAUUAAUGACACCUUACCUCCAUAUCUUGGGAACAUGAAAAGCAUUCAAGAUUUGAGAACUUUCUAAGUGUUUUUACCGUUUUUUAACCAUCCUAAUUAAGAUCUUUCACUCCCCACAUAAUAAGAUUUUGAGGUAUUAAGGGCUCUAGUCACACUUUUGUUUUCAAUAUGAACUUCACUUCAAUUUGUAAAAUUUGCUGGCGUUGAUCUUGUUAAAAUAUUGGAUUUAUUUGAAAUAGUCUACCGGAUUAUUGUAACUUAUAAAAGUAAUUGAAAAGAGUAGCUUAGUUGACUUAGUUCAACGAAUGGUUAACUAAUUAAAUCAGUAAGUUUAUGAAAAUUAUUUCAUUUUGAUUUAUUUUUAGUGAUUUAAGAGACAUAUAUAGUAUGCGGGCAUGUGCUAUGUUCAUCAAAUAUCUUAAUGUUGACUAAAAAACAUGUACUAAUGUUUUAUUAUUUAUUUUAUUCAGCAUUUCUUAACUUCAGAUAAUAUUUCUCUUGCAGAGACCUAAGCUUUAACAAAUUAAGCGGACAGAUUCUGGAAACCUAUAAAAAUCUUUCAAGCCUGACCUACAUGUAAGAAAAUUUUAUGUCAAUUAGUUUCAAAAUUAGUUUUUAUUUUUAUUUUGAUGUAAUAUUUUCUUACUUUAUUUCCUAUUCUUAAUUAAAAAGUUAUUACAGAAGAUAAUUAUGGAUUGGUGUCUCUGAAAUUGGCUAACACUAUUAAAUAGCAUUCCAUGAUCAAAAUAGUAAUAUUUUGGCAUGUCAUUACUUCAAAAUGUUUUCUAUUUAUUUUGAAAUUUUUGUACUUUAAUAUUUACUUUAUUAUUUAUCAUUUCAUUUUUUUACUGUUCCUCUUAGAUAUUUUACUGAAAACUUGUUUACUGGACCUGUACCGAACUGGAUAGAAGAUGCUGGUAAAUACAUGUGAGUUUUAUUUCAAACCCUAAUUAAAUGCUUUGUUGAAUUAAAUAAUUUCCAUAUUCCUAGUUUUGGAUUCUAUAUUAGCUUAAGCUUAAUUAUCUAAUGAUUCGUGUUGAAAAUGUUGAAUUUCUCGUCCCGUUAUUUCAAUGUAACAUUAAAAUAAGUUAUAUUAAUGUGUACUAUGCAUAAUUCAAUCAUAAAAUUUCAUAUAAAUAAUUCAAUCACAUCAGCCAAUUAAAUUUGAAUUGUUUUUUUGAUUAAAAAAAAAUCUAAAGACCUUAUUAUAAUAAAUUUUAUAUUUUAUUAAAAGAUCACUUUAUCCCUUAUCUUCUUAAUUCAAUCCCUAAUGCUCCACUCGAUCUCACAAUAGGCUCUUCCAAGCUUAAUGCUGCCCUCAUAAAUAUCCAAUUAAUCUCUUGGGGAGAAUAUCAUUUAAACACGUAUAUACUGCCAAAAAUCCGAAAACACUCUGCUUUACAAACUAUAAAUAAAUAAAUAAAAAGUGGAGAAUAUACUCCGUGUAGAACAACCAAUCCUUUAAGAGAUUAUUUAGCACGUAUCUGCCAAAUAUAUUUCGUUAAUUUGCUAUUAUAGUCUUAAUAUUCAAACUGAGGGAAUAUACUUCCAAAUUCUCCAUUGGACUGAUAAGCUUAUUAACCAAACACCAGGUUUCAUAACUGAUACUUGCCCUCUCUUCUUUGCUCAUUCCUUUCUUUUAAGAGCCAAAAAAAAAAAAAGACUGUGAAGUCGCAUUGCAUUGUCCAAUUCAGAAGUGUUCAAACAAAACAAAAUAGCAAGUCCAAGAGAGAAAAUCCGAGGCAGGAAGCUAAACAACAGCAAAUGCAAAAAAGGAUUGAGGAAAGGACGCGAGAGGAGGAAAGGAUGGCAUUGAGAUUGGAAGAGCCUGUCGUGAGAGUGGACAUUAGGGAUUGAAUUAGGAAGAUCGGCAAUAAAAUGAUCUUUUAAUAAAAUAUUAAACUAAAAAUUAAAAUAAUAAUAUAAAAUUUGCCAUGAGAAUAAAAUUCAAAUUUGAUUGACUGAUGUAAUCCUAUAAAUCACAUGACAUUUCAUAAUUAAACUAUGCAUAAUACACAUUUAUGUUACUUAUUUUAAAAUCUAACCAAAGUAAUAACUAUUGUUUAAAACACACCAAUUAGAAGUUGCAACAAUUAAUACAAGUUUAAAGUGUAUUAUAUUGAUCCCAUAAUUAAAGGAGAAGAAUGUAUUUUUUUAUUAUUAUAUUAUUGGUAAGUAAAAGUAUUUAUUGACUUUAUUAAUCCUAUUUUUUGUCAGAGAAUCUAACUAAUCAUCUUUAGAUUCUUUCUUCUAAAUUCAAUAAUUUGUUUUAAAAAAAAAUCAAAUUUAAUAAUACUCAUACUAAUGACUUGUUAAUAGAAAAAAAAUAUUUAAAAAAACUUAAUUUUGAGCUUGACAAAAAUUAUCAAAGAACACACAUUUGUUGGGAGCUUGAUGAAAAUACAAUCAUGCACCAAUUGGCUCAACUUCAUAACUAUCAAUCGUCAUGCAAUUCAUUGAGUUAUUUAUGUGAUGUCACACCAUAACCUGUUGCGCACAAAAAUUUGAUACCUUUUUUUAUACCAGUUAAUAACUUUUUUGGUCACUUUCUAGUUUCUAUGCUUUGUCAACAACAUUUUGUUUUAUCUUAAUCAAUUAGUUUCUAAUAGCAAUUUUACAUUUUAUGCAUAGUGAUCUUUCAUAUAACAACUUCAGCAAUGAAACCCUCCCGCAACAAACAUGCCCACAGGCUCAACACACCGGAACAGAAGUGUAAGAAUUCAAGUAUUUCAUUUUUCUUCUUUUGGUAGUUUUAUCAAGCUAUAUGUGCAAGUGUUAACCAUAUCUUAUAUGUCAUAGGAACUUGUUUGCAAGCUUUCCAAUGAGCCAAAAGUAAGUAUUAUAUUUUCAUUAAGCUUGAAAGCUUAUCUCAGUUCACACAACGUGUCCUUUUCUGUUCUCUUGUCAGUUUUUGUGCGUGGAAGUUUGAUUUGGAUUUUUAAAAAUCUUAAACCGUUUGAGUAAAACUAGCUAGUUUGAAGUUUAUUUAAACUUAAAAUUCAAUCCAAUAUUUUUCAAAAAGGCUGGUUUAGAUUUUUCAUAAAUCGGAUUGAAACUGGUUUUAAUUUUAAACAAGUUUAUGGUUCAUGGUUUUUAUGCUAACUUGGUCUGGUCUCUCCCCUUAAUAUUCCUCCUCCAGUGGACCUCUUCCCUGUCGUCCGAUGGCAAACAAAUAUGCAUGUUCUAGAAGUAAGUAUAACUAAGUUUUUUUUUUUUUUUUUUUUUUAAAUUUAACUGUUAUUAUUAAGCAUAUGAACUCGUUAACGCAUAUCCCAGUAUCCAUGGAUAUCUAUCCAAACUUAUCUGACUUUGACGGAGAAUAUAUACUUUGAUCGAAUAUUAGGAAUUAUCCAACUUUUUCAAACAAGAAUGAAAACGAGGAUGAGCAUGUCUUGAUGCUUUCGUACUUAGAACCCAAAAGAUAUAUUAAUUAUAUUUUCUUUAUUUAUUUGAUGUUUAUGAGAUUUGACAUUUUUUUUAUUGUAAUAGAUUGAGUUUAUGCUAUAAAUUAUUGUAUUUUGAUGACAUAUUCAAUUUAAAGGAAACUAAAAUUAGUUUUAGAUUUAAAAUUAGACAAAUGAAUAUACAAAUAUAUUAUGAUAAAAUAAUAAUUAUUUUUAGUGGGGGAGGAUGGGAAAGGGCGGAUAUAACCAGGAUCCAAAGGACCUGUCUUGAGUGUGUCCAAAAUCUUGUCCCACCACUAAAAAUUGGCAUGUCAUUUAAAAUAAUCACAUUUUGGCAUUUAAAAGAAUCACCCAAAAGAUAUACUUCAAUGCAUUAAUUUGAGAUAAUCCUACCUUAGAUCCUUCACUUUUUGGUAUUUAUAGUUCAUGUCUUUCUUAUAGUUGUUGAAGUGAAAUUCAAUAUUCUUAAGAGAAUUUUAGUUAAGGGUUGAACAAUACAUUUAAUGCAAAUAUAAUUUUUUUUACUGCAAUGUUUUUCAUUUUAUUUCAUUGAAAAUGAAAGAAAGUAGAUAUAUACCACAACAACAACAACGCCUUAUCCCACUAGGUAGGGUCGACUACAUGGAUCAACUUCAGCCAUAAUGUUCUAUCAAGUACCAUACUUAUAUCCAAAUCAUUAAGUUCGAGAUCCUUUUUGAUAACAAAGAAAGUGGAUAUAUGUUGGUAUAAAAUUAAAGACAUGCUUACAAGCUUAAGGAUUUAAACAGCCUUGCCAAAGUGAAAUUAAAGGCAACAAUAAGUUGUUGUUUUUAUCCCCAUUCAAAAAGUUAUUAUGAACUCUGCUUGUGUAGUUACAGGACUUUCUAUUAUGAGUUUGGCAUUCAGUUACUUUCAAUGAGAGUUCAGUUUAGCACAAUCAUUUUUGUGAAAACAUAAGCAAUAUUAUUUGAGAAGUAUCAGCGUGAGAUAACAAAAUAGAAACCCCACACAGACAGCGGAAAACAUAGAGAUCGAGAAGAAGAAGAAGAAAUUUAGUUAGCACUAUAUACACACUCAAAGGGAGGAAGAGAGUUCCAAUUCAAUCUCUCAAUUUCAUAUUCACUCAAAAAUGUCAUUGCAAACUAUUACAGAGGGCAGAGGUGGCCUUUUAUAGGCAAAACAAAACAACAAAAUAUGAAGGCUCAACAACAAAGUAAUACAAUAAAGUAUUAGAACUUAAUUGCUUAGGAAAAAUGAUGGUGCUUCCAAGUUCUAAAUGUGUCAGGCAGUGCAAUAAUUUUAGAGCUGCAAUCUUUGCAUUCAAUUUUCGUAGCUUCUCUCCACUCUUCUAGUUAGGUGGCGAUGCUAUAUUAUUUCUUUUAUAAUAAGUUUGAUUUUUAUUUUAUUUUUUUUACUGUCAAAGAUUUAAUUUUCUUUAAAAUAAUUUUAAAAACUUCUUGAAUGUAGACCUUGCAAUUUUGACAAAUUCUAGGGUGAAGUUUGUUUUUUUUAAUACAAAUGUUUAAUUGUAGAAAACAGAUUUCACCCUAGAAUUUUGUAAAAGAAUUGCGAACAUAUCAAACUUUUCAUUUGUGUGACGGUGAGACACUUGAUUUUUCCUUGAAUAUGUAAAUGUUUUAAUCUUACCAAACGUUUUAAUUUUAAAAACUAUUUUAAUCAUUUUACAUAUCAUAUACACUAUUUCUUUUAUGAAGUUUGAAAACUUGCAAAGAUCAAAAUAUCUCAAAUAAUUCCAACUAGAUUUACACCAAGAGAGAUAUUAAAUCACAUGCAGCAAGCUCCAUGUAAUAUUUUAAUAUUUAUCAAAAUUUUGUUGUGGAAUCAAUCAUCUUAACUCUAUCAAGUUAGUUUUUAAUGUACAAGAGAAGUUUUAUUCAUUUUCUUUUCUUUUCUUAUAUAAGUAUUUGUUGAGAAAUUUAUCAAACUAACAUAACUUUUGGUCAAUACAACAUUUAUGAUUUCUGAAAUCUGACAUUUUUUUUUUCUUUUUUGUGACAGUCUUAAACUCUCUCCAUAUAAACUGUGGUGGUGCAAGAGAGACAAGCAGUGAAGGUAUAAUAUAUGAUGGCGAUUCAGAUUCAUUAGGACCAUCAACAUCUAAAGAGGUGGGAGAAAACUGGGCAAUUAGCAACACUGGUCACUUCUUGAAUAGC
rnacentral:lncRNA from 1 species